AAAAAUAAUGCAAGCAACAGUAAGAAUUAAGAUUAAUCAUAUAAUGAUGCAAACUAUGGACAUACUAAUAAGUUGGUACACGGAAUCUUAAUCAAUGAUGUCUGGUUUCAGCUUUCCUUGUUUUUUCUUUCUUCGGUAAUGCUCUUAAGAUGUUAUGAAUUAAACAAAUAUAUGUUCCCAAUUAUGCACUCUUAUCAUAUAAGGAGCAUCAUAAACAGAGGAAAAACAAUUUCAAGUUUGGUGACCAAAAAGACUUGAAACAAUGCCUAAUGUCUUUGAAAGAAGUAGGGGAUUCAACAUAACUGUGUGGACUGAAUAGAGAAGUAGUAGCAAAUAGAACACUCAACAUAAAAGGCACCGAACAAAAUACAGUUAAAAGGCUGUUACAAGUGAAUAAAAGUUACAGAUUUUAUUUUGAAAUUAAAUUCUAAAAAUAAAUUUAAGAGUUAGUGUUUCAUUUUAUGGAUGUAAAUGCCCUUCUCCAAUUUCAUUUUAAAAACAUACCAAAAUCCAAGUAAUUUUUUUGCUCUCCUCUCUCAACUAAAAUCUUUCUAUCUUAGACUUCACGUGAUGGAGUUCCAACACUAGUUUGAAGUUCGCAAGAGUAGUGAGGUUAUGUUGCCGAGAACAUUUGACUUUAUAAUAUCCUAAGGGACAUUUGCUAAUAUAACCUAAGUACUACUGAGAAAAUGACAAAUCCUUUUUAAGGACAUUGUAACUGCACAUGCCUCAAUUUAAUUUAUGUUCUUCUCUUUCUUAUUGAUCUGUACUAGAGAAAUUAUCUCUACACCAACUCUGUUUUAUCAUAUGUACAUCUAGAUACUACAAAAUUUUAACAUGUUCUUUGCACUACCAUCAUUUCUGAACUUGUAUUAAUCGACUAAUUUGACAAUAAUAAUUAAAAUAAAAUGACCAUUUUACCCCUAAGUGAUCUAAAAGACCAUUUUAUCCCACGAAAUUUUUAAUUAAAAAACUAUGAUUACCAUUUAACUAAUUGAUAAAAUAUUAUUGAAAAAUCAACCUGCGCGUACUAUUUAACUAAUGGAUAAAAUAUUAUUGAUUUUUUCAAUUCUUUUGACCUAAAAAAUGUGUAAUUCCCAUCUUAAAUAUUUUCCUUUUUUUUUUAUCAAUUGUACAGUCACAAUUAUAAGACAAUUUUCAUUUUUUAAAUUAAUCACCAAAAUAACAAUAGUUUGAAUCAAUUUUGAAUAAUAAAAAUUAUAAAUUGGAAAAUGUAUCGAGUAAAAAUUAUAAUUAUAAAAAUUAACAUCGCAGAUUUUGAGAUUUUUUUUAUUAAAAUCAAAGGUAAUCUCAUAACUAUAAUUUUUUUUUUCAAAAAUUUUGUAGGAUAAAAUAGUCUUUCAUUUCAUUCAAGAAUAAAAUGGUCAUUUUAUUUCAUUUCUUAGUGUGAAAGUAGUUCACUGAAAAAACUUUAGAAACAAAGUGGUGAAAGAACAAGUUAAAAAUUUGUGGUAGUUAGAUAUAUGUAUGACAAAACAGUGGUGGUGCAGAGAUAAUUUCCCUUCAUACAAGGUUAUUAAAAAAUUUUGUUUCAAUAAACUCAUGACAAGUGUGUAGCUAGCUUACUAGUAAACUUAGGCACUCUUAGAAAGAUUCUAAAGCAAAAGUAAUGCCUGAAAAAUCUAGAUUUAAGUAAGGCCAUUUGUGACCCUUUUAGUCUUUUCUAAGAACUCAACUGGUAUAUUUUUUCAUACACUAUGGAUUGUUUUAUGUCAUUUAUUAGCAAUAAUUUUCAACAUAUAUUCCCAAACUUUACCAUUUUAUAGCUUGAAGUUCAUAGGGCUUUGGAAUUAGAUCAUUUACAAAAAUCUUUACAAGGUGAUAAUGAUACGGAGAGAAUAUGUAAAUUUUAAGUCAGCCAGUAUGAGGGCGCCUUCAACUUAAUUGGGGUCUUCACUUUUAAGGCACUACCAGGGUGGCCAUUGCCCUCAUUGCUUAUGUACCUUAACUUCAUAUAGAUUUUUACUUUUUUUCGAUCCCUUUUUUGGAGCACAAGUAGAUUGUCGAUUAAUGCCAAACGCACAAGAAUGUGGUCAAAUGCCUAGAUUAGGGAAAAAUAAUGAAAUUUAAAGUAAUACACCAGACUGCUGAUGUAUUAACAUUAUAUUGAAAUUCAAUAUUUGGCUACCAACAAGCACAUAUUAUAUAUAAAGAAUUAAACACACAAAUAAACAUAAAAUGAAAUACUUAAAUAAAAUGAUAGAGUGCAUGUUUUGGAAAAGUUUAUUCCUCAAUCCACCACUAAUUAAAUAGAAGCAAGUCACUGUCAUUCUAUGUAAACAUACAUAACUAAUCGCCUACUUAGGAAUAAUAUUUUGAUUUGGGAAUCUUGAAUUUUUCAUUAAAAAAUCAGUUUACAAUAUUAUAAGUACAUGAAAAAGAAAGUGUAUCUUGUAUGAGAGUUUUUUGCAUUACCGAUCAAUUGCAAUGAAAUCGAAGCUGCGUUUUAAUAAAAAGAAGAAAUGGAUCACACAUACAUAGUUCAUACUUCUAAAUGUUGGAUUAAAAUUUAUUAAAACACAACACGGGCAAAGUCACUAGCAAAUAAGAAAGAAUAGCAAAGUCAUUCUUAGGGAAUAUAUUGAAUAUCACUCUAGAUAUGUUAGAGUAGUAAACUUCACUCUGUAUUUUAUUAGAAGUAAUAGGACCAUUUGGUCCAUAUAUUGAAGAUGUAUCUACCUACAAAAGCAUAGUUAAUGGCCAACAAUAUCUCAUCUUAACCACACCAGAGAUAUCAUUUACAAUGUAUAAGCUAAAUUAGUAUAUGGCUGCUCCUACACUUCAACAACUAAUGGCUUGUAAACGAGUGUUAAGGUACUUAAAGGAACUGGAAGAUAUGGAUGAAACUAAUUGGAUUCACAGAUACAAAGUAGGCAUGUGAUUUGGAUGACAAAAAAUCGAUUGGAGUUUACUACAUAUACUUGGGAAACAAUUUAAUACAUGGUCAUCAAAAAAGCAAUCUAUGGUAGCAAGGUCCAGUGCAGAAAGUGAAUAUAGAGCACUUACAGAAUUAACUUGGUUGCAAUCAUUAUUCAGUGAAAUCGGAAUACAAUGUACAUUAGUUCCAUCAAUUUGGUGUGAUAAUGCAAGUGCCACUGAAUUAUCCAAGAAUCCAAUCUAUCACUCAAGAACUAAACAUAUUGAGUUGGAUAUGCAUGUUGAGUGUUAGAAAAUGCAUAUUUAUAAAGGAGAAAACCGUCAUUUUACAUUUUAAGUCUUACUAACAACCCUUACUUUUAUAUAUUUAACCUUCUUGUGAUUUAAUUACAUGUGUUUUAUUUUAAUUAAGUAUUUUAUGUAUUUUAGGGGCAUUAUAGUCAUUUCACAAUAAAGGAGAGAUCAGACGGCAAAACGGACAUCACUUUUGAACUCAGGACGGUCGAAAACCUUAGGAGGAGCAUAAAAGGAAAAAUGGCACUAUUCACAUGUACGGUACUAUUCACGUGUACGGUACUGUAUACGUUACUGUUCACGACACUGUUCACAUAGACGGAUGAUGACGUGGCAUUGACCGAUGAUGUGGCAUUGACUGAUGAGGUGUCACGAUCCUGUUGGACUAAAAUUCUUAUGUACUGUUGAUGGUGACGUGGCAGCAUAUCAGUGGACGAAAAAUCUCGCGUACGGUGCAUGCAUCACACAGGAUUAUUUUCAACCAAACCGCGUUACUGUUCAUCCGGGUCAAACCGUGUUACUGUUCAUCCACGUGGUCAAACUGUGGACUGUUGACUGAUGACGUGGCGCAAUCCUGAGCGUCUAAACUGUUUUUAAUCCGAUGGCCAUGAUUUACUCCAUGUAUCUAUAAAAAGGGGGCCUCCCCCCCCUAAUUUGAUAUCUCUGAAUCCAUUUUUGGACUCUGUUUUCUGUAAUUCCCUCUCCAUCUUGUAUUUUCUUCGUAUUUUAAUAAAUUCCUAUUUUGCCCCUAGUUCAAUUAUGAGUGGCUAAUUUUCUUUCAAGCUUGGGUUGAAGGUGAAGUCUCAACAUGUGUCAUGGGCUUAAUUUGGUAAAUUUAUUUUCUCUUCCCCUCUAGUUUUUGUGGAUGUUUUGACUUCUCGUCGACAAAUAAUACUAAUCUUGUCUAGUACCGCCUUGGUUUCACCGGCCCUCUAGUAUAAGGUUAUUAUUAUUUGGCACGAUAAGCCCUUAGCACCAUAUUGAUUAGAGCGUGGUUCAUGAGGUGUGGAUUCCCCCCUCAUGAUUUAAUUGGCAUUAAUAAGGAAUAUUUAGCCCAUGAUGCAUGUUGAUGCGGAUCCGAAUACCCAAGUACGUCAUUUCAAUAGAAUUAUCUUCAAUCUAUUCUUGCCAUUGCAAGUCAAAUUUUAGAAUUUAUUAUCGCCAUUUCAAUUCCAAUUUUAGAAUAAUUUAAAUCACUUCCACCACAAUUCCAACCACCCAUUUACAAAAUUAAUUCUACAUAUAAUUAAAAUCCACCUCCUCGUGGGAUCGACACUCGUCACCAUUGAUCUACACUACAAUAGAUUCGUGCGCUUGCGAGUACAUUAAAAUUUGCACAACAAGUUUUUGGCGCCGUUGCCGGGGAGGUAAGUAAUUUUAAUUCAUAGAAUUAAUUUUUGUGAAUAAUUUCUUUUAUUUGUUUUCUUGUAUUUUUUUUAUUAUUAAAAAAAAAAGAAAAAAAAAGUGAAUCUACAUUUAAAGGUUAGUAUUUCUUUUCUUUUUCUCUUCUUUAAAAUUUUGUAAUUUAAUUUUCCAUUUAUUUUUCUUUGUAAUUUUUUUUUAUCUUAUUAAUUUAAUUUUUAGUUAAUUUCUUUCACGUAUUUAUUUUUGUGUAUUUUUAUAGAAAGGUUGUAAUAGCGCAAUAAGGUUAGUAUCGUAAUUUCUCCCUCUUCUUUAUUUUUAUUUGUUUUGUUCCCAUCUUUAUUUUUUGUUUUGUUUGCAUCUUUAUUUUUAUUUUAUUUAUUUUGCAUGCAUGGUCGUAGGUCAUUAUUACCUAAUCUUGAACCUAUAGACCUUGAAUUAGAAAAAACACUUCGCACACACAAACACGUUAAAAAUAAAAUGGAUUUACAAGCACCACAGGAGAGGCCAUUUAAGGACUAUUUUAGUCCCUUAGCUAAUUUGAGCACGUCAUGCAUAAGAUACCCAAAUGUAGCUGCUAGGAGUUUUGAAUUAAAACCUAGUGUGUUAAAUUGUCUCCCUACAUUUUAUGGCCUAGAAAAUGAGGAUCCAUAUAAUCAUUUGAAUGAUUUUCAUGCCAUUUGUCAAACAUUCAAAUAUGAGAAUUUUUCAGAUGAUGAUGUUAAACUUAGACUAUUCCCAUUUUCUUUAAAAGAUAGAGCUCGUUCAUGGCUUAAUACAUUGCCUGCUAAUAGAAUUGCAUCAUGGGAACAAAUGGUUACAAAAUUUUUAAAUAAAUAUUUCCCAGUGCAUAAAACCAAUGCUAUUCGCAGGGAAAUCUCGGAGUUUACCCAGAAAGAUGACGAGCAAUUUUUCGAAACAUGGGAGCGAUUCAAUGGGCUACUCUUGAAGUGUCCACAUCAUGAGUACGAGAAAUGGCACCAAUGCCAAUACUUUUUGGAAGGAUUAUUGCCGAAUGUGCAAGAAUGGCUAAUGGCAACGAGUGGAGGAGAGCUAAUGUCAAAAAGUGCAUCAGAGAUUUGGGAAUUCUUCCAGCGACAAGCAGAUAAUUCCCAACAACGGAGUCGAUCACUCAAGACUACUAGAAGAAUUAAAGGAGUGAAUGAGGUUCAAAUUGGCGAAUCAAGUUCAGAAAUUAAAGAAGUCAAAGCGAUAAUUGAAGGUCUCUCUCGACAAAUAGCAUCAUUAUCGACUGCUAAAUCAACAGAGCCACAUGACCAUGACUCAUACUCAGAUCAAGCCAAUGCCAUAGGUGUAAUGAGAAAGCUAUCAAAUUACAACCCAUACUCCAACACAUAUAACCCUGGAUGGAGAGACCACCCCAAUUUUUCAUGGUCUCAAGGAUUCCAACAGAAUGGACCAACAGCUCCAGCUCCACCAAUUCCACAAAAUCCUCAAGCCUCUCAGCCACCAUUUAGACCAUACAAUCAGAACCAGAACCACUCUCAACCUAGACCAUGGGAGGAUACAUUCCAGAAUUUUAGGAAUGUUACUCACUCCACGAUUGAGCAACAGAACCGCACCAUUGAUGGACUACGAAAUGAGUUGAGAGCAGGCUUCAAUUCACAAGCCCAAUCAGUUUCAAGCCUCGAGAAGAUGGUGGGACAACUUGCUUCUUCAGUUCAGACCUUGGCAAUGACCGUUGAGAAAGGUAAGUUUCCAAGUCAACCAGUGCCUAACCCUAAAGGAGUACAUGAAGCAAGUACCAGUUCACCACAGCAGCAUGGAGAGGUCAAAGCAGUAAUGACCUUGCGAAAAGGAAAGGAAGUCGACAACAAAGUGGAGAUGCCGGUGACAAAAGAAAAUCAAAUUGUACCUGUGAAUGUUGAGGACUCAUCACCGGAGGAGAAAGAAGAAACUAACCCACGAGAAUAUGUUCCGAAAGCUCCAUUUCCUCAGAGGUUAGCUAAAGGAAAAAAGGGAAAAUCCACAGGUGAGAUUCUUGAAAUCUUCAAACAGGUAAGUGUUAACAUCCCUUUGCUUGAUGCUAUUAAACAAGUUCCAUCUUAUGCCAAGUUUCUUAAAGACCUUUGUACUAAAAAGAGAAAUAUGCAUGUUCAAAAGAAGGCAUUUUUAACAGAAAACGUUAGUUCUAUACUCCAACAUAAAAUUCCUUUAAAAUGCAAAGACCCAGGCUCCCCCACUAUCUCAUGUAGUAUAGGGAACCACACAAUUGAGAAUGCUUUGUUGGAUUUAGGAGCUAGUGUAAAUCUUUUGCCUUACUCUGUAUUCGUGAAACUUGGACUGGGAGAAUUACACCCAACUCCAGUGGUGUUACAGCUUGCAGAUCGGUCCACGAAAAUACCUCGUGGUAUUGUGGAGGACGUGCUUAUCCAGGUAGACAAGUUUUAUUUUCCUGUUGAUUUCAUUGUAAUUGACACUCAACCAAUACAGGAUUCAAGGAAGCACAUCCCCAUUAUUCUAGGCCGACCUUUCUUGGCAACUGCGGAUGCUCACAUUCAAUGCAGGACUGGAAAUAUGCAGUUGUCCUUCGGCAACAUGACUAUGGAGCUAAACAUUUUCAACAUUGCCAAACAACCUUACAGUGUAGAUGAUGGAAUUGUUGAUGUGGAUUUAAUUGAAGCAUUAGUUGAUGAUACUUUUGUUUCAAACCUUAGUGAUCCUUUACAAACAUGUUUAACUCACUUUGGUUUGGAUUUUGAUAUUGACAGAUCGGUCGAUGAGGUCAAUGCCCUGCUUGACUCAACACCAUCUAUGGACACUAAUAAAUGGAAGUCAAGAGUUGAGCAACUAGCACCAUCAGAGAAGCAACUCAUUCCAUCAUCAGAAUCACCACCGAAACUCGAGCUCAAACCAUUGCCCAACACUUUGGAAUAUGCAUUUUUGGGAGAAGAAAGUACUCUACCGGUAAUCAUCUCAGCAUCCCUCAAUGACGAACAAAAAGGUAAGUUGUUGGAUGUUUUGAAAGAGCACAAAGGGGCAUUAGGAUGGACCAUAGCAAACAUUAAAGGUAUAAACCCAGUAGACUGCAUGCAUUACAUUCACCUUGAUGAAAAUGCUAAAACUACUAGGGAGAUGCAACGUCGGUUAAAUCCUAACAUGAAAGAAGUUGUUAGAACUGAAGUCCUUAAGCUAUUAGAUGCAGGUAUCAUUUAUCCAAUUUCUGAUAGUUCAUGGGUCAGUCCUGUACAAGUUGUCCCCAAAACGUCAGGAGUCACAGUAGUUACGAAUGCUGAUAAUGAAUUGAUACCCACUAGAGUAACUACAGGAUGGCGUGUAUGCAUUGAUUAUAGAAAGUUGAAUUCUGUCACACGUAAAGACCAUUUUCCUUUACCAUUUAUUGAUCAAAUGCUUGAUAGAUUAGCAGGCCAUGAAUUUUAUUGCUUUCUAGAUGGCUACUCAGGAUAUAAUCAGAUUCCCAUAGCACCAAAAGAUCAAGAGAAAACUACUUUCACUUGCCCUUUUGGCACAUUUGCAUAUAGGAGAAUGCCAUUUGGAUUAUGUAAUGCACCUGCUACAUUUCAACGAUGCAUGCUAAGCAUUUUUUCUGAUAUGGUUGAACGAUUUCUUGAAGUCUUUAUGGAUGACUUUUCUGUCUUUGGUGAUUCAUUUGAUCAAUGUUUACAUCAUCUAACACUAGUUCUGCAGAGAUGUAUCGAGAAGAACUUGGUCUUAAAUUGGGAGAAAUGUCAUUUUAUGGUAAAACAAGGUAUUGUUCUCGGUCACAUCAUUUCGAGCAAAGGUAUUGAGGUUGACAAAGCCAAGGUGGAUCUCAUUUCUAAUCUUCCUCCACCUAAAACAGUCAGAGAAGUAAGAUCUUUCCUUGGGCAUGCUGGUUUCUAUAGACGUUUCAUUAAAGAUUUUAUCAAAGUUUCUAGACCCUUAUGCAAUUUACUUGCUAAGGAUGUACCUUUUAUCUUUAAUGAUUCAUGUCUUAUGGCGUUUGAAAAAUUAAAACGGUUGUUGACAUCAUCACCCAUCAUUCAGGCCCCAAACUGGAGCUUACCAUUUGAGCUAAUGUGUGAUGCAUCUGAUUAUGCAGUAGGAGCAGUAUUAGGACAAAGAGUUGAUCGAAUUCCCCAUGUUAUUUACUAUGCUAGUAUGACAUUAAAUGAUGCACAGUUGAACUAUUCAACUACUGAAAAAGAAAUGCUAGCAGUAGUGUUUGCAUUAGAAAAAUUUCGAUCUUAUCUCAUUGGUUGUAAAAUAAUUAUAUUCACAGAUCAUGCUGCUCUUAAAUAUCUUCUCACAAAGAAAGAUGCAAAAGCCAGACUAAUUCGUUGGGUGUUACUUUUGCAGGAGUUUGACUUGGAAUUCAAAGAUAAGAAAGGGACAGAAAAUGUUGUGGCGGACCAGCUCUCUCGUCUCCAUUUUGACACAAUUACAGAAUCAUUACCAUUGAAUGAGUCAUUUCCAGAUGAACAAUUAAUGAAUGUGGAAGUAUUACCUUGGUAUGCUGAUAUAGUUAAUUAUCUUGUUACAGGUAAACUUCCAGAGCAUUGGACCAAGCAAGACAAGGCUAAAUUCUUUGCAGAGAUAAAGAAUUUCUUUUGGGAUGACCCGUAUUUGUUCAAGUAUUGUGCAGACCAAAUUGUUAGACGAUGUGUCCCAGAAAGUGAAAUUCAGAAUCUCCUUUCAUUCUGCCAUGAACAAGCUUGUGGAGGCCAUUUCAGUGCUAAGAAAACCGCGACUAAAGUUUUACAAUGUGGUUUUUAUUGGCCAACUAUAUUUCGAGAUGCUUACACUUUCUGUUCUUCAUGUGAUAGGUGUCAACGAAUGGGGAGCAUUACGCGAAGGAACAUGAUGCCACUAAAUCCAAUUUUAGUGGUUGAGAUUUUUGACGUAUGGGGUAUCGACUUCAUGGGACCCUUUCCCCCGUCUUUUGGUCAUCAAUACAUAUUGGUUGCUGUUGACUACGUAUCGAAAUGGGUAGAAGCAAUUCCAUGUAGGACCAAUGAUCACAAGGUGGUGAUAGGAUUUUUGAAAAGCAACAUUGUCUCGCGCUUUGGAUUCCCUCGAGCAAUAAUCAGUGAUGGUGGUGCCCACUUUUGUAACAAAGCAUUCAAAGCUCUUUUGACAAAGUAUUCAAUCACACACAAAGUGGCGACCCCGUAUCAUCCGCAAACUAGUGGCCAAGUUGAGAUCUCCAAUCGAGAAAUAAAGCACAUAUUAGAAAAGACGGUGAGGCCGGACAGAAAAGAUUGGUCAUUAAGACUUGAUGAUGCAUUAUGGGCAUAUAGAACGGCUUUCAAGACCCCGAUUGGGAUGUCACCCUACAGGCUAGUAUAUGGAAAAGCUUGCCACCUACCUGUGGAACUCGAGCAUCGUGCAUAUUGGGCCAUCAAGAAAUUCAAUUUUGACAUGCAGCAAGCCAGCUCAGAAAGAAGAUUACAGCUGGCAGAACUUGAAGAAAUUCGCAAUGAUGCAUACGAAAAUGCCAAGAUUUACAAGCAACGAAUGAAAGUCUUCCAUGAUAAGCAAAUUAUGAGAAAAUCGUUCACUCCAGGUCAGAAAGUGCUUUUGUUCAAUUCUCGCUUGCACCUAUUCCCAGGUAAGUUACGCUCUCGUUGGUCUGGUCCCUUUAUUGUUCAUACUGUUUUUCCACAUGGGGCAAUUGAAAUUAAGGACCCAAAGAACGGUGUCACGUUUAAAGUUAAUGGUCAAAGAUUAAAGCCAUAUCUAGAGUACCAACCACAUGGAGAAGACACCGAAAUAAAUUUGAGUGACCCACCAGAUUUGAAUUGAUUUUUUUUUUCUUUUCAUUGAUUUGAUUUUUCUUUCUUUCUUUUUAUUAUUAUUCUUUUGCUAAUUGAAAUUGUUUUUGCAUAAGUGUGUUUAUUUUACCAUUAAGUUUUCUCUUAUCAUUUUUAAUCAUGAGUCUCAUACUUAGACCGUUCCUCCUGAACAUUCUUAAACCACUUCAACGUGUCAAAACUCAUCUCAAAAGACAGAUUCAAUUUUGUAAAACACAUCGCAUUUGGGCUCUACAACCACCAGAGUUAGUAGCCUAUGUUGAGGGUUUAGAACACCAACUCAGAGACAUUGAGAGAAGUGUUUACGACAUCCAGUUGGAGCUUGAGGUAAAUUCAAUAAGAGGACGAUUUUAAUUUUCUUUGUGUGUUUUAAUUUGUUUUUCUAUUUGUGUGCUUUAGUUUGUUACCCCGGUGAAGUGGCGGAUAACGGUACUCCGUGACAAUCAAGUCGGUUACUUCAGUUUCCCAUAAUAACUGAUAUUCUGAGGCGAAGGUAUGGACAGAAAUGAGAUUCUAGCAAAGCUUCACAAGCGAUUCCCUUCACUUCCUCAGAAUGCCCUCCUUACGAUCUAUAAAGCUCGGUCCGAACGCAUGCGAUUAUUCAUGAGGAAUAACAUACCUGCUGACAUCCGUUGGUUAAUCGAGGCUAAAGUACGAUCGGCAGGUGAGUUACCUCCAAAAUUUAUUGCAUACAUGCCUGGUUGUGGUAAAGGAAAUUAUGCAAGAAAACGACGAGCUCGAAGAAUUUCUGUUGCUUGUCAUAAGUGUGCCAGAAUGAGUUGCAAUAAAAACCCAUGUUCUUUAGGCAUGAUGUCUGAUAACAGGGAAGAUAAGAUUCAAUUCAUUAGGGAUGGCUUGAAUAAGGAGUCAUUGGAUGAUAUCCUUUUGUCUCUUGAAACGCAUCCCAGUGGAUAUGUGCAAGGAGCGAUUCUCCAGUUAUGGCCAUUAUUCCAGAAAGAGCAUGCACGAUAUAGUCUCGGGAAUCUGACUAUAAACGACCCUGUUUGCCAGUUUAUAAGAAAACUGGAUAGGAAGCCUAUCCUCGACCCAUAGAGGGCGUUCAAGCCGUUUCUGGACGUAAAACCAGAGGAAGAUGUGAGCCACAGUCGCAACUACCUGUAAAUAUCCUUUUACUUUAUUGUUAUUUUAUUUCACUAUUGUCUUAUUGUUUGUAUUAUUGUCUUUAAUAAUUUUAUUACUGUUUGCUUUUUCCUUUUUACUGUUUUCUUUUUUACUUGCAAGCCACGUGCUUUACGCGUUAUUUGACACUAACAUAUUACCUCAUACACGACCAUGACCCACUAUCACCGAGACUCUUAAAUGUGAUUUCUUUUUUGUCAAGCACUCACAAAUUAUUUUUGAGAAGUAUCACAAUGUCAGCUACUCCCAAUAGACAAUUCAAGAACAUUUGUGUGCUUUCUGGAUUUACAUAUGGCAAACAUAAAGAGUUCGUUGAGGCAGCCAUAGAUCUUGGUCGAAGCAUAGAAGCGAGAAAAUUACACUUGGUGUAUGGAGGAGGUAACCGAGGGUUAUCAAAAAUGGUCUCAGAAGCAGCUUUUAUCAGAGGAAGUCAAGUGUUAGGCAUCAUCCCAAGAGUCCUAAAACCAUUGGGCAGUUCGUCUGACUCAUCAACUGGAGAAGAGUUAGUCGUCUCAGGUAUGCAAGAAAGAAUCACUGCAAUGCUUAAUCAUGCUGACGCUUUUAUUUUCCUUCCAGGAGAUCUUGCAACACUAGAGGCACUUAUCACACUAGCAUCUUGGGCCCAUCUGCACAUCCACCAGAAACCCAUCGGUUUGUUAAAUGUCAAUAACUUUUAUGAUGGCUUUAUCGCAUUUCUUAACCAUGCAAUAAAAAACUAUUUCAUUCCCGCUAAUGUGAAAAAACUCUUUAUUUGUGCUCACACUGCUAAUGAGCUACUGGAUCUAUUACAAGCUUAUAGACCGGAGCCAGACCCCUGGACCUUUGUGUUGGAGCGUCCAAAUAAUGAUGGUAACAAUAGCAGUAGUAAGAAGUACAAAUUAGAUUUAACUCUCCGCCUGUAAAUAUUUUCUUCUGUGUUGCACCACCCAGGUGAUGUCUUCUAAACUCUACUUCUUUCAUUUCAAACAUUGAGGACAAUGUUUCGUUCUGGUUGGGGGGAGGGAAUAGUCGACAAUUAUGAAAUUUUGGUUAAGUUUUUACUAAUUUUUUGUUGUAGAAACUAACUGUUGCUAACUUUUUGUGUUGAAGAUGGCUGAAUAUGGAGUGUAGUGACUCUAGAAACGCAUCUUCAUCGUUUAAAAAAAAAAUUAAAAAAAAAACUUAAAAAAAAAAAUUAAGACAUUUUCUUUUUUCUUUAUUAUGUGUUUAUGUUUAUUUUUCUUCUUUUUAAUUUAUCCUCUAUAAAAAUGCAUUUUCCAACUUUUGAGUCGAAGAUGGCUGAAUAUGGAGUGUAGUUCCUCUAGAAACGCAUCUUCUUUAAAAAAAAAAUAAUAAAAAAAUUAUUUUCUUUUCUAUCAUUUUAAAUGUAACUUUUCUAAAUUAAUUUUUCUACAUCAUUUUCACAUUUCUGCAUGCAUAUUUUUUUUUUUUUUAUGUUUAGAAUAGGUUGGGGGGUAGAAUGUUGUUUAAAAAAAAAAUUUUUUUGAUUUGUUUUAACAUUGGGUGACAUGAUUAAUUUAAAUUUUAGUAUUUGUAUUAUCUUUGAUCUUAAGUGAUGUUACAUUAUGUUUGCUACUNNNNNNNNNNNNNNNNNNNNNNNNNNNNNNNNNNNNNNNNNNNNNNNNNNNNNNNNNNNNNNNNNNNNNNNNNNNNNNNNNNNNNNNNNNNNNNNNNNNNNNNNNNNNNNNNNNNNNNNNNNNNNNNNNNNNNNNNNNNNNNNNNNNNNNNNNNNNNNNNNNNNNNNNNNNNNNNNNNNNNNNNNNNNNNNNNNNNNNNNNNNNNNNNNNNNNNNNNNNNNNNNNNNNNNNNNNNNNNNNNNNNNNNNNNNNNNNNNNNNNNNNNNNNNNNNNNNNNNNNNNNNNNNNNNNNNNNNNNNNNNUUCUAGCCAUCCCUUUUAUUAAAUAUCCACAGUUAACCCUUUGACCCUUUAAAAAAAAAAAAAAAAACAUUUUCUUUUGUCAACUUAUCAUCUUGACCCACUCCGAUUUGGAGUAUUACCCGAUGUCUUAUAAGUUCCAUCACCUAUUUAUGUUUGAGAAAAUGUAAAUAAUUAUUUUGUUCAGUGAAGUUAUGCCAAAUAAAAGCAAAAAACAAAAAAAACAAAAAAACAAAAAAACAAAAAAACACCAAAACAAAAGUUGUUGUUUCAAAAGUUGUUGUUUCAAAAGAACAAUAAUAGGUGAAAUCCACCUUGCAACUUCCAAAAAAAAAAAAAAAAAAUCUCUGCAUUUUUCUCAAACAUACACUUUGUUUUCCUUAAUUCCUUUCUUUGUUAACCAUGUCCCUAGCCUACGUUACAUCCUAAUAAAAGUCCUUCCUGAUUUUAGGGAACUAUAAUCUGAAGUAGAAGCUAGUUAUAUGGGCUAAAAAGAUGUAGUGAUGCAUAAUUAAAAAAAAAAGAAAGAUAAAUAAAGUGGGUUGACUAACAUUUUAUUUGACUUGAGAUCGUAUUAUUUCUAAGCUGAGGGCAUAUUUAUUUCAUCUUGGUGAGAGCAUGUGAUAUCACUUCUUUAUUAUUUUCUCUCUCAAUUACCAUUCAUUGGAGUGACUAUUUUUAUUGGGAUUAAUUUAUUUGUGAGAGUGUCACUACUUCCAGUGAGAUUUUGGGGUUUGACAUGUCAUUCUUGAGAGUAGCUAAAACAAAGUCUACUGGGCUAAUUCAUGUGGAUGGUUGAUGUGGGUGUGAUGUUGCUUUAGACUGGAGAUAAUGCUUAUACUUUUAUUUGAUUGCUAUCAUUAAUCUGAUGGAAUAAAUACGAGUGUUUCUAUUAAAACAAAAAAAAAAUUAUUUUGAAUUUGAAUUUUGUUUUCGCUUUAUUUGCUAGGGACUAGCAAUAAGCUGGUUGGAGGGUGUGUUGAGUGUUAGAAAAUGCAUAUUUAUAAAGGAGAAAACCGUCAUUUUACAUUUUAAGUCUUACUAACAACCCUUACUUUUAUAUAUUUAACCUUCUUGUGAUUUAAUUACAUGUGUUUUAUUUUAAUUAAGUAUUUUAUGUAUUUUAGGGGCAUUAUAGUCAUUUCACAAUAAAGGAGAGAUCAGACGGCAAAACGGACAUCACUUUUGAACUCAGGACGGUCGAAAACCUUAGGAGGAGCAUAAAAGGAAAAAUGGCAUUAUUCACAUGUACGGUACUAUUCACGUGUACGGUACUGUAUACGUUACUGUUCACGACACUGUUCACAUAGACGGAUGAUGACGUGGCAUUGACCGAUGAUGUGGCAUUGACUGAUGAGGUGUCACGAUCCUGUUGGACUAAAAUUCUUAUGUACUGUUGAUGGUGACGUGGCAGCAUAUCAGUGGACGAAAAAUCUCGCGUACGGUGCAUGCAUCACACAGGAUUAUUUUCAACCAAACCGCGUUACUGUUCAUCCGGGUCAAACCGUGUUACUGUUCAUCCGCGUGGUCAAACCGUGGACUGUUGACUGAUGACGUGGCGCAAUCCUGAGCGUCCAAACUGUUUUUAAUCCGAUGGCCAUGAUUUACUCCAUGUAUCUAUAAAAAGGGGGCCUCCCCCCCCUAAUUUGAUAUCUCUGAAUCCAUUUUUGGACUCUGUUUUCUGUAAUUCCCUCUCCAUCUUGUAUUUUCUUCAUAUUUUAAUAAAUUCCUAUUUUGCCCCUAGUUCAAUUAUGAGUGGCUAAUUUUCUUUCAAGCUUGGGUUGAAGGUGAAGUCUCAACAUGUGUCAUGGGCUUAAUUUGGUAAAUUUAUUUUCUCUUCCCCUCUAGUUUUUGUGGAUGUUUUGACUUCUCGUCGACAAAUAAUACUAAUCUUGUCUAGUACUGCCUUGGUUUCACCGGCCCUCUAGUAUAAGGUUAUUAUUAUUUGGCACGAUAAGCCCUUAGCACCAUAUUGAUUAGAGCGUGGUUCAUGAGGUGUGGAUUCCCCCCUCAUGAUUUAAUUGGCAUUAAUAAGGAAUAUUUAGCCCAUGAUGCAUGUUGAUGCGGAUCCGAAUACCCAAGUACGUCAUUUCAAUAGAAUUAUCUUCAAUCUAUUCUUGCCAUUGCAAGUCAAAUUUUAGAAUUUAUUAUCGCCAUUUCAAUUCCAAUUUUAGAAUAAUUUAAAUCACUUCCACCACAAUUCCAACCACCCAUUUACAAAAUUAAUUCUACAUAUAAUUAAAAUCCACCUCCUCGUGGGAUCGACACUCGUCACCAUUGAUCUACACUACAAUAGAUUCGUGCGCUUGCGAGUACAUUAAAAUUUGCACAACAAUGCACAUUGUGAGAGGCAAAAUACUUGUAAAAGAACUUGAAAUCAGUUAUAUAACAUGUGUAGAACAAAUUGCCCAAUUAUAUCUUUACAUAUUAAUUUUGCUAGUAUAAUAUCCUUGAGAAUAAUUUGAAUCAAAUGAUUUUGUUACUUUGGCAAUAAUUAAAUAAUAUUAGAUUGAAUUGUUGUGUCAUUUGUUUAGCUUAUUUUAACCCUAUGUAAAAUUAGCUUCGGCAAGUAAAAUGAAAUUUACACUAUUAAAAUCUUUGUUUGUGGUAAUAAAAGUUCACUUGGAAUUUUAUAAUAUCAACUUGAAAUUUAACUCAAAGUAUUGGUAGUUAAGGAUUUCAAUAGAAAUAUUAAAUAGAAACAAGUAGUUAACAAGUUAAACCAAGUUAACCUAUAAUUGAGUAUGUUUAACUAAACUAAGGGGCUAAUUUUACAAAAAGUUAAACAAUAGAAAGUAAAUUUGGCAUUAAACCCAAAUAGUUAAAAUUUUACCAAGUUAUUGGAAAUAGUCAAACAAAAGCAUUGAAAUAAUAGUUGAAACACAUAAGUUAAAAAGGGAUAAAAUAUUAACCAAAUUCUAAUUUUAAAACUCAUCCAAUAAGAAAUGAAUUUACUUAGAAUUUAACAAAAAGUAUUGGUAUUUAAUGAACUUAAUAUGAACAUUAAACGCAUAGCUGGUAGAUUUAUAAGUUAGAAAUAUGUAAACCUAGAAGUAAGAAGGUUUAACCAAAAUUAAGGAAUAAAAAAAAUAAAAAAGUCCAAUUGGUAUUUAACCUAAAUAAUUGCAACCUUACCUAAUCAGUAGGAAUAUUCGACAAAAAGAUAGUGGAAUAAUUAGUUGAACCAUAUGAACCUAGAAGGGAGAAAAUUUAAGCAAAAUUAGGAACUUAUCCAAUGGGAAUAAAUAUUAUUUGGAAUCUAACCCAAAAUUGGUAUUAAAUGAACGUAGUAGGAAUAUAAAACAUAAAACUAGUAAACUACUAAUUAAGUUGAAGUAUGUGGACCUAUAAGUGAGAAAAUUUAACCAAAAUUAGAGACUAGUUUAACCAAAAAUAAAAUUAUAAAAAAUAAAUUUGGUGCUUACCCUCAAUAAUUAGAAUCUUAUUAAGUUAAUAGAAGUAUUCAACACAAAAAUAUGGAAAUUAGUAGUUGAAACUGGAACCCAUAAGAGAGAAAGUUCAAGUAAAAUUUGGAACUCAUCCACCAGAAAUAAAUUUAACUUGGAAUCUAACCAAAAUAUUGGUAUUGAAUGAAUAUAGUAGGAACAUCAAACACAAAACUUGAGGACUAAUAUGUUGAAAUAUGUGAAUUGUAACAUCCAAUUAAUAUAUAUGUAUUUAACUAAAAGAGUUGGAUAUGAUUAUUUUAUAAUUUUUAAUAUCAUUUUAAUUAUAAUAUUUUUCUCAUUCAAAUAUUUUUAUUUUAGCAUUUUUGCAUCAUUAGUUUAGCACACAUCAUUAGCAUUGCAUGCGUCGUUGGUCUCGUGCAAAUAGUGGUAGAUUGAUUAGAAAAUCACCUUCACCACCCUUAAAUAUGGCUGACAUAGGAGCUGAAAAUAUUUCGGAGCACGAAAAUGACCAAGCCUUGCAAAAUCUUCAUGAACAACCUAGGACCCUUAGAGACUUCAUGCAUCCUACUAGAACAUGUCACCAUCAUGCAUAUUUUUCCCUCCUGAUGCAUCACGUUUUAAUUUCAAGCCUGGUAUCAUUCAACUUUUGCCUACCUUUUAUGGUUUUGAGUCUCAAAAUCCAUAUUUGCAUUUAAGGGAAUUUGAGGAAGUCUAUAACACCUGUACUGAUCAAAAUUGUAGCAUGAAUAUUAUUAGACUUAAGUUUUUUCCUUUCUCACUAAAGGAUAAAACUAAAACUUGGCUACAAAAUCUUAGAUCAGAAUCCAUCAGAACAUGGGAUGAAAUGCAAGCACAAUUUUUGAAAAAAUUCUUCCCACCCCACAGAACAAAUUCUUUCAAAAGACAAAUUACCACUUUCACUCAAAAACCAGGAGAAACUCUCUACCAAUGUUGGGAUAGGUUUAAAGAACUACUUAACAUUUGCCCACAUCACGGUUUUGAAACAUGAAGAUUAGUGUCUUAUUUCUAUGAGGGAUUAACAUCCUAAGGUAGACAAGUCGUUGAAAUGAUGUGUAAUGGUGAGUUUAGGGAUAAAAGUCCUAAAGAUGCAUUAGACUAUCUGGACUAUAUAGCAGAAAAUGCACAACACUAGGAUAUAGUUGGUUCUUAUGAGUGAUCAAGUAAACCCCAAUCAUCUCCAUCUGGUGGAGGCAUGCAUAACCUUAGGGAAGACCAUGAUUUUCAAGCCAAAUUUGCAUCGUUAGCUAGAAAAUUCGAAGCAUUAGAGUCGAAAAAGAAUGAUCAUGUAAAGUCUGUUCAAAAUAUUUCAUGUUAUGUUUGUGAUUCUACUGACCAUUCUACGCAGGACUGUCCAACUUUACCAGCCCUGAGAGAAAGUCUGCAUGAACAAGUAAAUGUCGUUGACAAUUUCAAAAGGCCAAAUCUAAAUCCAUACUCCCAAACUUACAACUUUGGUUGGAGAAACCACCCAACUUUCAGUUGGAGAAAUGAUAAUCAUGCACAAUCUUCACAACCAGUUCCUCCACGCCAAAAUUUUCAAAACUCUCAGAGUUACCCACCAUAUGUCCCACCACCAAGAAAACCUCUGGAAGACACAUUGCAUUCAUUUAUUGAAAAACAAGAGUCGAUAAAUAACCAAACGAUGCAAACCUUAACCAAUUUGACAGAAACUAUCGCCAAACUUACAUAUGCUCUGACCAUACAUGGAAAAGGAAAGUUUUCCGCUCAACCUGAACCAAACCCCAAGAGUCAACAACAUCCUCAAAUGGGAAAUUCAGGAAAUCAAAAUAUGAGUCAAAUCAAAUCGGUUAUAACCCUUCGUGGUGGUAAAGUAGUCGAAAAACACAUUGUGGACCCUCGUGAAACUAGUAAAGAUUCAAUUUCAGAAAAUAAGGAAGAGUCUUUCGAACCUUUAAACCAUGAAGAAAUAACCAACUCUCCUCUUGUACCCUCAUUUUCUCAAGCACUGAUCAAGCCAAAGAAAUCAAACCACAGUCCAUAAAUUUAUGAAGUUUUUAAACAAGUUAAGGUCAACAUUUCUCUACUGGAUGUCAUUAAACAGGUGCCUUCUUAUGCUAAAUUUCUGAAAGAUCUGUGCAUAGUGAAAAGGAAACAUAAGGUGCAAAAGAGAGUUUUUCUUGCAGAACAAGUAAGUUCCAUUCUCUCAACCAAUAGUGCUUUGAAAUAUAAGGAUCCUAGUUGUCCAACUAUUUCUUGCACUAUUGAGGAUUAUAAAAUUGGACAUGCUUUACUUGAUCUUGGUGCUAAUGUUAAUUUGCUUCCUUACUCAGUGUACUAACAACUCAAUCUCGGUGAGUUAAAACCAACUUCUACCACUCUUUUACUUGCUGAUAGAUCGAUUAAGGUCAAGAGGAAUAAUGAAGAUGAAUUAGUUCAAGUCGAUAAAUUCAUAUAUCCUCUGGAUUUUAUUGUUCUGGAAACGGAACCAAUUGCUAAUGAAUGCAAAUAAAUUCCUGUUAUAUUGGAUCGACCAUUUUUAGCUACUGCUAAUGCUUUGAUAAAUUGCAGGAAUGGAUUAAUGAACUUAUCUUUCGGCAACAUGGCACUGGAACUCAAUGUGUUCAACAUGUGUAAACAACCUCACCACCAGGAAGAUGAUGAUAAUGAGAAUGAGGAAAUUGAUCUCAUCGAGCCAAUCAUUGAGGAACACAUUCAGGAUGAGAAUUUUAGAAACUCUGCAGAAAUUUGUUUUGCUAGUUUUGUUGAAUCAAGUAAGGAAUUAGAUUUCGAUACUGCUAGCAUAUGCCCUACAUUUGAUUCUAUGCAGGUACCUAUAGGUGACGAUGACCAAUCGAACUUUGAAGAUACGGUACAACCUGAAUAAGCAAACGAAGAGGAAGCAUUAGAGCUCGAAUUAAAGCCCUUACCAGACGAAUUGAAGUAUGCCUAUCUUGGAGAGCAGCAGACAUAUCCGGUGGUAAUUUCUUCUUAGCUCACGCAUAAUCAAGAAGGUAAGUUGUUAUCUGUACUAAAAAGGCAUAAAACUGCAUUUGGUUGGAUAUAAAUGAGAGUAUUAAAAUUAUAGUUUGAAUACAGAGAGUGGAUCCUAAACCUUAUCUUAUUUUUUAAAUUGAUUUCAAAUAAUUUAUUUUCCCCACAAUUAAUUUUCUUAGUUUUACUAAAUUUAAAACUUAUUGUGGUUCGACCCCGGUCUCACCGGGUUAUAUUAUAACUAGACACUCUUAUACUUGAGAGUAAUACACUUUUGAGUCGUGUCAAAAAUCAUGGGCUAUAUCACCAGAUUUCUUUUCGAAAUAUUAAAUUCUAUAAAUAUAUUUUGUAAUCCAAAAUAUAUUGGGACUCUAUAAAUAAACACUUAUGCACAACUUAGAUUUCUUAUAUAGUAGAAUUUUGAUAAAUUAUUAGCAUUGAGACUAUGAAAUUUAUUAAUUUAGCGAGUAAUAAUUUAAUGAUAAAUUAAUAAAAAAAUUAAUAAUUAUUAAUUCACCAAGAUGCAUCACGUUCAUAGUAAAAUUUUUCUUUUUUAUGAAGUAUAGAGAUUGUAUAAUUAGAGAAUAUAUUAAUUCUUCAAAUUAUGUGAAACGAUUUUGAUAUGAUCUUAAUUAAGUGAACCAAUCACUUGAUAAUUCUUUAACUAAACGAAAGGCUUACAACAUUGCAUUAGUACAACAAAGAAAAUAGUAAACAUAUUAUAUGUAUUUAAUUUCAAAUUAGUUAAUUAUUAAUUUGUGUCCUAUAGAAAAAUAAGAUUAUUUUUUCCAAAUCUUACUUUUUUAUUAAUUUAUCGAACUAUUCAGUUACCACAAUGACCCCCAGAUCAAAAUCAACAAAAAUUAUUAUUUAUUCGAAGUUAUUAUUUUAUCAAAUAUUAAUUUAAUAAAAUUCUACUGUGUUUUUUGAACACUUAUAAUUGAGGGCUUGAGCAGUGUGAGACUACAUACCUAGUGCCAUAUAUUUCAUUAUUUCUUUAUUAUGGAUGUAUGAAAAUUUGAAUUGAAUGUGGUACAAUAUUGUAUAUUAUAUUUUUGGAAAAAGACAUUCUUACAAAAGAUUGCGCAACACUUUGUAUAAAAUUGUGUGUUUUAAUAAAACAAAAUUGUAAAACAUUCAUAAAAUUUUAAAGAUUAAUCAUUUACAUCCCUAUUUUGAUUCUUUGGUUGAAAAAUGUCGGCAAAAAUGGUAUCAGAGCCAAGUUUUAGGCUCAGAAUAUAAAAAUGGAAGAAAUAGUUGUUUAUUUUGUAAAUAAUAGAGGAUAUAAUUUAAUGAUAGAUAGUAAUACAAUUAAGGAUAACAUAACUAAAUAUAGACAAUAUUAUUGUUCAGAACAAAAUAUAUUAGAUGAUAACAACUAGAACAAUUGUAUUUAUCCGGAGAGCUCAUGAAAUUAGAAUUGGAGAACUCAUAAUAAUAAAGAAUAGAAAUUUCAACAUAGAUCCUUCUCUCAUAUUCACAGUUACGAGAGAAGUUUAUAGAAAUAAUUUUUCUUGGAAAUAAUGGAAUAAUGAGGAUUAUAUAGAUGAACUUGUGAUUGAUUAUAAUAGAUUUUUAACUAUUAACCAAAGAGAUGAAUACAAUUGGAAUAAAUAAAGGAUCAGAAGUGAAUACUAUCCUUCUAGCAACAUUCUGAUAGGAUACAAAGAUUUAAUUAUAUAUAAGCUUUGUUAUAUACAUAAAGGAUUAGAAGAAAACAAUAUUUCUAAGGAUAUAAAAAAUAUUAUAUAUCACAAAUACUUGAUAGAAUAUAAUGAAAUAUUAUACAGAUGGUAUUAUGAAUAUAUUACUAGAACCAUUGAUAAUUUCACAAAAUAUAGAAACCAAUAAAUUUCCACCUUCUCGCUAUAGGCAUAGAGGAUUUACUUAUGAAAGAUUUCAACCAUUUGAUUUGGUAAAUGAUUUUGAUAUGUAAGGAAGUAAUAAGUUAAACUAGAUUUCUCUAUAUUUAUUAAAUAAAUUUGGAAAUCCUAAUUUAACCAUAAAUGAUAUAGAAGAAAGUGCAAAUGAAAUACUUGAAAUUAAAAGCUUUAAUACUGAAAAUAUAACACAAGUUAAAAUGUUAAAAGAUCAAAUGAGUGAAGAAUUUGAUUCACUCAAACAAUUAUAAAAGACUUCAAAAUUGAAGAUUAAGAUAGAUUGGAAUAAGAAAUCAUUAAUGUCAUGAACAAAAAUUCAAUUGAAGAUAAAUUAAAUAAGAUAGAAAUUCAAUUACAUAAAAUUAGAAAAAUCGUUGAACAACUUGGUAAUAAGUUUGAAUAAGUAUAAAUGGAAAAUUAAAAAAGGAUUGAAGAACAAAAGAUUAGUAACAAUAUGGAAGAAUUACUCAAUGGUAAUUCAAGAACAAAAUAAAGUUUUACUAGAUACCAUAACCUAGUACAAUGAAAAGAAAAAUAAAGAAAUGCUAGCAAUAUCAUGAUCAAUAUUUAACAAAGUAAAUGAAGAUAAAAAAAUUAGUAAGUUUAAGGAUGCUAAGCAAAAAUGUAGACAAUGGAAGAAUUAUCUAAUCCAGAAAUAUUGGAGGAAGAAUAUGAAGAGGAAGAAGAUGUAUUUAUUAAUUUAUAAGAUAUUGAAAAUAAACUAGAACUUCUAAAAUGAAUGAAUCAAAGCCAAGAGACUUUGAACAAGGAGAAUUUAGUAAUAGAGCUUCUUAUGCUAGGGAACAAAUACCACCUCAUGAAAGACUACAAGGUCAAUAUUUUAGGGUUAACAAACCUAAAAAAAAAUAUAAAACUCUAGGAGAAUAUAGAGAAAGACUAAUCAACCAUGAUGUAGUAUGGUUAGAUUUAGACUGUGUCAAAAAUAGUGAUAAACUUAUUACCACUUAGGUUAAAUCUAUGAAAAUUGCAUUUGCAUUUAACAAAAUAGAUAGAAACAAUGGUAUAGAGUUCCUUAAAACUUCAUUUAUACGAAUAGUGUCAUAUUGGUUUAUGGGAUUGAAAGAUACCGACAAAAAUAAAAUAUUAUAUAGCGAAAAUAAUAAUUAAAACGAAAGCUUGGAUCAAGUCUUAAAUAAAUUUGAAAAUAAAAUAAGAAAAGAAUUCUUACGAGAAGAUUGGGAAAUUGAUUUUCAACAGGAAAUAAAGAGGAAACGGAUGGAAAACGUAAUGAAGCUAAAAACACUUGAAAUAUGUAAUAUAUUUUAUCUAGAAGAAUACACAUGUAGCUUUGAAGAAUUACAUUAUAAAUGUGAAUUUGAUAAAGUUGAAAAUACCAUAUGCUAUUAUAAUGAUCAAUAUUUUAUAAAGAUACCAAAUCCAUGGGGGAAAAUGAUUAUGUUAGAAUAUAACAAGGAAUAAAUUGAUACCCUAAGAAAUAGGAUCAGAUUUGCUCGAAAUAGAAUUAGUGAACAGUAUGUUGAAAAAAGAGUUAAGAGACUUUGGUAAAGUCCCCAUAGUUCAGCUUCCAUAAUGGAACAACUACCCAAAUUCAUGCUAAAACCGCAAACCCAUUCCCUACAAUAAUUCCUCACCAAGCCACCAGCAUUAGCCAAUCCCGAUCUCUUCAAAGCCCCAUCAGUAUUGAGCUUUAAGAACAACCACUUUGGGGGCUGCCAAUAGAUCCAUCUUUUAGUUUUUGUAAUUCUCUGACUAUCUAAAGACUUAUAAGCAGCGAUGAUUUUUUCCGUGCAGUUGUUCACAUCCACAAUUACGUUGUGAAGGGCUGCUUGAUUUGUGAGCAUAAACGAACUCAUUGUGCCAAUACCACAUGCGCCAGACAUGACGCCAAAUAACAUUGACCUAUCCUUCUCAUUAGUGAUCCUCAAGUGGUUUUUCAUAUUAUAAACAAUCCAUGCACGAACAUCCAAUGUAAAACAGGUAUGACUUGUGUGUUUCGAAAAAAGGGCUAACCAAAUGCGUUUAGAGUCAACAUAAUCCCCGACUGCAUGGAGAGCAUCCUCUAUGAUAUGCCCACACCGCAUGCAAGUACUAUCAUUAAGCACAUGUCUUCGCAAUAAUUUAGCAUUAUUUUUCAAUCUAUUAUGCAUCAGCAGCCAAAGAAAGCACUGAAUGCUUUGGGGGCCUCUCCAUCUCCAAAUCAAAACCCAAAGGGAAUUAUUUUCAUUUAGCAUCGGUCUAAAGAGGGAUAAAUAAGCUGACCUCACGCUAAACAAACCAGACCGCGAUGGACCGCAAUAACAACAGUCAACUUCAUCGCUAAUAGAAUGGGGCAUAGUGCCUGCUAUUUUGAGAAUUAUAUGGUGGGGUAGAAAAGAAGCAAAAUAGUCCCAGUUCCAAGCACCAUUAUUAUCGAUAAAAUUAGCUACAUACUCAUUUAAUAUUUUCAGUGAUUGUACCGAAAGUAUAAGAUUGCAAUCAACGCCCAUCCUCCAGCCAAUAAUCUUUCCAAAAUCUAGCCAACUUCUCAUUCCCAAUAGCCCAGCGAGUCCCUUAGAGAACCUCAUUCCAUACAUUUCCCACGAAUUUUCAUAAAGGAGAACUAUAUCAAGUAGGACGUUUUAGAGGAAGGUUUUUUUUAUCAACGCAUAUUUAAACAUCAAUACUUGAAUCUAGAAGCUGUGGGGUGAUUCAAUAUGACCCCAACCAAUUUUCAUUAGCAAGGCUUUAUUCAUGAGAUUAAGAUCUUUAAGGCCAAGGCCCCCACAUAAAUUAAGGAGUUGUACUCUAUCCUACUUAAUAAGGUGUAUACGAUGAGUCUCGUCAAUCUAUUUCUAGAUAAAAUGCUUGCAAAUCUGAUCAAUUUUAUUACGAAUACUUAGAGGUAGCAUGAAGGUCUGCAUGGAAUAGGUUGGGAGAGCCAGAAUGAUCGACUGCGUUAAUGUUAUCGAACCUACAAGAGAAAGAUGUUUGGUUGUCCAACCCGUAAGUCUCUGUAGUGCUAAUGGUGGUCAAGGAUAAGGUACCAGUUUCAGUGGGAUACAUUGAGUUUGCAUGAGAAAUCUGGGAGAUUUCAUAAAGAAUGUAUGAGUUAGUGACAAUGGUAAACAUGAUUAAAUGCGUGAACUAACAUAAAAUGAAAUACAAAAACUAAAUGAUAGAGCACGAGUUUUGAAAAAAGUUUAUUCUUCAAUCCACCAUCAAUUAAACAGAAGCAAACCACUGUCAUUUUAAGUAAACAAACAUAACAAAACCACCUACAUAAGAAUAAUUUUUCAAUAUAGGAAUCUUGAACUUUUGAUGAAAAAAAAUCAGUUUACAAUAUUAUAGGUACGUGAAAAAUAAAGUUUAUAACAUUGUAAAUCAGAUCACCAACUAGAAUCUAACUCCACCUACAUGGCUUAGUAAACAACUAUAACAUUGCAUCCAACAAUGGCGUCACCAGAUUUAAAAUCCGCUCGAUUCAUCUGAGCAAUUGCAUAUCCACCACUCAAUAGGAACUCGCCAAUGUCACCGAUGAUGGGCAUCUUACGGACAGGAACAAUCGACCUGUUGUUGCCAAGGAGGCUGAUAUAGCUACCAUUAUUAGGACCAUCAACGAACACAAAGCUCAUGGACAUGAUGAUAGCUAGUUGAUGCUGACAAGCCGACCCGUAAAGCCCUUGAGCACGACCAACAAGCUUUGAUUGAGGACUAGUAGUUUCUAUCGACGAAUCAUUCGCCAAAUCACAACGCGGAAACGAGUUGGUGACUUGUAAGCAUCAGUGGCUUGAGCAAUGCUUUUUUCCACUACGUUUUUUUUGUUGUCACUUUUGCGAAAUCAAGCCCCGGAGCCAAAGUCUCUCUGAUCGUAUUGAUGUUGCUGCCACCGGGCAAAUGAUGAGAAACAAAAAAAUUGCUUAAAACAUUAUCGCCAGUGUCACCGAGAAUAGAUGAUGCACUUUUGAAGGUAGAAAAGAAGGAUGAUUCAAGAUUCAUUUCAAAUUUUUUUGAAGUGUUUUGAUAAGUGAAUAUCCAAAGGCUGCGUAACUACAAAGGUGAAGUGGGAAGAAAUUUUGACAUUUUGUUAUAUUGAGCUAGCCAGUGAAUGUAUAUGAGGGGCUUCACUUGUACACAUAAAAAAGGAAGAUUAAUUACUCGUGGUUUUUUAUUAAGAAAAAAAAUAGCUUGCUUAAAAUAUAGAGUGUGGUUAAUUUCAUUGAAGGAGAUGACUCAAAGGAAAGGAAAGAAAAAAGAAAUCUAUAUAUAUAAACAAAAAAUAAUGCCAAAAACAUAAAUUUAAUUAAAUGUACAGUGAAAUUACCUUUAUAAUGCAACAAGAUAUUAAAUUCAAUAGUUAACGCUAAUAAAUUAAGCGUAAUUUAUUUAAUACUUAUUUAUGGACUCUUUCAAUUCCAUUAAAGCCACUGCAAGACGUUUUUCAAUAUUAACUCAGAUAAAUAGAGGCUCAUAUCUUUCUGAUUCUUCCACAUCUCUUUCAAUUCUAAUUAAGCCGUUUGCAAUUCCCUUAAGAAAUUAAAAAAUGUCGAAGAGUCUUACCUUCAUCAUUUUGGCUUUGCUUGUAGUGGCAAACACUAAAAACAUGCUUAUUUCAGCUAGUAGAACUGGCCAAGGAUCUAAGCCAGAGGCUUUAUUUGCUAUUAACCCUACAGCAUCACCUGACAUUGUUGAUUACUCAGGGCUCACAAGUGAAGAGUGUUUGAUCGAGAUGAUUAAGAAAGCACUUGUAGACUAUCGAUACCCCUGCUCUGAGGGGGGGUGCAAAUGAUAUUGUUAAUAAGUUAUUUCUUUUACCUUGUAGGAGUGCUUUUGCAAUAACGAUCAAUUACAGUGAAAUUGAAUUUGUGUUUUUAAUAAAAUAAAACAUUAAUCCAUUAUGCAUAGGUAAUAUUAUGUCAUAUGUUUUUGGUGUGUGUAUCUCUUACUGCUUUGUUAUAGAUGCAUCGUCGAAUCAAUCUUCGAGAAAUCAGUUUCUUUAAAUAAUAGCAAUUAUCAACCAAUCAACAUUACUAUGUUGGUGCCAUUUGUAAUAUUUAAAUUUUAAGUUUAUUUACUUUUAGGGUGAGAUUAUUGAUUCCCAAGAAAAAUAAUAAAAUAAACCCUCAUUAUCAAAAUCCUAUAUUACUAAGCUGUCCGAUUUAAUUUAAUGUUAAACUUUAAUUUAACCCCUGAAAAUGUCCAGACUUACCUACAUUUAUUGCUAAGAAUAUGAUUUAAAAUUUCAUCAAUGUGCACCUCAUUUAUGCUCAUCUUUUGAAGAACAAAUAGGGUGGAUUGAGAUUUUCAUGCUUUUGGAGGGUAAAUUAAAGAUAGUUAUUAGGAGGGAACGAAUUGAAGUUUGUUUUUAAAUGCAAAGAUGUAUUCUUUUAGUUUAUUUGAGAUAGUUCGUUUGACUUUAAUUUAACAUAUGUUUUUGUAAUUGAAAUAUAGAUACUUCUUUAUUUUUGUUAUUCAGCUAAGUAAUAUAAUAUUUUUGUUAUACUUCAAAAGUGUAUUACUCUGUAGUAUAAGAGUGUCUAGUUAUAAUAUAACCCGGUGACACCGAGGUCGAACCACAUGAAGUUUAAAUCUAGUAAAACAAAGAAAAUUAAUUGUGGGGAAAAGAAAUUAUUUAAAAUCAAUUUAAAAAUAAGUUAAGGUUUAUGAUCCACUCUCUGUAUUCAAACUAUAAUUUUAAUACUCUCUCAUUUAUAUUUUGCCUCACUUUUGCCAAUUAAUUAUUAUAUCAUUUAAUUCUAUGUGUGUGGAUAAAUAUAGAAUAAAGUACCUAAUGUGCCACACUAUAUUAAUGUGUCGAUAUUAUGUCAAAAUACCAUAAAAUCUAGUGAGAUUUAUAAAUUAACAUGAUAUAAAAAUAAUUAGAAAAGAAUUAAAAAAAACUCAUUUGAGAAAAUAAUAAUAAUUAAUAGUUUGAAACAUUGAGCUUCACUCUUCACCUCAGCUUAAUAAAAUUAGCUACUCAUAUUGAAAGAAAACACAACACUCUUUUUAUUUGAUAAAAUUUUUGAAAUAUAUUACAAAGAAAAUUGAUACAAACGGAAAUAAGAAAAGAAAAGAAACAAACAAAGAAAGAAAAUCUUCAGUCUCGGCUUCAGCUCUCAAAUUUUGCUCUCCAACUUCCCCCCGCUCUUCAAUUUCUCCUCCCUUUUUAUAGGCAACAAUUGCCUUUAACUUUCUUUAUUUUAUUAUUUAUUUAUUAUUUUAAAAUAUAUAAGUGUGUUGAAAUGUGUGAUGGUCAGGAGGCGUAAUGGCCUCCUGACCAUCACCAACGUGUUUUUGUUCUUUUGUUCUUUUAUUUUUUAUUUUUUUUAUUUUAUUGAUUAUUUAUUAUUACAUCUCUUCAAUUUUGUUCCAAUAGUUCUUCUUUGUUCCCGCUUUCAAUUUCAAUUCCAUCUUUAUUCUUGAAAAAUAUUUACAAGAUAAAAAUUAACAAAUUACAAAUUAAUUUAACAUAAAAUAUAUUUGGGGAGUAUUAAAAUAAUUUAGAAAUAAUGAACGCAUUAAUCGACACAAUNNNNNNNNNNNNNNNNNNNNNNNNNNNNNNNNNNNNNNNNNNNNNNNNNNNNNNNNNNNNNNNNNNNNNNNNNNNNNNNNNNNNNNNNNNNNNNNNNNNNAUCAAACCCCAAAAUCUCACGAUUAGGAGUGACUAUCUCAAAAGAAGAUAUACCCCAAAUUAAUUUGUCACUCUAAAAAAAUGGUAAAUUUGAGAGAAUAAUAAAACAAUAUCACACGCUCACACCAAGAUAAAAAUUAAUGCCCACAACUUAGAAAUAAAAUAAUAUCAAAUCCAAUGAAUUACUAGCAAAAUUUAUUUUUAUUUUUACUCAUCACCACAUCUUUUAGUCCAUAUUACCAGCUUUUACUUCAGAUUAUAGUUCCCAAAAAUCAAGAAGGACUUUUAUUAGGAUGUAGCGUAGGCUAUGGUUAUGGCUAACAAAAAAGGUAAUAGGGAAAAUAAAAAUAUAUGUUUGAAAAAUAGGGGACUUUUUGGAGAUUAUAAGGUUCUUUUUUUUUUUCAAAGGUUCAAAGGGGUUAACUAUGGAUUCUUUAUAAUAGGGUUGACUAGAAAGGCUCAAACGGAUCAAAGAUGGUCUUCUAUCAUCUUUUAGGGUUCUAUAUAAUCUUUCAUAUCCACUAGUUCAGUGGACCUUUAUAUGCGGCUGCACAAACUUUUUUUUUUUUUAAUAUUGAGAUCUUGUACAAUAAAUUGUGAAGCUGCAUAGGCAAACAAGGUUACUCUCCAAGGAUAACAGACUCAAAAACUCGCUUGGUCUUUUUAUAACAUGUACAUUCAUCCAAAUGGCUUAAUCAAUUUCACUCAUUCAAUUUCUCAAUUUACGUUUCAAGAUGCAAAGGGAAAAACAUAGUGUAACAUAACUCAAGGCCAAAGAUAAUACGAAUACCAAAAUUUGAAAAUCAUCAUGUUAUCCAAUGUUAAAAGAGCACACCAAAAAAGAAAAUAAUUUUUUUUUAAGAAAGCACUAAAAAAUUGGGGCUAAUUGCAGAAACUUAAGGGAGAUGAUUAAGAGAAAAAGACCGAAAACAAAAAGUUAAAAACAUUUUGUUUUGGAAGAAAACAAAAAAAAUUAAGAAAAUGCGUUUCUAGAGACACUACAUUCUAUAUUCUGUCAUCUUCGACUCAAAUUUUUAUCCAAAGUUAGUCUUUACAACAAAAAUUAGUGCAAACAUCACUAGGAAUGAGACAUUCCCAAUUAUUAACUAUUCCCUCCCCCCAACCUGAAGGAGACAUUGUCCUCAAUGUCUAAAGAAAGGAGUAGAGUUUAGAAGAUAUCACCCGGCCAUUGCUGGAAAUAUUUACAGACGGAGAGUUAAAUCUAAUUUAUACUUUUUACGAGAGUUACUGCCAUUGUUAUCAGUUGCCCAAUCCAACGCCAAAGUCAUGGGAUCUGGCUUUGGUUUGUAAGCUUGCAAAAGAUCAAGUAACUCAUUAGCAGUAUGAGCACAAAUGAAGAGUUUUUUCGCUGAGGAUGGAAUGAAAUAAUUUUUUAUUGCAUGAUUAAGCAAUGUUAUUAAGCCAUCAUAAAAGUUAUUAACAUUUAACAAACCGAUUGGUUUUUUAUGGAUAUUCAAAUGGGCCCAUGAAGCAAAUGUAAUUAGCGCCUCCAAAGUUGCAAGGUCUCCUGGCAAGAAAAUAAAAACGUCAGCAUGAUUUAACAUUUCAGAUAUUCUUUCUUGCAUACCUGAGACAACUAACUGUUGAGUGUUAGAAAAUGUAUAUUUAUAAAGGAGAAAAUCAUCAUUUUACACUUCAAGUUUUACUAACACCUUUACUUUAUGUAUUUAACCUUCUUUUGAUUUAAUUCCGUGUGUUUUAUUUUAAUUAAGUAUUUUAUGUAUUUUAGGGGUAUCAUAGUCAUUUCACAAUAAACGAGAGAUCAAACGACAAAACGGACAUCACUUUUGAACUCAGGACGGUCAAAAACCUUAGGAGGAGCAUAAAAGGAAAAAUGGCACUGUUCACAUGUACGGUACUGUCUACGUUACUGUUCACGACACUGUUCAUAUAGACGGAUCGAUGACGUGGCAUUGACCGAUGAUGUGGCAUUGACUGAUGAGGUGUCAUGAUCCUGUUGGUCUAAAAUUCUGAUGAACUAUUGAUGGUGACGUGGCAGCAUAUUAGUGGACCAAAACUUGCGCGUACGGUAUACACAUUACACAGGAUUAUUUUCAACCAAAUCGCAUUACUGUUCAAGCCGGGUCAAACCAUGUUACUGUUCACCCGCGUGGUCAAACUGCGUACUAUUGACUAAUGACGUGGCGCAAUCCUGAGCGUCCAAACUGUUUUUAAUCCGAUGGCCAUGAUUUACUCAAUGUAUCUAUAAAAAAUGGGGCUCCCCCCUAAUUUGAUAGCUCUGAAUUCAUUUUUGGACUCCAUUUUCUGUAAUUCCUUCUCCAUCUUGUAUUUUCUAGGUAUUUUAAUAAAUUUUCAUUUUGCCCCUAGUUCAAUUAUGAGUAGCUAAUUUUCUUUCAAGCUUGGGUUGAAGAUGAAGUCUCAAUAUGUGUCAUGGGCUUUAUUUGGUAAAUUUAUUUUCUUUUCCCCUCUAAUUUUUGUGGAUGUUUUGACUUCUCGUCGACAAAUAAUACUAAUCUUGUCUAGAUACUGCCUUGGUUUCAUCGGCUCUCUAGUACAAGGUUAUUAUUAUUUGGCAUGAUAAGCCCUUAGCACCAUAUUGAUUAGAGCGUGGUUCAUGAGGUGUGGAUUCCCCCCUCAUGAUUUAAUUGGCAUUAAUAAGGAUUAUUUAGCCCAUGAUACAUGUUGAUACAGAUUCAGAUACCCAAGUACGUCAUCUCAAUAGAUUUCUCUUCAAUUUAUUCUCGCUAUUUCAAUUCCAAUUUUAGGAUAAUCCAAAUUAUUUUCACCACAAAUCCAACCACCCAUUUACAAAAUUAAUUCUACACACUAUUAAAAUCCACCUUCUCGUGGGGAUCGACACUCGUCACCAUUAGUCUAUUCAAAAGAUAAAAUAACGGUGAUUAGAUAAAAUAAAAAAUAAAAAUAAUAAUAAUGCAAAAGAUAAAAGAACAGUAAAAUAAAAGGAUAUUUACUGGUAGUUGUAAUUGUGGCUCACAUCUUCCUCUAGUUUUACAUCCAGUAACGGCUUGAACGCCCUCUAUAGGUCGAGGAUAGGGUUCCCAUCCAGUUUUCUUAUAAACUGGCAAACAAGGUCUUUUAGAGUCAGAUUCCCAAGACUAAACUGUGCACUUUUCUUUUGGAACAGCUUCCACAAAUUUUGAAUUUCACGUUGAACAUAUCCGCUCGGAUGUGUCUCAAGAGAUCGUAAGAUACCAUCCAACGAUUCUUUACUCAUGCUAUCCUUAACGAAUUUGAUUUUAUCUUCACAAUUUACAAAAACCAUUCCUAAAGCUUUACAACGUGGAUUUUUGCAAGCAAGUCUUACACAAUGAGAACAUUCAGAGCUAAGUCGCUUAGCUCUUCUUUUCUUAGCAAAUGUACUUUUACAAAAACCAGGCAUGUAGGAAAUAAAUUGAUAAAAAAACUCACUUGGACCUUUGCUUCAAUUAACCAGCGAAUGUCAGCAGGAAUCCCAUUGAUCAUUAACAAACGCAGUUGUUCACAACGAGCUUUGUAACUCUUCUUAAGAGCAUUUUGAGGGAGAGAAGGAAAAGGUUGAUGCAAAUUUUGUUCUAUUUCUUCCAUGCUUGACAUUGAGGUUUCAGUUAUUGUGGGAAACUGAGAAUACCGACUUAAAAAGUCACGGAGUACCGUUAUCUGCCAUUUAUACGAGAGAGUGAAUCAAAACAAAACAAAUCAAAUAUGCAAAAUCAAAUCAAAAGUGAAAAAUAACAACAAAAUAAAACAAAAACACACAAGGAUUAUAACACACCUUCGUCCUUUUAUUGAAUCUAGUUCCAAUUACAAAUUAUAAAUACCAUCAUCUAUUUCCUUGAGUUGUCUUUCUAGAUCUUUCACGUGAGAUACUAACUCUGGUGGUUACAGAUCCCAAAUGGGAUGUAAUUUACAAAAUCAGAGCAAUUUCCUCAGGUGAAAUUUUACAUGAAAAAGCAUUUUAAAAUAAUCGAAUAGGAAAUUGCUCAUAGAGGUACUCAUGACAAGUAUAAAAAUUGGGUGAGCUAAAUCACAAUUGUCAAACAACAUAAAAUUAAAACAAUGCAAUGCACUCCAUUCAAGACAUAGGGAAAACGAAAAAGAAAAAGAAAUCAAAUAAUUCAAACGAUAAAGUAACAGUAAAUCAAUUCCCCAACAAUCAAAUAAAAAGGCUUAAUCAAAAUUUUGGUGGGUCACUCAAAUGGAUUCCAGUAUCUGCUUCAUGUGGUUGAUAUUCCAUAUAUGGUUUCAAUCUUUGGCCAUUAACUUUAAAUGUGACACCAUCCUUUGGAUUCUCAAUUUCUACGGCUCCAUCACAUUUUUUAUAACAAAUGGACCAUUCCACUUUAACUUUAACUUCCCUGGAAAUAAAUGAAGACGAGAAUUAUAAAGCAACACUUUUUGACCAAUUUCAAAUGUUUUCCGAAAAAUUAUUUUGUCAUGAAAAAAUUGACGNNNNNNNNNNNNNNNNNNNNNNNNNNNNNNNNNNNNNNNNNNNNNNNNNNNNNNNNNNNNNNNNNNNNNNNNNNNNNNNNNNNNNNNNNNNNNNNNNNNNNNNNNNNNNNNNNNNNNNNNNNNNNNNNNNNNNNNNNNNNNNNNNNNNNNNNNNNNNNNNNNNNNNNNNNNNNNNNNNNNNNNNNNNNNNNNNNNNNNNNNNNNNNNNNNNNNNNNNNNNNNNNNNNNNNNNNNNNNNNNNNNNNNNNNNNNNNNNNNNNNNNNNNNNNNNNNNNNNNNNNNNNNNNNNNNNNNNNNNNNNNNNNNNNNNNNNNNNNNNNNNNNNNNNNNNNNNNNNNNNNNNNNNNNNNNNNNNNNNNNNNNNNNNNNNNNNNNNNNNNNNNNNNNNNNNNNNNNNNNNNNNNNNNNNNNNNNNNNNNNNNNNNNNNNNNNNNNNNNNNNNNNNNNNNNNNNNNNNNNNNNNNNNNNNNNNNNNNNNNNNNNNNNNNNNNNNNNNNNNNNNNNNNNNNNNNNNNNNNNNNNNNNNNNNNNNNNNNNNNNNNNNNNNNNNNNNNNNNNNNNNNNNNNNNNNNNNNNNNNNNNNNNNNNNNNNNNNNNNNNNNNNNNNNNNNNNNNNNNNNNNNNNNNNNNNNNNNNNNNNNNNNNNNNNNNNNNNNNNNNNNNNNNNNNNNNNNNNNNNNNNNNNNNNNNNNNNNNNNNNNNNNNNNNNNNNNNNNNNNNNNNNNNNNNNNNNNNNNNNNNNNNNNNNNNNNNNNNNNNNNNNNNNNNNNNNNNNNNNNNNNNNNNNNNNNNNNNNNNNNNNNNNNNNNNNNNNNNNNNNNNNNNNNNNNNNNNNNNNNNNNNNNNNNNNNNNNNNNNNNNNNNNNNNNNNNNNNNNNNNNNNNNNNNNNNNNNNNNNNNNNNNNNNNNNNNNNNNNNNNNNNNNNNNNNNNNNNNNNNNNNNNNNNNNNNNNNNNNNNNNNNNNNNNNNNNNNNNNNNNNNNNNNNNNNNNNNNNNNNNNNNNNNNNNNNNNNNNNNNNNNNNNNNNNNNNNNNNNNNNNNNNNNNNNNNNNNNNNNNNNNNNNNNNNNNNNNNNNNNNNNNNNNNNNNNNNNNNNNNNNNNNNNNNNNNNNNNNNNNNNNNNNNNNNNNNNNNNNNNNNNNNNNNNNNNNNNNNNNNNNNNNNNNNNNNNNNNNNNNNNNNNNNNNNNNNNNNNNNNNNNNNNNNNNNNNNNNNNNNNNNNNNNNNNNNNNNNNNNNNNNNNNNNNNNNNNNNNNNNNNNNNNNNNNNNNNNNNNNNNNNNNNNNNNNNNNNNNNNNNNNNNNNNNNNNNNNNNNNNNNNNNNNNNNNNNNNNNNNNNNNNNNNNNNNNNNNNNNNNNNNNNNNNNNNNNNNNNNNNNNNNNNNNNNNNNNNNNNNNNNNNNNNNNNNNNNNNNNNNNNNNNNNNNNNNNNNNNNNNNNNNNNNNNNNNNNNNNNNNNNNNNNNNNNNNNNNNNNNNNNNNNNNNNNNNNNNNNNNNNNNNNNNNNNNNNNNNNNNNNNNNNNNNNNNNNNNNNNNNNNNNNNNNNNNNNNNNNNNNNNNNNNNNNNNNNNNNNNNNNNNNNNNNNNNNNNNNNNNNNNNNNNNNNNNNNNNNNNNNNNNNNNNNNNNNNNNNNNNNNNNNNNNNNNNNNNNNNNNNNNNNNNNNNNNNNNNNNNNNNNNNNNNNNNNNNNNNNNNNNNNNNNNNNNNNNNNNNNNNNNNNNNNNNNNNNNNNNNNNNNNNNNNNNNNNNNNNNNNNNNNNNNNNNNNNNNNNNNNNNNNNNNNNNNNNNNNNNNNNNNNNNNNNNNNNNNNNNNNNNNNNNNNNNNNNNNNNNNNNNNNNNNNNNNNNNNNNNNNNNNNNNNNNNNNNNNNNNNNNNNNNNNNNNNNNNNNNNNNNNNNNNNNNNNNNNNNNNNNNNNNNNNNNNNNNNNNNNNNNNNNNNNNNNNNNNNNNNNNNNNNNNNNNNNNNNNNNNNNNNNNNNNNNNNNNNNNNNNNNNNNNNNNNNNNNNNNNNNNNNNNNNNNNNNNNNNNNNNNNNNNNNNNNNNNNNNNNNNNNNNNNNNNNNNNNNNNNNNNNNNNNNNNNNNNNNNNNNNNNNNNNNNNNNNNNNNNNNNNNNNNNNNNNNNNNNNNNNNNNNNNNNNNNNNNNNNNNNNNNNNNNNNNNNAUCAAAUAUUUCAAUGACAAUGAUGGGGUUUAAAGGCAUCAUCUUCCGCUUUGAAAUAGACCCUAUCAUUUGACAAUUCUUACACAUUUUACAGAAUGCAUGUGAAUCUUUAAAUAAUGUAGGCCAAUAAAAUCCACACUGCAAUAUUUUACAGUUGUCUUUUUUGAAGAAAAAUGGCCACCGUAUGCUUCAGAAUGACAAAAUUAAAUGACCCUACUUACCUCGUCGUCUGGUAUGCAUCUUCGAAAAAUUUGAUCGGAGCAGUACUUGAAUAGAUAUGGCUCAUCCCAGUAAAAGCUUUUUACUUCUGUUAAGAAUUUCUUCUUGUCUUGGGAACUCCAGUCACAUGGCAUUUCACCUGUUGCAAGAUAAUUAAUAAUAUUAGCAUACUAAGGCAUUUUGUUUAUAGAAAACAAAAAUUCAUCAGGGAAAGAAUCAUUGAUGGGUGUUGUUUCAAUUGAAGACUCAUUUGUAAGUCUUGAAAGAUAAUCUGCAAUAACAUUUUCAGCGCCCUUUUUGUCCUUGAUUGUCAAAUUAAAUUCUUGAAGUAGCAAAAUCCAUCGUAUCAACCUUGGUUUGGCAUCCUGUUUUGACAUUAAAUAUCUCACAGCAGCAUGAUCAAAAUAAACAACAGUAGAUGAACCAAUUAAAUACGAACGAAAUUUAUCCAAUGCAAAUAUUACAGCAAGUAGUUCUUUCUCAGUUGUUGUGUAAUUCAUUUGAGCAGUAUUCAAAGUUCUACUUGCAUAAUAGAUGACAAAGGGCUUACCUUCCUUUUUUUGACCCAGAACAGCGCCAAUGGCAUAAUCACUAGCAUUACACAUUAGCUCAAAAGGUAAAGACCAAUCAGGGGGUUGCAUUAUUGGGGCUGAUGUCAAAAGACUAAUUAUCUUUUCAAAAGCUUGUUGACAAUCUUUAGUCCAUUCAAAUUGUGUGUCUUUUAUUAAAAGGUUACAAAUUGGUCUAGAUAAGGCACUAAAAUCUUUUAUAAACCUCCUAUAAAAUCCUGAAUGUCCUAAUAAAGAACGGACUUCUCUUAUUGUCUUUGGUGAGGGUAAUUUUGAAAUGACUUCAACUUUAGCUUUAUCAACUUCGAUUCCUUUUGAAGACACAAUAAGGCCUAAGACAAUUCCAGAAGUGAUCAUGAAAUGACAUUUUUCCCAAUUUAAAACAAGUCCUUUUUCUUUGCACCUUUCCAAAACAUUUUAUAGAUUAUCAAGACAUGUAUCAAAAGAAUUACCAAAUACAGUUAAAUCAUCCAUAAAAACCUCUAGACAAUUUUCAGCCAUGUCACUAAAAAUGCUUAGCAUGCACCUUUGAAAUGUUGCAGGAGCAUUACAAAGUCCAAAGGGCAUUCUCCUAAAUGAAAAUGUUCCAAAUGGGCAUGUGAAUGUGGUAUUUUCCUGGUCUUCUAAGGCUAUAGGGAUUUGAUAAUAGCCAGAGUAGCCAUCAAGAAAGCAGUAGUAAGGAUGUCCAGCUACUCUUUUGAGAAUUUGGUCUAGAAAUGGAAGGGGAAAAUGAACUUUUCUAGUGGCAUAAUUUAAUUUUCUAUAAUCAAUGCACAUGCGCCAACUAGAUGGAAUUUGUGUUGGGAUUGAUUCACCUUUUUUAUUUUUUACAACAGUUAUUCUAGAUUUUUUUAGUACUACUUGUGUUGGACUUACCAAUUUACUAUUAGAGAUAGGGUAGAUAAUUCCUACAUCUAAUAGUUUAAGGACCUCAUUUUUUACCACUUCUUUCAUAUGAGGGUUUAGUCUUCUUUGUGGUUGAUGGGUUGUUUUGGAAUUUUCCUCUAACUGUAUUCGGUGUGUGCAAAUUAAAGGAUUAAUGCCUUUUAUGUCUUUUAAGGUCCAACCAAAUGCAAUUUUAUGCCUUUUUAGUACAUAUAACAACUUACCCUCUUGAUCAUGUGUGAGUUGAGAAGAAAUUACCACCGGAUAUGUCUGCUGCUCUCCAAGAUAGACAUACUUCAAUUCUUCUGGUAAGGGCUUUAAUUCGAGCUCUGGUGCUUCCUCUUCGUUUGCUUCUUCAGGUUGUACCGUAUCUUCAAAGUUCGAUUGGUCAUCAUCACCUAUAGGUACCUGCAUAGAAUCAAGUGUAGGACAUAUGUUAGCAGUAUCAAAAUCUAAUUCCUUACUUGAUUCAACAGAACCAACAAAACAAAUUUCCGCAGAGUUUGUAAAAUUCUCAUCCUGAAUGUGUUCCUCAAUGAUUGGCUCAAUAAGAUAAAUUUCAUCAUUCUUAUUAUCAUCAUCUUCUUGGUGGUGAGGUUGUUUACACAUGUUAAACACAUUCAGUUCCAGUGUCAUGUCGCCAAAAGAUAAAUUCAUUAAUCCAUUCCUGCAAUUUAUCAAAGCAUUAGCAAUAGCUAAAAAUGGUCGACCCAAUAUAACAGGAAUUUGUUUGCAUUCAUUAGCAAUUGGUUCCGUUUCCAAAACAAUAAAAUCCACAGGAUAUAUGAAUUUAUCGACUUGGACUAAUACAUCUUCAAUUAUUCCUUUUGGAACCUUCAUCGAUCUAUCAGCAAGUAAAAGAGUGGUAGAAGUUGGUUUUAACUCACCAAGAUUGAGUUGUUGGUACACUGAGUAAGGAAGUAAAUUAACACUAGCACCAAGAUCAAGUAAAUCAUGUCCAAUUUUAUGAUCCCCAAUAGUGCAAGAAAUAGUUGGACAAUCAGGAUCCUUGUAUUUCAAAGCACUAUUGGUUGAGAGAAUGGAACUUACCUGUUCUGUUAGAAAAGCUCUCUUUUGCACCUUAUAUUUCUUUUUCACCGUGCACAGAUCUUUCAGAAAUUUAGCAUAGGAUGGCACCUAUUUAAUGACAUCCAGCAGAGGAAUGUUGACCUUUACUUGUUUAAAAAUUUCAUAAAUUUCUAGACUGUGGUUUCAUUUCUUUGGCUUGAUCAGUGCUUGAGGAAAUUAGGGUACAAGAAGAGAGUUGGUUACUUCUUCAUGGGUUAAAGGUUCGAUAAACUCUUCCAUAUUUUCUAAAAUUGAAUCUUUACUAGUUUCACGAUGGUCCACAAUGUGUUUUUCAACUACUUUACCACCACGAAGGGUUAUAACCGAUUUGACUUGACUCAUAUUUUGGUUUCCUGAAUUUCCCAUUUUAGGAUGUUGUUGACUCUUGGGGUUUGGUUCAGGUUGAGUAGGAAACUUUCCUUUUUCAUGUAUGGUCAGAGCAGAUGUAAGUUUGGAAAUAGUUUCUGUCAAAUUGGUUAAGAUUUGCAUCUUUUGGUUAUUGAUUGACUCUUUUUUUUCAAUAAACGAAUGCAAUGUGUCUUUCAGAGUUUUUCUUGGUGGUGGGACAUAUGGUGGGUAACUCUGGGAGUUUUGGAAAUUUUGACGUGGAGGGGCUGGUUGUGAAGGUUGUGCAUGAUUGUCAUUUCUCCAACUGAAAUUUGGGUGGUUUCUCCAACUAGAGUUGUAAGUUUGGGAGUAUGAAUUUGGAUUUGACUUUUUGAAAUUAUCAACGACAUCUACUUGUUCAUGCAGACUUUCUCUCAGAGCUGGUAAAGUUGGACAGUCCUGCGUAGAAUGGUCAGUAGAAUCGCAAACAUAACAUGAAAUAUUUUGAACAGACUUUACAUGAUCAUUCUUUUUCAACUCUAAUGCUUCGACUUUUCUAGCUAAUGAUGCAAAUUUGGCUUGAAAAUCAUGGUCUUCCCUAAGGUUAUGCAUGCCUCCACCAGAUGGAGAUGACUAGGGUUUGCUUGAUGACUCAUAAGAACCAACCGUAUCCCAGUGUUUUGCAUUUUCUGCUAUAUAGUCAAGAUAGUCUAAUGCAUCUUCAGGACUUUUAUCCCUAAACUCACCAUUACACAUCAUUUCAAUGACUUGUUUACCUUAGGAUGUUAAUCCCUCGUAGAAAUAAGACAUUAAUCUCCAUGUUUCAAAACCGUGAUGUGGACAAAUGUUAAGCAGUUCUUUAAACCUAUCCUAACAUUGGUAGAGAGUUUCUCAUGGUUUUUGAGUGAAAGUGGUGAUUUUGAAAUAAAAGUGUGCAACCCAAGAGGGGGGGUGAAUUAGAAUUUUAAAAAUUAUCCUAGCAAAUCUACACAACAAGCAAUCUAAUGUCUUAAUAAAAAUUGAAAGCAAUAAGUUCAAUAAAAGCACAAGAACGAAUGAGUAAGAGAGAAGAGAAACAAACACACGAAAUUUUACGUGGUUCGGCAAUCCCCGCCUACGUCCACGCCUCCAAGCGAUCCAAGCUUGAGGAUUUCACUAUCCGAGCCUUUCCAAGGCUUCAACCGUUUACAAUUGACUUCAAGGUGUCAAUGAACCUUUACAACAAAGAGAUUAUCUCUCAAUCUCUUCACUCAAGUGUCUCACACACUCAAACUUUUACAAUUAAGAUGAAGAAAUGAAAGUUACAAUAAAACUCACUCAAAAAGUAGAUAUUCAAAAAUGAAGAACAAGAAAUGAUUCAAUGUUUUGUGAUUUGCAAAUUGAAAGCUCAAGAUAUUUCGUGUGCUUUUUGUUUAUGCUUGGUGGAGAGCUUGAAAAUGAGUUGGAUUUGAGUUUAUAUAGUUUAAGCUAAAAAGCUAGCCGUUAUGCACAUUUUGGUCGUAAUCGGCUUGCCGUUUAGAAAUCUGGUAAGCUGCUUUUAUGUUACCGUUAAGGCAAAAAUUUGAAUUUCAGAAUAUCCGGCUUGCCGCUUUUCAUAUCCGGCAAGCCGCUUUUGAAAUCUGGAUUGCCGCUUGCGAAAUCCGGUAAGCCGUUUAUGCUCCAGAAGCUUACUGCUCAAAAUUUGGUUUGUCAUUUACCAUAUCCGGUAAACCGCUUGCUACAGUGACUGCUACAGUGAAAUAUUUCUUAAAUUUACAGCUUAACCUAAACUUUAUAAAAUUAUAUUAUGGCCCAAAAUGUUAUGAAAGUUUAUAAAUAGGUCUAAUUUCAUAAUUUUAAAUAAUACUUUGUCAAUCCCAAAACUUUAUGAAAUUAUGAUUUUGUCCAAACUAUGUGAAAUUAUAGAAUGACCCAAAAUAUUUAAAUAGUUUCAAAUAGGUCCAAAUCUGAAAUUUAAAACAUUAUCAAAGAUUUUAAAAUACUUUCAUUUUAGUCCAAAAUACUUUAAUUCCAUAACAUCAUUUUCUUAUUAUAAAAGCACAAUUCCUAAAUCUUUGCUUCAUCAAUACAUGUGGUUUGUUAUCAUCAAAAUCAAUCUUUAUAGGCAUAUAGGCUAACAGAUUUGUCUUUUGAAAGAAUUUGUUCUGUGGGAUGGGAAGAAUUUUUUCAAAAAUUGUGCUUGCAUUUCAUCCCAAGUUCUGAUGGAUUCUAACCUAAGAUUUUGUAGCCAAGUUUUAGCUUUAUCCUUUAGUGAGAAAGGAAAAAACUUAAGCCUGAUUAUAUUCAUGCUACAAUUUUGAUCAGUACAGAUGUUAUAGACUUCCACAAAUUCCCUUAAAUGCAAAUAUGAAUUUUCAGACUCAAAACCACGAAAAGUAGGAAGAAAUUGAAUGAUACCAGGUUUGAAAUUAAAACGUGAUGCAUCAGGAGGGAAAACUAUGCAUGAUGGUGACCCUGUUCUAGUAGGAUGCAUGAAAUCUCUAAGGGUCCUAGGUUGGUCAUGAAGAUCUUGCAAGGCUUGGUCAUAUUUAAGGGUGGUGAAGGUGAUUUUCUAAUUAAUCUACCACUAUUUGUACGAGACCAACGACGCAUGCAAUGCUAAUGAUGUGUGCUAAACUAAUGAUGCAAAAACGCUAAAUGAAAAUUGCAGAAAUAAAAGUAAACUGGAAAUUAAAUAAGCAAAAAAAAUACGAAUAAAAAUAAACACUGAAAAAUAAAUAAAUAAAUUAGGCGGUGAAACCAACCAUUAAAAGAAACAGUUUAGGCGGUAUUUUAAAACCAGCCAUAUAAUAAAACAUAAAAUUAAAUAAAUUAAUGCACAAAAAUAAAUAAACUGAAAUUAAAAUGCUAGGCGGUAGAACCGACCAUAUAAAUACAAAUACAUAAAUUAACAAAAUUUAAAUAACAGUCAAGCGGUAGAACUGACCAUUUAAAAUAAAUGCGGAAAGUAAAUUACAGAAAUUUAAAUAAAUAAAUUUGAUUUGAGGACUGAUUUGCAAAGGUUUUUGGGCUAAGAUGAAGUUUUUCACAAAUUUUAUGGAUAAUGUUAAGGUUUGAAAAGAAGAGGGGUGCUAACUAAAGUUUUACAAAAAGAGAAUCAAAUAGAAUCACGGAAAGAUGGUAACGACAAAACAAACAAAAAUAAAUUAAAAUAAAAUAAAAAUAAAGUAAAGACAAACGAAUACCAAAUUUAGAAAACUCCCCGGCAAUGGCGCCAAAAACUUGACACUACUCAAAAGUGUGUUACUCUCAAGUAUAAGAGUGUCUAGUUAUAAUAUAACCCGGUGAGACCGGGGUCGAACCACAUGGAGUUUUAAAUCUAGUAAAACUAAGAAAAUUAAUUGUGGGGAAAAGAAAUUAUUUGAAAUCAAUUUAAAAAUAAGUUAAGGUUUAGGAUCCACUCUUUGUAUUCAAACUAUAAUUUUAAUACUCUCUUAUUUAUAUUUUGCCUCACUUUUACCAAUUAAUUAUUAUAUCAUUUAAUUCUAUGUGUGUGGAUAAAUAUAGAAUAAAGUACCUAAUGUGCCACACUAUAUUAAUGUGUCGACAUUAUGUCAAAAUACCAUAAAAUCCAGUAGAUUUAUAAAUUAACAUGAUAUAAAAAUAAUUAGAAAAGAAUUAAAAAAAAACUCAUUUGAGAAAAUAAUAAUAAUUAAUAGUUUGAAACAUUGAGCUUCACUCUUCACCUCAGCUUAAUAAAAUUAGCUGCUCAUAUUGAAAGAAAACACAACAAUUUUUUUAUUUGAUAAACGUUUGAAAUAUAUUACAAAGAAAAUUGAUACAAACGGAAAUAAGAAAAGAAACAAAGAAAGAAAGAAAAUCUUCAGUCUCGGCUUCAGCUCUCAAAUUUUGCUCUCCAGCUUCCCCUCGCUCUUCAAUUUCUCCUCCCUUUUUAUAGGCAACAAUUGCCUUUAACUUUCUUUAUUUUAUUAUUUAUUUAUUAUUUUAUCAUUAUUUUGAAAUUAUAUAAGUGUGUUGAAAUAUGUGAUGGUCAGGAGGCGUAAUGGCCUCCUGACCAUCACCAACAUGUUUUUGUUCUUUUGUUCUUUUUUUUAUUGAUUAUUUAUUAUUACAUCUCUUCAAUUUUGUUCCAGUAGUUCUUCUCUGUUUCUGCUUUCAAUUCCAAGUCCAUCUUUAUUCCUGAAAAAUAUUUACAAGAUAAAAAUUAACAAAUUACGAAUUAAUUUAACAUAAAAUAUAUUUGGGGAAUAUUAAAAUAAUUUAGAAAUAAUGAACGCAUUAAUCGACACAAUAAGUGAAAAGCUAAUAAUUUUAUCCUUAUUAAAUGUACACGUUUUAGUGUCAAUCACACCCCCAACCAGCUUAUUAUUAGGCCCUAGCAAUUUAAGCGAUAAACGUUUAGUAAAAUUUCAAACUCAAAUUGAAAAUCAUUUUUUUUUAAAUUGUGUUUACUUCUUCCAUCAAAUUAAAUGUGAAUUUGAUAAAGUUGAAAAUACCAUAUGCUAUUAUAAUGAUCAAUAUUUUAUAAAGAUACCAGAUCCAUGGGGGAAAACGAUUAUGUUAGAAUAUAACAAGGAAUAAAUUGAUACCCUAAGAAAUAGGAUCAGAUUUGCUCGAAAUAGAAUUAGUGAACCGUAUGUUGAAAAAAGAGUUAAGAGACUUUGGUAAAGUCCCCAUAGUUCAGCUUCCAUAAUGGAAUAACUACCCAAAUUCAUGCUAAACCCGCAAACCCAUUCCCUACAAUAAUUCCUCACCAAGCCACCACAAUUAGCCAAUCCCGAUCUCUUCAAAGCCUCAUCAGUAUUGAGCUUGAAGAAUGACCACUUUGGGGGCUGCCAAUAGAUCCAUCUUUUAGUUUUUGGAACUCUCUGACUAUCUAAAGACUUUAUAAGCAGCGAUGCUUUUUUCCGUGCGAUUGUUCACAUUCACAAUUACAUUGUGAAGGCUGCUUGAUUUGUGCGCAUAAACGAACUCAUUGUGCCAAUACCACAUGCGCCAGACAUGACGCCAAAUAACAUUGACCUAUCCUUCUCAUUAGUGAUCCUCAAGUGGUUUUUCAUAUUAUAAACAAUCCAUGCACGAACAUCCAAUGUAAAAAAGGUAUGACUUGUGUGUUUCGAAAUAAGGGCUAACCAAAUGCGUUUAGAGUCAACAUAAUCCCCGACUGCAUGGAGAGCAUCCUCUAUGAUAUGCCCACACCGCAUGCAAGUACUAUCAUUAAGCACAUGUCUUCGCGAUAAUUUAGCAUUAUUUUUCAAUCUAUUAUGCAUCAGCAGCCAAAGAAAGCACUGAAUGCUUUGGGGGCCUCUCCAUAUCCAAAUCAAAACCCAAAGGGAAUUAUUUUCAUUUAGCAUCGGUCUAAAGAGGGAUAAAUAAGCUGACCUCACGCUAAACGAACCAGACCGCGAUGGACCCCAAUAACAACAGUCAACUUCAUCGCUAACAGAAGGGGGCAUAGUGCCUGCUAUUUUGAGAAUUAUAUGGUGGGGUAGAAAAGAAGCAAAACAGUCCCAGUUGCAAGCACCAUUAUUAUCGAUAAAAUUAGCUACACACUCAUUUAAUAUGUUUUCAGUGAUUGUACCGAAAGUAUAAGAUUGCAACCAACGCCCAUCCUCCAGCCCAUAAUCUUUCCAAAAUCUAGCCAACUUCCUAUUCCUAAUAGCCCAGCGAGUCCCUUAGAGAACCUCAUUCCAUACGUUUCCCACGAAUUUUCAUAAAGGAGAACUAUAUCAAGUAGGACGUUUUAGAGGAAGGUUUUCUUUAUCAACGCCAUAUUUAAAUAUCAAUACUUGAAUCUAGAAGCUGUAGGGUGAUUCAAUAUGACCCCAACCAAUUUUCAUUAGUAAGGCUUUAUUCAUGAGAUUAAGAUCUUUAAGGCCAAGGCCCCCACAUAAAUUAAGGAGUUGUACUCUAUCCCACUUAAUAAGGUGUAUGCGAUGAGUCUCGUCAAUCUCGUUCUAGAUAAAAUGCUUGCAAAUCUGAUCAAUUUUAUUACGAAUACUUAGAGGUAGCAUGAAGGUCUACAUGGAAUAAGUUGGGAGAGCCAGAAUGAUCGACUGCAUUAAUGUUAUCGGACCUACAAGAGAAAGAUGUUUGGUUGUCCAGCCCGGAAGUCUCUGUAGUGCUAAUGGUGGUCAAGGAUAAGGUACCAGUUUCAGUGGGAGACAUUGAGUUUGCAUGAGAAAUCUGGGAGAUUUCAUAGAGAAUGUAUGAGUUAGUGACAAUGGUAAACAUGAUUAAACGCGUGAACUAACAUAAAAUGAAAUACAAAAACUAAAUGAUAAAGCACGAGUUUUGAAUAACAUUUAUUCUUCAAUCCACCAUCAAUUAAACAGAAGCAAGCCACUGUCAUUCUAAGUAAACAAACAUAACAAAACCACCUACAUAGGAAUAAUUUUUCAAUAUAGGAAUCUUGAACUUUUCAUGAAAAAAAAUCAGUUUACAAUAUUAGAGGUACGUGAAAAAUAAAGUUUAUAACAUUGUAUUAGUGGCUUGAGCAAUGCUUUUUGCCACUACGUUUUUUGUUGUUGUCUCUUUUGUGAAAUCAAGCCCCGUAGCCAAAGUCUCUCUGAUAGUAUUGAUGUUGCUGCCACCGGGCAAAUGAUGAGCAACAAAAAAACUGCUUAAAACAUUGCAGUAACUUUAAAACAAGGCAUGAAAUUAAAAGGAAGAGAAUAGAUGAUGCACUUUUGAAGGUAGAAAAGAAGGAUGAUUCAAGAUUCAUUUCAAAUUUUUUUGAAGUGUUUUGAUUAGUGAAUAUCCAAAGGCUGCUUAACUACAAAGGUGAAGUGGGAAGAAAUUUUGACAUUUUGUUACAUUGAGCUAGCCAGCGAAUGUCUAUGAGGGGCUUCACUUGUACACAUAAAAAAGGAAGAUUAAUUACUCGUGGUUUUUUAUUCAGAAAAAAAAUGGCUUGCUUAAAAUAUAGAGUGUGGUUAAUUUCAUUGAAGGACAUGAUUCAAAGGAAAAGAAAAAUAAAUCUAAUAAUCAACUAAACAAAAAAUAAUGCCAAAAACAAUAAAUUUAAUUAAAUGUACAGUGAAAUUACCUUUAUAAUGCAACAAGAUAUUAAAAUCAAUAGUUAAUGCUAAUAAAUGAAGCGUAAUUUAUUUAAUACUUAUUUAUGGACUCUUUCAAUUCCAUUAAAGCCACUGCAAGUCGUUUUUUAAUAUUCGCUGAGAUAAAUAGAGGCUCAUGCCUUUCUGAUUCUUCCACAUCUCUUUCAAUUCUAAUUAAGCCGUUUGCAAUUCUCUUAAGAAAUUAAAAAAUGUCGAAGAGUCUUACUUUCAUCAUUUUGGCUUUGCUUGUAGUGGCAAACACUAAAAACAUGCUUAUUUCAGCCAGUAGAACUAGCCAAGGAUCUAAGCCAGAGGCUUUAUUUUCUAUUAACCCUAUAGCAUCACCUGACAUUGUUGAUUGCUCAGGGCUCACAAGUGAAGAGUGUUUGAUCGAGUUGAUUAAGAAAGCACUUGUAGACUAUCGAUACCCCUGCCCUGAGGGGGGGUGCAAAUGAUAUUGUUAAUAAGUUAUUUCUUUUACCUUGUAGGAGUGCUUUUGCAAUAACGAUCAAUUACAGUGAAAUUGAAUUCGUGUUUUUAAUAAAAUAAAACAUUAAUCCAUUAUGCAUAGGUAAUAUUAUGUCAUAUGUUUUUGGUGUGUGUAUCUCCUACUGCUUUGUUAUAGAUGCAUCGUCGAAUCAAUCUUCCAGAAAUCAGUUUCUUUAAAUAAUAGAAAUUAUCAACCAAUCAACAUUACUAUGUUGGUACCAUUUGUAAUAUUUAAAUUUUAAGUCUAUCUACUUUUAGGGUGAGAUUAUUGAUUCCUAAGAAAAAUAAUAAAAUAAACCCUCAUUAUCGAAAUCCUAUAUUACUAAGCUGUCUGAUUUAAUUUAAUGUUAAACUUUAAUUUAACCCCUGAAAAUGUCCAGACUUACCUACAUUUAUUGCUAAGAAUAUGAUUUAAAAGUUCAUUAAUGUGCACCUCAUUUAUGCUCAUCUUUUGAAGAACAAAUAGGGUGGAUUGAGAUUUUCAUACUUUUGGAGGGUAAAUUAAAGAUAGUUAUUAGGAGGGAACAAAUUGAAGUUUGUUUUUAAAUGCAAAGAUGUAUUCUUUUCGUUUAUUUGAGAUAGUUCGUUUGACUUUAAUUUAACAUAUGUUUUUGUAAUUGAAAUAUAGAUACUUCUUUAUUUUUGUUAUUCAGCUAAGUAAUAUAAUAUUUAUAUUUAAUUGAUCACUUAAAAAAUGUUUAUGCAUUAAUAUGUUAAUUUUUCGCUGCUUGGAAGGUAAGAAUUUUUUUUUUAUAAGAAAAUAAUGCAAGCAACAAUAAGAAUUAAGAUUAAUCAUAUAAUGAUGCAAACUAUGGACAUGCUAAUUAGUUGGUACACGGAAUCUUAAUCAAUGAUGUCCGGUUUCAGCUUUCCUUGUUUUUUCUUUCUUCGGUAAUGCUCUUGAGAUGUUAUGAAUUAAAUAAACAUAUGUUCCCAAUUAUGCACUCUUAUCAUAUAGGGAGCAUCAUAAACAGAGGAAAAAAAAAUUUCAAGUUUGGUGACCAAAAAGACUUGAAACAAUGCCUAAUGUCUUUGAAAGAAGUAGGGGAUUCAACACAACUGUGUGGACUGAAUAGAGAAGUAGUAGCAAAUAGAACACUCAACAUAAAAGGCACCAAACAAAAUACAGUUAAAAGGUUGUUACAAGUGAAUAAAAGUUACAGAUUUUAUUUUGAAAUUAAAUUCUAAAAAUAAAUUCAAGAGUUAGUGUUUCAUUUUCUGGAUGUAAAUGCCCUUCACCAAUUUCAUUUUAAAAACACACCAAAAUCCAAGUAAUUUUUUUGCUCACCUCUCUCAACUAAAAUCUUUCUAUCUUAGACUUCACGUGAUGGAGUUCCAACACUAGUUUGAAGUUCGCAAGAGUAGUGAGAUUAUGUUGCCGAGACCAUUUGACUUUGUAAUAUCCUAAGGGACAGUUGCUAAUAUAACCUAAGUACUACUGAGAAAAUGACAAAUCCUUUUUAAGGACAUUGUAACUGCACAUGCCUCAGUUUUAAUUUUAUGUUCUUCUCUUUUCUUAUUGAUCUAUACUAGAGAAAAUAUCUCUACACUAACUCUGUUUUUAUCAUAUGUACAUCUAGACACCACAAAAUUUUAACAUGUUCUUUGCACCACCAUCAUUUCUGAACUUGUAUUAAUCGACUAAUUUGACAAUAAUAAUUAAAAUAAAAUGACCAUUUUACCCCUAAGUGAUCUAAAAGACCAUUUUAUCCCACGAAAUUUUUAAUUAAAAAAAUAUGAUUACCAUUUAAUUAAUUGAUAAAAUAUUAUUGAAAAAUCAACCUGCGAGUACUAUUUAAUUAAUGGAUAAAAUAUUAUUGAUUUUUUCAAUUCUUUUGACCAAACAAAUGUGUAAUUCUCAUCUUAAAUAUUUUCCUUUUUUUUUAUCAAUCUUACAGUCACAAUUAUCAAACAAUUUUCAUUUUUUAAAUUAAUCACCAAAAUAACAAUAGUUUGAACCAAUUUUGAAUAAUAAAAAUUAUAAAUUGGAAAAUGUAUCGAGUAAAAAUUAUAAUUAUAAAAAUUAACAUCGCAGAUUUUGAGAUUUUUUUCUAUUAAAUCAAAGGUAUUCUCAUGACUAUAAUUUUUUUUUUCAAAACUUUUGUAGGAUAAAAUAGUCUUUCAUUUCAUUCAAGAAUAAAAUGGUCAUUUUAUUUCAUUUCUUAGUGUGAAAGUAGUUCACUGAAAGAACUUUAGAAACAAAGUGGUGAAAGAACAAGUUAAAAAUUUGUGGUAGUUAGAUAUAUGUAUGACAAAACAGUGGUGGUGCAGAGAUAAUUUCCCUUAAUACUAUUGACAAGUGUGUAGCUAGCUUACUAGUAAACUUAGGCACUCUUAGAAAGAUUCUAAAGCAAAAGUAAUGCCUGAAAAAUCUAGAUUUAAGUAAGGCCAUUUGUGACCCUUUUAGUCUUUUCUAAGAACUCAACUGGUAUAUUUUUUCAUACACUAUGGAUUGUUUUAUGUCAUUUAUUGGCAAUAAUUUUCAACAUAUAUUCCCAAACUUUACCAUUAUAUAGCUUGAAGUUCAUAGGACUUUGGAAUCAGAUCAUUUACAACAAUCUUUACAAGGUGAUAAUGAUACGGAGAGCAUAUGUAAAUUUUAAGUCAAUCAGUAUGAGGGCGCCUUCAACUUAAUUGGGGUCUUCACUUUUAAGGCACUACCGGGGUGGUCAUUGCCCUCAUUGCUUAUGUACCUUAACUUCAUAUAGAUUUUUACUUUUUUCGAUCCCCUUUUUGGAGCAUAAGUAGAUUGUCGAUUAAUGCCAAACGCAUAAGAAUAUGGUCAGAUGCCUAGAUUAUAGAAAAAUAACGAAAUUUAAAGUAAUACAUCAGACUGCUGAUGUAUUAACAUUAUAUUGAAAUUUAAUAUUUGGCUACCAACAAGCACAUAUUAUAUAAAAAGAAUUAAACAAGCAAAUAAGCAUAAAGUGAAAUACUUAAAUAGAAUGAUAGAGCGCAUGUUUUGGAAAAGUUUAUUCCUCAAUCCACCACUAAUUAAAUAGAAGCAAGUCACUGUCAUUCUAUGUAAACAUACAUAAACAAUCACGUACUUAGGAAUAAUUUUUUGAUUUGGGAAUCUUGAAUUUUUCAUUAAAAAAUUAGUUUACAAUAUUAUAAGUACGUGAAAAAGAAAGUGAUCGUGUACGAGGGUUUUUUGCAUUACCGAUCAAUUGCAGUGAAAUCAAAGCUGCGUUUUAAUAAAAAGAAGAAAAGGAUCACACAUACAUAGUUCAUACUUCUAAAUGUUGGAUUAAAAUUUAUUAAAACACAACACGGGCGAAGUCACUAGCAAAUAGCAAAGAAUAGCAAAGUCAUUCUUCGGGAAUAUAUUGAAUAUCACUCUAGAUAUGUUACAGUAGUAAACUUCACUCCAUUUUAUUAGAAGUAAUAGGACCAUUUGGUCCAUAUAUUGAAGAUGUAUCUACCUACAAAAGCAUAGUUAAUGGCCAACAAUAUCUCAUCUUAACCACACCAGAGACAUCAUUUACAAUGCAUAAGCUAAAUUAGUAUAUGGCUGCUCCUACACUUCAAAAUCUAAUGGCUUGUAAACGAGUGUUAAGGUACUUAAAGGAACUGGAAGAUAUGGAUGAAACUAAUUGGAUUCACAGAUACAGAGUAGGUAUGUGAUUUGGAUGACAAAAAAUCUAUUGGAGUUUACUACGUAUACUUGGGAAACAAUUUAAUACAUGGUCAUCAAAGAAGCAAUCUAUGGUAGCAAGGUCCAGUGCAGAAAGUGAAUAUAGAGCACUUGCAGAAUUAACUUGGUUGCAAUCAUUAUUCAGUGAAAUCAAAAUACAACGUACAUUAGUUCCAUCAAUUUGGUGUGGUAAUGCAAGUGCCACUGAAUUAUCCAAGAAUCCAAUCUAUCACUCAAGAACUAAACAUAUUGAGUUGGAUAUGCACAUUGUGAGAGGCAAAAUACUUGUAAAAGAACUUUUAAUCAGUUAUAUAACAUGUGCAGAACAAAUUGCCCAAUUAUAUCUUUACAUAUUAAUUUUGCUAGUAUAAUAUCCUUGAGAAUAAUUUGAAUCAAAUGAUUUUGUUACUUUGGUAGUAAUUAAAUAAUAUUAGAUUGAAUUGCUGUGUCAUUUGUUUAGCUUAUUUUAACCCUAUGUAAAAUUAGCUUCGGCAAGUAAAAUGAAAUUUACAUUAUUAAAAUCAUUGUUUGUGGUAAUAAAAGUUCACUUGGAAUUUUAUAAUAUCAACUUGAAAUUUAACUCAAAGUAUUGGUAGUUAAGGAUUUUAAUAGAAAUAUUAAAUAGAAACAAGUAGUUAACAAGUUAAAACAAGUAAACCUAUAAUUGAGUAUGUUUAACUAAAAUUAGGGGCUAAUUUAACAAAAAGUUAAACAAUAGAAAGUAAAUUUGGCAUUUAACCCAAAUAGUUAAAAUUUUACCAAGUUAUUGGAAAUACUCAAACAAAAGUAUUGAAAUAAUAGUUGAAACACAUAAGUUAAAAAGGAAUAAAAUAUUAACCAAAUUCUAAUUUUAAAACUCAUCCAAUAAGAAAUGAAUUUAAUUAGAAUUUAACAAAAAGUAUUGGUAUUUAAUAAACUUAAUAUGAACAUUAAACGCAUAGCUGGUAGAUUUAUAAGUUAGAAAUAUGUAAACCUAGAAGUAAGAAGGUUUAACCAAAAUUAAGGCAUAAAAAAUAUAUAAAAAAUUCCAAUUGGUAUUUAAAUUAAAUAAUUGCAACCUUACCUAAUCAGUAGGAAUAUUCAACAAAAAAAUAGUGGAAUAAUUAGUUGAACCAUAUGAACCUAGAAGGGAGAAAAUUUAAGCAAAAUUAGGAACUUAUCCAAUGAGAAUGAACAUUAUUUGGAAUCUAACCCAAAAUUGGUAUUAAAUGAACGUAGUAGGAAUAUAAAACACAAAACUGGUAAACUACUAAUUAAGUUGAAGCUUGUGGACCUAUAAGUGAGAAAAAUUAACCAAAAUUAGAGACCAGUUUAACCAAAAAUAAAAUUAUAAAAAUUAAAUUUGGUGCUUACCCUCAAUAAUUAGAAUCUUAUUAAGUUAAUAGAAGUAUUCGAUACCAAAAUUAUGGAAAUUAGUAGUUGAAACUGGAAACCAUAAGAGAGAAAGUUCAAGUAAAAUUUGGAACUCAUCCACCAGAAAUAAAUUUAACUUGGAAUCUAACCAAAAUAUUGGUAUUGAAUGAAUAUAGUAGGAACAUCAAACACAAAACUAGAGGACUAAUAUGUUGAAAUAUGUGAACCAAUAAAUGAGAAAGUUAACCAAAGUUAAAGCCUAUUCUAACAAAAAAAAAUUAUAAAAAUUAAAGCUAUUAUUUAUUUCAAAUAAUUGAAAUUGUACUAAGUUACUAUAAAUAUUCAACACAAAUGAAAUAAUUAGUUGAGACAAGAACUCGUAAGAGAGAAAUUUUAAGCAAAAUUAGGAAAUCUUUAAAUGAAAAAUGAAAGUUGGAAUAUAACUUAAAAUAUUGGUAUCGAAUUUGGUACGAAUAUCAAAUACAAAAUUGAUGGACUAAUAACUUGAAACGUGGGAAACCAUAAGUGAAAAAGCUUAAGCAAAAUUAACGACUAGUCUAAGAAAAUAUAAUUGUUAUAUUUAACCCAAAUAAUUGAAAUCUUACUAAAUUAAUGAGAAUGCACAAUGUUCCUAUUGAAUUCCUUAAAUACUAAUAUAUUGGGUUAGAAUGUAAGUAAAGUCAUUUCCUAUUGGAUAAGUUCACAUUUUCGUUAUAUUUUCUACUAUUUGGGCUCAGUAGUUUCAAUUAAUUAUUCCAUCAUUUUGGUGUUGAGCAUUUCCAUUAACUUUGUAAGAUUCCAAUUAUAUAGGUUAGAUACUAAAUUUUUAUUUUUUAUAAAUUUAGUUUUGUUAGAUUAGUAACUUAUUUUGGUUAAACUUAUAGGUUCGUUUAUUCACUUUUAAGUUCACUAUUUUCGUGUUUUAUAUUCCUACUAAUGUCGUUAAAUACCAAUAUUUUGAGUUAGAUUUUAAACAACUUUCAUUUCUAUGAGAUGAGUUCAUAAUUUUAGUUCAACCUCAUUUCAUGUGGGUUUAUAUAUUUCAACUAUUAUUCCACUAAUUUUGUUCAGAAUAUAAAAAUGGAAGAAAUAGUUAUUUAUUUUGUAAAUAAUGGAGGAUAUAAUUUAAUGAUAGAUAGUAAAUAUAGACAAUAUUAUUAUUCAGAACAAAAUAUAUUAGAUGAUAACAACUAGAACAAUUGUAUUUUUCCGGAGAGCUCAUGAAAUUAGAAUUGGAGAACUCAUAAUAAUAAAGAAUUGAAAUUUCAACAUAGAUCCUAUUCUCCUAUUCACAGUUAGGAGAGAGGUUUAUAGAAAUAAUUUUUCAUAGAAAUAAUGGAAUAUUAAUUAUGUUGAGGAUUAUAUAGAUGAACUUGUGAUUGAUUAUAAUAGAUUUUUAACUAUUAAGCAAAGAGAUGAAUACAAUUGGAAUAAAUAAAGGAUCAGAAGUGAAUACUAUCCUUCUAGCAACAUUCUAAUAGGAUACAAAGAUUUAAUUAUAUAUAAGCUUUGUUAUAUACAUAAAGGAUUAGAAGAAAACAAUAUUUCUAAGGAUAUAAAAAAUAUUAUAUAUCACAAAUACUUGAUAGAAUAUAAUGAAAUAUUAUACAUAUGGUAUUAUGAAUAUAUUACUAGAACCAUUGAUAAUUUCAAAAAAUAUAGAAACCAAUAAAUUUCCACCUUCUCGCUAUAGGCAUAGAGGAUUUACUUAUGAAAGAUUUCAACCAUUUGAUUUGGUAAAUGAUUUUGAUAUGUAAGGAAGUAAUAAGUUAAACUAGAUUUCUCUAUAUUUAUUAAAUAAAUUUGGAAAUCCUAAUUUAACCAUAAAUGAUAUAGAAGAAAGUACAAAUGAAAUACUUGAAAUUAAAAGCUUUAAUACUGAAAAUAUAACACAAGUUAAAAUGUUAAAAGAUCAAAUGAGUGAAGAAUUUGAUUCACUCAAACAAUUAUAAAAGACUUCAAAAUUGAAGAUUAAGAUAGAUUGAAAUAAGAAAUCAUUAAUGUCAUGAACAAAAAUUCAAUUGAAGAUCAAUUACAUAAAAUUGGAAAAAUCAUUGAACAACUUGGUAAUAAGUGACAAGACUCAAAAGUGUAUUACUCUCAAGUAUAAGAGUGUCUAGUUAUAAUAUAACUUGGUGAGACCGGGGUCGAACCACAUGGAGUUUUAAAUCUAGUAAAAGUAAGAAAACUAAUUGCGGGGAAAAGAAAUUAUUUGAAAUCAAUUUAAAAAUAAGCUAAGGUUUAGGAUCCACUCUCUGUAUUCAAACAAUAAUUUUAAUACUCUCUCAUUUAUAUUUUGCCUCAUUUUUACCAAUUAAUUAUUAUAUCAUUUAAUUCUAUGUGUGUGGAUAAAUAUAGAAUAAAGUACCUGAUGUGCCACACUAUAUUAAUGUGUCGAUAUUAUGUCAAAAUACCAUAAAAUCCAGUUAGAUUUAUAAAUUAACAUGAUAUAAAAAUAAUUAAAAAAGAAUUAAAAAAACUCAUUUGAGAAAAUAAUAAUAAUUAAUAGUUUGAAACAUUGAGCUUCACUCUUCACCUCAGCUUAAUAAAAUUAGCUACUCAUAUUAAUAGAAAACACAACACUCUUUUUAUUUGAUAAAAUGUUUGAAAUAUAUUAUAAAGAAAAUUGAUACAAACGGAAAUAAGAAAAGAAAAAAAACAAAGAAAGAAGAAAAUCUUCAGUCUCGGCUUCAGCUCUCAAAUUUUGCUCUCCAAUUUCCCCCCGCUCUUCAAUUUCUCUCCCUUUUUAUAGCAACAAUGAUUUAACUUUCUUUAUUUAUAUUUAUUUUAUUAUUUAUUUAUUAUUUUAAAAUAUAUAAGUGUGUUGAAAUGUGUGAUGGUCAGGAGGCAUAAUGGCCUCCUGACCAUCACCAACGUGUUUUUGUUCUUUUGUUCUUUUAUUUUUUAUUUUUUAUUUUUAUUUUAUUGAUUAUUUAUUAUUACAUCUCUUCAAUUUUGUUCCAGUAGUUCUUCUUUGUUCUCGCUUUUAAUUUCAAUUCCAUCUUUAUUCAUGAAAAAUAUUUACAAGAUAAAAAUUAACAAAUUACGAAUUAAUUUAACAUAAAAUAUAUUUGGGGAGUAUUAAAAUAAUUUAGAAAUAAUGAACGCAUUAAUCGACACAAGAAGUGAAAAACUAAUAAUUUUAUCCUUAUUAAAUGUACACUUUUUAGUGUCAAUCACACCCCCCAACCAGCUUAUUGUUAGGCCCUAGCAAUUUAAGCGAUAAAAGUUUAGUAAAAUUUCAAACUCAAAUUGAAAAUCAUUUUUUUAAAAAAUUGUGUUUACUUCUUUCAUCAGAUUAAUGACAACAAUCAAAUAAAAGUAUAAGCAUUAUCUUCAGCCUGAAGAAAAUCACACCCGCUCAAAAUAGUUCAGUAAAAUCUUGUAAAAUGAUCAAUUAUCAGAGCUACAUUAAUCAAGCCACUUUUAAGAAUGAUACAUCAAACCCCAAAAUCUCACGAUUAAGAGUGACUAUCUCAAAAGAAGAUAUACCCCAAAUUAAUUUGUCACUCUAAAAAAAUGGUAAAUUUGAGAGAAUAAUAAAACAAUAUCACACGCUCUCACCAAGAUAAAAAUUAAUGCCCACAACUUAGAAAUAAAAUGAUAUCAAAUCCAAUGAAUUACUAGCAAAAUUUAUUUUUAUUUUUACUCAUCACCACAUCUUUUAGUCCAUAUUACCAGCUUUUACUUCAGAUUAUAAUUCCCAAAAAUCGAGAAGGACUUUUAUUAGGACGUAACGUAGGCUAUGGUUAUGGCUAACAAAAAAGGUGAUAGGGAAAAUAAAAAUAUAUGUUUGAAAAAUAGGGGACUUUUUGGAGAUUAUAAGGUGCUCUUUUUUUUUUUUCUCAGGUUCAAAGGGGUUAACUAUGGAUUCUUUAUAAUAGGGUUGGAUAGAAAGGCUCAAACGGAUCAAAGAUGGCCUUCUGUCAUCUUUUAGGGUUCUAUAUAAUCUUUCAUAUCCACUAGUUCAAUGGACUAUUAUAUGCGGCUGCACAAACUUUUUUUUUUAAUAUUGAGAUCUUGUACAAUAAAUUGUGAAGCUGUAUAGGCAAACAAGGUUACUCUCCAAGGAUAACAAACUCAAAAACUCGCUUGGUCUUUUUAUAACAUGUACAUUCAUCCAAAUGGCUUAAUCAAUUUCACUCAUUCAAUUUCUCAAUUUACGUUUCAACAUGCAAAGGGAAAAACAUAGUGUAAUAUAACUCAAGGCCAAAGAUAAUAUGAGUACCAAAAUUUGAAAAUCAUCAUGUUAUCCAAUGUUAAAAGAUCACAUCAAAAAAGAAAAUAAUUUUUUUUAAAGAAAGCACUAAAAAAUUGGGACUAAUUGUAGAAACUUAAGGGAGAUGAUUAAAAGAAAAAGACCGAAAACAACAAGUUAGAAACAUUGUUUUUUGGAAGAAAUCACAAAAAUUAAGAAGAUGCGUUUCUAGAGACAUUACAUUCUAUAUUCUGUCAUCUUCGACUCAAAUUUUUAUCCAAAGUUAGUCUUUACAACAAAAAUUAGUAAAAACAUCACUAGGAAUGAGACAUUCCAUAAUUAUCAACUAUUCCCUCCCCCCAACCUGAAGGAGACAUUGUCCUCAAUGUCUAAAGAAAGGAGUAGAGUUUAGACGAUAUCACCUGGUCACUGCUGGAAAUAUUUACAGACGGAGAGUUAAAUCUAAUUUACACUUUUUACGAGAGUUACUGCCAUCGUUAUCAAUUGCCCAAUCCAACACCAAAGUCAUGGGAUCUGGCUUUGGUUUGUAAGCUUGCAAAAGAGUGCAAAAGAUCAAGUAACUCAUUAGCAGUAUGAGCACAAAUGAAGAGUUUUUUCGCUGAGGAUGGAAUGAAAUAAUUUUUUAUUACAUGAUUAAGAAAUGUUAUUAAGCCAUUAUAAAAGUUAUUAACAUUUAACAAACCGAUUGGUUUUUUAUGGAUAUUAAAAUGGGUCCAGUAAGCAAAUGUAAUUAGCGCCUCCAAAGUUGCAAGGUCUCCUGGCAAGAAAAUAAAAACGUCAGCAUGAUUUAACAUUUCGGAUAUUCUUUCUUGCAUACUUGAGACAACUAACUCUUCUCCAGUUGGUGAGUCUGGUAGCCAUCCUAAAGGUUUUAAGGCUUUUGAAAUGAUGCCUAGCACUUGGCUUCCUCGAACGAAAGCAGCUUCAGAGACAAGCUUUGAUAACCCUCGGUCACCUCCUCCAUAUACAAGAUGUAGUUUCCUCUCUGCUAUAGCACGACCAAGAUCUACGGCUACUUAAACGAACUCCUUAAACUUUCCAUAGCGAAAUCUAGAAAGCACACAAAUGUUUUUAAGUUGACUGCUUGAAGUUGCUGCCAUUACAAAAAUUCUAAAAAGAAACAAUUUGUGAGUGCUUGAAAAGGAGUUCCUAUUUAAGGAUCUUGGUGACGGACAUAAUGAUGUACAUUUGUAAAUGGGGUGGUGUGUUUGUUAAAUGACGUGUGAAGCUUUUAGCUUAAUAAUUCAAAUGCAAACAGUGAAAAGAAAAAGUAAAUUGUGAUUAGAUAAAAAAAACAAUAAUAAUAAUAAUGCAAAAUAUAAAAGAACAGUAAAAUAAAAGGAUAUUUACUGGUAGUUGUAAUUGUGGCUUACAUCUUCCUCUGAUUUUACAUCCAGUAACGGCUUGAACGCCCUCUAUGGGUCGAGGAUAGGGUUCCCAUCCAGUUUUCUUAUAAACUGGCAAACAAGGUCUUUUAGAGUCAGAUUCCCAAGACUAAACUGUGCACUUUCCUUUUGGAACAGCUUCAACAAAUUUUGAAUUUCACGUUGAACAUAUAUGCUCGGAUGCAUCUCAAGAGAUCGUAAGAUAUCAUCCAACGAUUCUUUACUCAUGCUAUCCUUAACGAAUUUGAUUUUAUCUUCACGAUUUACAGAAAUCAUUCCUAAAGCUUUACAACGUGGAUUUUUGCAAGCAAGUCUUACACAAUGAGAACAUUCAGAGCCAAGUCGCUUAGCUCUUCUUUUUUUAGCAAAUGUACUUUUACCAAAACCAGGCAUGUAGGAAAUGAAUAGAUCAGAAAACUCACCUUCCAAUCGGACCUUUGCUUCGAUUAACUAUCGAAUGUCAGCAGGAAUCCCAUUGAUCAUUAACAAACACAGUUGUUCACAACGAGCUUUGUAACUCUUCUUAAGAGCAUUUUGAGGGAGAGAAGGAAAAUGUUGAUGCAAAUUUUGUUGUAUUUCUUCCAUGCUUGACAUUGAGGUUUCAGUUAUUGUGGGAAACUGAGAAUGCCGACUUAAAAAGUCACGGAGUACCGUUAUCCGUCAUUUAUACGAGAGAGUGAAUCAAAACAAAACAAAUCAAAUCUGCAAAAUCAAAUCAAAAGUGAAAAAUAGCAACAAAAUAAAACAAAAACACACAAGGAAUAUAACACACCUUCGUCCUUUUAUUGAAUCCAGUUCCAAUUGCAGAUUAUAAAUACCAUCAUCUAUUUCCUUGAGUUGUCUUUCUAGAUCUUUCACGUGAGAUACUAACUCUGGUGGUUGCAGAUCCCAAAUGGGAUGUAAUUUACAAAAUCGGAGCAAUUUCCUCAGGUGAAAUUUUACAUGAAAAAGCGUUUUAAAAUUAUCGAAAAGGAAAUUGCUCAUGGAGGUACUCAUGACAAGUAUAAAAAUUUGGUGAGCUAAAUCACAAUUGUCAAACAACACACAAUUAAAACAAUGCAAUGCACUCCAUUCAAGACAUAUGGAAAAGGAAAAAGAAAAAGAAAUCAAAUAAUUCAAAUGAUAAAGUAACAGUAAAUCAAAACAAAACGUUAAAAUGAAAAGGCUUAAUCAAAAUUUUGGUGGGUCACUCAAAUGGAAUUCGGCAUCUGCUUUAUGUGGUUGGUAUUCCAGAUAUGGUUUCAAUCUUUGGCCAUUAACUUUAAAUGUGACACCAUCCUUUGGAUUCUCAAUUUCUACGGCUCCAUAUGGAUACACAUUUUUUACAACAAAUGGGCCAUUCAACUUUGACUUUAACUUCCCUGGAAAUAAAUGAAGACGAGAAUUAUAAAGCAACACUUUUUGACCAAUUUCAAAUGUUUUCCGAAAAAUUCUUUUGUCAUGAAAAAAUUUGGUUCUUGCCUUAAUAAUUCUGGAAUUAUCAUAUGCAUCAUUCCUUAAUUCCUCAAGUUCAUUUAUUUGCAAUUUACGCACAUUGCCAGCAUCAUCAAGAUUUGAAUUAAAAGCUUUAAUGGCCCAAAAUGAUUUAUGUUCAAGUUUUACUGGUAAGUGGUAAGAUUUUCCAUAAAUAAGCCGAUAGGGUGACAUUCCUAAAGAUGUUUUAAAAGCAGUACGAUAUGCCCAAAGUGCAUAAAUUAGUCGAAGAGACCAAUCUAUACGGUUUGGAUUAACUGUUUUUUCUAAAAUUUGUUUUAUCUCCCUAUUUGCUAAUUCAACUUGACCACUUGUUUGAGGGUGAUAAAGGGUAGCAACCUUAUGUGUAAUUCCAUAUUUCUUCAUGAAAGACUCAAAUGGCUUAUUACAAAAAUGCUUACCUCCAUCACUGAUAAUGGCUUGAGGUAUUCAAAAUCUGCUCAAAAUAUUUUCUUCUAAAAAGCGGAUCACAAUCUUGUGAUCAUUGUGCCGACAAGGAAUCGUCUCGAUCUAUUUUGAAACAUAAUCAAUAGAAAUCAAAAUGUAUACAAAUCCAAAUGAUGAUGGGAAAAGACCCAUAAAAUCAAUUUCCCAACAAUCAAAUAUUUCAAUGACAAUGAUGGGGUUUAAAGGCUUCAUGUUCCGCUUUGAAAUAGACCCUAUCAUUUGAUAAUUCUUACACAUUUUACAGAAUGCAUGUGAAUCUUUAAAUAAUGUAGGCCAAUAAAAUCCACACUGCAAUAUUUUGCAGCUGUCUUUUUUGAAGAAAAAUUGCCACCGAAUGCUUCAGAAUGACAAAAUUGAAUGACCCUACUUACCUCGUCGUCUGAUAUGCCUCUUCGAAAAAUUUGAUCGGAGCAGUACUUGAACAGGUAUGGCUCAUCCCAGUAAAAGCUUUUUACUUCAGUUAAGAAUUUCUUCUUGUCUUGGGAACUCCAGUCACAUGGCAUUUCACUUGUUGUAGGAUAAUUAACAAUAUUAGCAUACCAAGGCAUUUUGUUUAUAGAAAACAAAAAUUCAUCAGGGAAAGAAUCAUUGAUGGGUGUUGUUUCAAUUGAAGACUCAUUUGUAAGUCUUGAAAGAUGAUCUGCAACAACAUUUUCAGCGCCCUUUUUGUCCUUGAUUGUCAAAUUAAAUUCUUGAAGUAGCAAAAUCCAUCGUAUUAACCUUGGUUUGGCAUCCUGUUUUGACAUUAAAUAUCUCACAGCAGCAUGAUCAGAAUAAACAACAGUACAUGAACCAAUUAAAUACGAACGAAAUUUAUCCAAUGCAAAUAUUACAGCAAGUAGUUCUUUCUCAAUUGUAGUGUAAUUCAUUUGAGCAGUAUUUAAAGUUCUACUUGCAUAAUAGAUGACAAAGGGCUUACCUUCCUUUCUUUGACCCAGAACAACGCCAACGGCAUAAUCAUUAGCAUCACACAUUAGCUCAAAAGGUAAAGACCAAUUAGGGGGUUGCAUUAUUGGGGCUGAUGUCAAAAAACUAAUUAUCUUUUCAAAAGCUUGUUGACAAUCUUUAGUCCAUUCAAAUUGUGUGUCUUUUAUUAGGAGGUUACAAAUUGGUCUAGAUAAGGCACUAAAAUCUUUUAUAAACCUCCUAUAAAAUACUGCAUGUCCUAAAAAAAGGGACUUCUCUAAUUGUCUUUGGUGAGGGUAAUUUUGAAAUGACUUCAACUUUGGCUUUAUCAACUUCGAUUCCUUUUGAAGACACAAUAUGGCCUAAGACAAUUCCAGAAGUGGUCAUGAAAUGACAUUUUUCCCAAUUUAAAACGAGUCCUUUUUCUUUGCACCUUUCCAAAACUUUUUCUAGAUUAUCAAGACAUGUAUCAAAAGAAUUACCAAAUACAGUUAAAUCAUCCAUAAAAACCUCUAGACAAUUUUUAACUAUGUCACUAAAAAUGCUUAGCAUGCAACUUUGAAAUGUUGCAGGAGCAUUACAAAGUCCAAAGGGCAUUCUCCUAAAUGCAAAUGUUCCAAAUGGGCACGUGAAUGUGGUCUUUUCCUGGUCUUCUAAGGCUUUAGGGAUUUGAUAAUAGCCAGAGCAGCCAUCAAGAAAGCAGUAGUAAGGAUGUCCAGCUACUCUUUCAAGAAUUUGGUCUAGAAAUGGAAAGGGAAAAUGAACUUUUCUAGUAGCAUAAUUUAAUUUUCUGUAAUCAAUGCACAUGCGCCAACUAGAUGGAAUUCGUGUUGGGAUUGAUUCACCUUUUUUAUUUUUUACAACAGUUAUUCCAGAAUUUUUUGGUACUACUUGUAUUGGACUUACCCGUUUACUAUUAGAGAUAGGGUAGAUAAUUCCUACAUCUAAUAGUUUAAGGACCUCAUUUUUUACCACUUCUUUCAUAUGAGGGUUUAGUCUUCUUUGUGGUUGACGGGUUGUUUUGGCAUUUUCCUCUAAGUGUAUUCAGUGUGUGCAAAUUAAAGGAUUAAUGUCUUUUAUGUCUUUUAAGGUCCAACCAAAUGCAAUUUUAUGCCUUUUUAGUACAGAUAACAACUUACCCUCUUGAUCAUGUGUGAGUUGAGAAGAAAUUACCACCGGAUAUGUCUGCUGCUCUCCAAGAUAGGCAUACUUCAAUUCUUCUAGUAACGGCUUUAAUUCGAGCUCUGGUGCUUCCUCUUCGUUUGCUUCUUUAGGUUGUACCGUAUCUUCAAAGUUCGAUUGGUCAUCAUCACCUAUAGGUACCUGCAUAGAAUCAAGUGUAGGACAUAUGUUAGCAGUAUCAAAAUCUAAUUCCUUACUUGAUUCAAUAGAACCAGUAAAAAGUAAAUUUCCGCAGAGUUUGUAAAAUUCUCAUCCUGAAUGUAUUCCUCAAUGAUUGGCUCGAUGAGAUCAAUUUCAUCAUUAUCAUUAUCAUCAUCUUCUUGGUGGUGAGGUUGUUUACACAUGUUGAACACAUUGAGUUCCAGUGUCAUGUUACCAAAAGAUAAAUUCAUUAAUCCAUUCCGGCAAUUUAUCAAAGCAUUAGUAGUAGCUAAAAAUGGUCGACCCAAUAUAAAAAUGGUCGACCCAAUAUAACAGAAAUUUGUUUGCAUUCAUUAGCAAUUGGUUCCGUUUCCAAAACAAUAAAAUCUACAGGAUAUAUGAAUUUAUCGACUUGGACUAAUACAUCUUCAAUUAUUCCUUUUGGAACCUUCAUCGAUCUAUCAGCAAGUAAAAAAGUAGUAGAAGUUGGUUUUAACUCACCGAGAUUGAGUUGUUGGUACACAGAGUAAGGAAGUAAAUUAACACUGGCACCAAGAUCAAGUAAAUCAUGUCCAAUUUUAUGAUCCCUAAUAGUGCAAGAAAUAGUUGGACAAUCAGGAUCCUUGUAUUUCAAAGCACUAUUGGUUGAGAGAAUGGAACUUACAUGUUCUGCUAGAAAAGCUCUCUUUUGCACCUUAUGUUUCCUUUUCACCGUGCACAGAUCUUUCAGAAAUUUAGCAUAGGACGACACCUGUUUAAUGACAUCCAGCAGAGGAAUGUUGACCUUUACUUAUUUAAAAACUUCAUAAAUUUCUGGACUGUGGUUUCAUUUCUUUGGCUUGAUCAGUGCUUGAGGAAAUUGGGGUACAAGAGGAGAAUUGGUUAUUUCUUCAUGGGUUAAAGGUUCGACAAACUCUUCCCUAUUUUUUGAAAUUGAAUCUUUACUAGUUUCACGAGGGUCCACAAUGUGUUUUUCAAUUACUUUACCACCACGAAGGUUAUAACCGAUUUGACUUGACUCAUAUUUUUGUUUCCUGAAUUUCCCAUUUUAGGAUGUUGUUGACUCUUGGGGUUUGGUUCAGGUUGAGCAGGAAACUUUCCUUUUUCAUGUAUGGUCAGAGCAGAUGUAAGUUUGGAGAUAGUUUCUGUCAAAUUGGUUAAGAUUUGCAUCUUUUGGUUAUUGAUUGACUCUUGUUUUUCAAUAAACGAAUGCAAUGUGUCUUUCAGAGUUUUUCUUGGUGGUGGGACAUAUGGUGGGUAGCUCUGGGAGUUUUGGAAAUUUUGACGUGGAGGGGCUGGUUGUAAAGGUUGUGCAUGAUUGUCAUUUCUCCAACUAAAAUUUGGGUGGUUUCUCUAACCAGAGUUGUAAGUUUGGGAGUAUGAAUUUGGAUUUGGCCUUUUGAAAUUAUCAACGACAUUUACUUGUUCAUGCAAACUUUGUCUUAGAGCUGGUAAAGUUGGACAGUCCUGCGUAGAAUGGUCAGUAGAAUCGCAAACAUAACAUAAAAUAUUUUGAACAGACUUUACAUGAUCAUUCUUUUUUUACUCUAAUGCUUCGACUUUUCUAGCUAAUGAUGCAAAUUUGGCUUGAAAAUCAUGGUCUUCCCUAAGGUUAUGCAUGCCUCCACCAGAUAGAGAUGACUAGGGUUUACUUGAUGACUCAUAAGAACCAACUGUAUUCCAGUGUUGUGCAUUUUCUGCUAUAUAGUCAAGAUAGUCUAAUGCAUCUUCAGGACUUUUAUCCCUAAACUCACUAUUACACAUCAUUUCAAUGACUUGUCUACCUUGGGAUGUUAAUCCCUCGUAGAAAUAAGACACUAAUCUCUAUGUUUCAAAACCAUGAUGUGGACAAAUGUUAAGCACUUCUUUAAACCUAUCCCAACAUUGGUAGAGAGUUUCUCCUAGCUUUUUAGUGAAAGUGGUGAUUUUGAAAUAUAAGUGUGCAACCCAAGAGGAGGGGUGAAUUGGAAUUUUAAAAAUUAUCCUAGCAAAUCCACACAACAAGCAAUCUAAUGUCUUAAUAAAAAUUGAAAGCAAUAAGUUCAAUAAAAGCACAAGAACAAAUGAGUAAGAGAGAAGAGAAACAAACACACGAAAUUUUACGUGGUUCGGCAAUCCCCGCCUAUGUCCAUGCCUCAAAGCGAUCCAAGCUUGAGGAUUUCACUAUCCGAGCCUUUCCAAGGCUUCAACCGUUUACAAUUGACUUCAAGGUGUCAAUGAACCUUUACAACAAAGAGAUUAUCUCCCAAUCUCUUCACUCAAGUGUCUCACACACUCAAACUUUUACAAUUAAGAUGAAGAAAUGAAAGUUACAAUAAAACUCACUCAAAGAGUAGAUAUUCAAAAAUGAAGAACAAGAAAUGAUUCAAUGUUUUGUGAUUUACAAAUUGAAAGCUCAAGAUAUCUCGUGUGCUUUUUGUUUAUGCUUGGUGGAGAGCUUGAAAAUGAGUUGGAUUUGAGUUUAUAUAGUUUAAGCUAAAAAAACUAGCUGUUAUGCACAUUUUGGUCUUAACCGGCUUGCCGUUUAUGAAUCCGAUAAGCUGCUUUUAUGUUACCGUUAAGGCAAAAAUUUGAAUUUCAGAAUAUCCGGCUUGCUGCUUUUCAUAUCCAGCAAGCCGCUUUUGAAAUCUGGAUUGUCGCUUGUGAAAUUCGGUAAGCCGUUUAUGCUCCAGAAGCUUACUGCCCAAAAUCCAGUUUGCCAUUUACCAUAUCCGGUAAGCCGCUUGCUACAGUGAAAUAUUUUCCAAAUUUAUAGUUUAACCCAAAACUUUAUAAAACUAUAUUAUGGCCCAAAAUGUUAUGAAAGUUUACAAAUUGGUCCAAUUUUAGAAUUUUAAAUAAUGCUUUGUCAAUCCCAAAACUUUUUGAAAUUAUGAUUUCGCCCAAACUAUGUGAAAUUUUAGAAUGACCUAAAAAUAUUUAAAUAGUUUCAAAUAGGUCCAAAUCUGAAAUUUAAAACAUUAUUAAAGAUUUUAAAAUACUUUCAUUUUAGUCCAAAAUACUUUAAUUCCAUAACAUCAUUUUCUUAUUAUAAAAGCACAAUUCCUAAAUCUUUGCUUCAUCAAUACAUGUGGUUUGUUAUCAUCAAAAUCAAUAUUUAUAGCCAUAUAGGCUAACAAAUUUGUCUUUUGAAAGAAUUUUUUCUAUGGGGUGGGAAGAAUUUUUUCAAAAAUUGUGCUUGCAUUUCAUCCCAAGUUCUGAUGGAUUCUAACCUAAGAUUUUGUAGCCAAGUUUUAGCUUUAUCCUUUAGUGAGGAAGGAAAAAACUUAAGCCUGAUUAUAUUCAUGCUACAAUUUUGAUCAAUACAGAUGUUACAGACUUCCUCAAAUUCCCUUAAAUGCAAAUAUGGAUUUUCAGACUCAAAACCAUGAAAAGUAGGAAGAAAUUGAAUGAUAUCAGGUUUGAAAUUAAAACGUGAUGCAUCAUGAGGGAAAAUUAUGCAUGAUGGUUACCCUGUUCUAGUAGGAUGCAUGAAAUCUCUAAGGGUCCUAGGUUGGUCAUGAAGAUUUUGCAAGGCUUGGUCAUUUUCGUGCUCCGAAAAAUUUUCAGCUCCUAUGUCAGCCAUAUUUAAGGGUGGUGAAGGUGAUUUUCUAAUUAAUCUACCACUAUUUGUACGAGACCAACGACGCAUGCAACGCUAAUGAUGUGUGCUAAACUAAUGAUGCAAAAAAGCUAAAUGAAAAUUACAUAAAUAAAAAUAAACUCGAAAUUAAAUAAGCAAAAAAAAAAUACGAAAUAAAAAUAAACGAACUGAAAAAUAAAUAAAUAAAUUAGGCAGUGAAACCAGCCAUUAAAAGAAACAGUUUAGGCGGUAUUUUAAAACCAGCCAUAUAAUAAAAAAUAAAAUUAAAUUAAUUAAUGCACAAAAAUAAAUAAACUGAAAUUAAAAUGCUAGGUGGUAGAACCGACCAUAUAAAUAAAAAUACAUAAAUUAACAAAAUUUAAAUAACAGUCAAGCGGUAGAACCGACCAUUGAAAAUAAAUGCGGAAAGUAAAUUACAGAAAUUUAAAUAAAUAAAUUUGAUUUGGGAACUGAUUUGCAAAGGUUUUUGGGCUAAGAUGAAGUUUCUCACAAAUUUUAUGGAUAAUGUUAAGGUUUGAAAAGAAGAGGGGUGCUAACUGAAGUUUUACAAAAAGAGAAUAAAAUAGAAUCACGGAAAGAUAGUAACGGCAAAACAAACAAAAAUAAAAUAAAAUAAAAUAAAAAUAAAGUAAAGACAAACGAAUACCAAAUUUAGAAAACUCCCGGGCAAUGGCGCCAAAAACAUGACACAACUCAAAAGUGUGUUACUCUCAAGUAUAAGAGUGUCUAGUUAUAAUAUACCCCGGUGAGACCGGGGUCGAACCACAUAGAGUUUUAAAUCUAAUAAAACUAAGAAAAUUAAUUGUGGGGAAAAGGAAUUAUUUGAAAUCAAUUUAAAAAUAAGCUAAGGUUUAGGAUCCACUCUCUGUAUUCAAACUAUAAUUUUAAUACUCUCUCAUUUAUAUUUUACCUCACUUUUACCAAUUAAUUAUUAUAUAAUUUAAUUCUAUGUGUGUGGAUAAAUAUAGAAUAAAGUACCUAAUGUGCCACACUAUAUUAAUGUGUCGAUAUUAUGACAAAAUACCAUAAAAUCCAGUGAGAUUUAUAAAUUAACAUGAUAUAAAAAUAAUUAGAAAAGAAUUAAAAAAACUCAUUUGAGAAAAUAAUAAUAAUUAAUAGUUUGAAACAUUGAGCUUCACUCUUCACCUCAGCUUAAUAAAAUUAGCUACUCAUAUUGAAAGAAAACACAACACUCUUUUUAUUUGAUAAACUUUUUGAAAUAUAUUACAAAGAAAAUUGAUACAAACGGAAAUAAGAAAAGAAAAGAAACAACGAAAGAAAGAAAAUCUUCAGUCUCGGCUUCAUCUCUCAAAUUUUGCUCUCCAGCUUCCCCCCGCUCUUCAAUUUCUCCUCCCUUUUUAUAGGCAACAAUUGCUGAUGAGCAUAAUUUGUAUACAUAUUUUACCGUUUAUUAUCUAAUUACUAGUUAUUUUUAUUAGUUAUUUUUAAUUAAUUGAAUUAUUUUAUUGCAUGGGGAAUUAAUUGGAGAUUGGAAAUAAAAAGUACAAAAAGAAUAACAAUUUAAAAGAAUAUUAGUUGAAGCCGUGACAGAGUUAAGAGUCAAGAGCAAUUUGCAUUGAAUUUCAAUUCUCCAACUGGGUUGCACGUGCAUGGCAUUGCAAAAGUGGAAAGCAAUUUAAAUAGGACCCGCACUUGGCUUUCAUAAUUGGAAAAGGAAUCCAAAAGCAAUUCUAAGGGUGAUCAUGUGUGAGAGCUAAAGCAAAUAAAAGGGCAAGCCUUUUGGCUUUAGGAUUUAAGAGGUGGGGCCCAUUUCAAAGAUUAUAAAAGGGAGUUUUGGCUUUUGGAGAAGGAGGCAGCCAUUGGACGGAAACAAAAGGGUGCAUACGCAAGGUUGGGAGAGAGUAUUCGGCAGAAGCAGCAGUUCGGCUUCCAUGGCUGAUUUUAUUUCUUGUGUUACUCUCAAUUCAAGUAUGUCUAGCUAAUUUUCUUAUACUGAGGUUAAGGAUGAAACCCUAUUUAAUGAAAUAAUUAUCUUUGUAUUUAAUUAAUUCCUUAUAUAUGUUCUUUGAUGAUUAUGGUUUUUAUUUCACAUGAUUAAUUGGAUGUAAAUAAAAUCUUUUCAUCAAUUCUGUCAUGCAUUAUUGAUUGUUAGGAUUAAUAUUUGAUUAAAUCUAUGCUUGGAUCUAUAAAGUUUAUACAUGAUUGUCUUUGAUUUUAUGUCUUUCAUUAAAUUGUUCACAUAGAAUGCUUAGGGAAACUUUGACUCUUUGUUAUUCAAUAUGUUUACAUGAAAUUCUUAGAUGUCAUACUAUUAAGCAGAAAAAGAACCUACAUAAGAUUAAUUUUAUUUGGGCUUAAUUGUUAUAUCUAUAAGAUGACAUAGAUUGAUUUCGAGUUGUCACUCUAAAAUUGGGGAUUAAUGAAUAUUUAGAUAAUUACUAGUUGAAUAGUGGUGGAUUCUGAAACCUUGGUAAUUCUUAUCUUAUUGAAUUCUCCUUUAUUUUAAUUGCUUCCUUGUUUAAUUGGUUUAAUUUUCUUAGAAACUCAAUUUUGGUCAACUAGGUUAGAAUUAAUGUUAAUUUUAGAUUUAAAUUAGACUUUUCAAUUUAUAACAAUCCCUGUGGGAUCAACCUCGUUACCACUAUUAUAUCUCUAGAUUUGUGCGCUUGCGAGUAUAUUAAAAUUUUCAUAACAAGUUUUUGACGCCGUUGUCGGAGAUUGUACUAGAAAGUCAGUUUAAUCUAGGUUAAUUUGAUUCUUCCACUAGUUAUAAUUUAGGUUGUCUUUUAUUUUAUUUAUUCAAUUUUUAUUAAAAAAAACAAAAAAAAAUUUAAUUUUAAUUUAAUUUUAUUUUGAAUUUAUUGUUUAGUUGUUUGCUUUCUUUUAUUUAAUUUUGUUUAUUUUUAUUAUUGUUGUUUUAUUUUUCUUCUUUGUCUAGUUAGUUUAUGAGUGUUUGGGAACGCGAUUCAACAAAUCGUUUGGUAAAAAAAGAGUCGAAAAUUGAUAGUAGUCGAGAUAGUUCUUCGGAAGUGAUGGAUGACCCCAAUAGAUUAUUGCCAAUACUUCCACCAGUGCAAGCAGAGAAAACCCUUAGAGAAUAUUUUUCACCACUUGCAGCCAACCAACCAUCUUGUAUUGUGUUGCCACAAACUACAGCAACACACUUUGAAUUUAAGCCCUCUGUCAUUCAACUUUUGCCAUCCUUCCAUAGGUUAGAGAGAGAGGACCCAUAUUUUCACAUUAAGGAAUUUCUUGACAUAUGCUCUACAUUCCGUUUUCAAAAUUUUAAUGAUGAGUCAAUUAGGCUUCGUAUGUUCCCUUUCUCAUUAAAAGACAAAGCAAAAGCUUGGUUGAAUUCACUUCCUGCUGGGUCCAUUAGUACAUGGGAUAAAUUGAGUAAUAAGUUUCUCACCAAGUUUUUUCCUAUGUCUAGAACAAAUGCCCUUAGGAGAGAGAUAAGUGAUUUUUAUCAAAGAGAGGGUGAGCAAUUUUACGAGUGUUGGGAAAGAUUCAAUGAUUUACUCCUUAAGUGUCCCCACCAUGGUUUUGAAAAAUGGAGACUUAUACAAUACUUUUAUAACGGUUUAACCAUGUCAAAUCGUCAUAUGGUAGAGUCUAUGAAUGGUGGGAGAUUUUUGAACUUACAUGAAUGGGCCGCAUGGGAUUUCUUUAAUUCACUUUCUGAAAUUUCUCAACAGUGGGAUUUUUCAAAUCAAAGGGAAAAAUCAUCUCAAGUUUCUAGAAAGGGGUUAUAUGAAGUUAAGGAUGAUUUAGAUAUGAAAUCCAAUCUAGCUACACCUUCUAGGAAAGUAGAUGCCUUAGUUAUGAACCAAUCCAUAAAUUAUCAUCCUAGUGUAGCUAAUGAGGUUUGUGCUAUUUGUUCUAACUUGUCUCAUACAGCACAGAAUUGUCCAUCAUUACCAGUCUAUCCAGAGGCUUAUUCUGAGUAGGUACAUGCCUUACAAUCAUAUGAGAAAACCUCCAAUAGUCCAUAUUCAUCCACAUAUAAUCCUAAUUGGAGGAAUCACCCUAAUUUUUCUUAGAAACAAAAUCAACCUUUGUCAAACCAAGGAGGGCAACAAUUUAACAUGCCCAAUCAACAAUUUGUCCCUCCUAACCAAGUAUAUCCUCCUGCCCAACAACCUAUGUCUCAAUUUGUUGCACCCCAACAAAGAAAGCCUUCUUUAGAGGAUACACUUCAAAGUUUCAUUUAGUCAACCCAACAAGCUUUUCAGUCAAAUACUCAAGCUAUUCUGAAGCUUGAACAUCAAUUGGGUCAAUUAGCAACUACUAUAGCGGAGAGAGAAAAAGGAAAAUUUCCAAGUCAACCAAUUCCCAAUCUUAAAGGAGUGCAUGAAGUUGAAUCGAGUUCAAGCCAUCAGCAUGAAGAAGCAAAAUCUGUUAUGACCUUGAGAAGAGGAAAGUUAUUUGACAACAAGGUGGAGGUUCAAACAAGAAAAACAUAUAAGUCUACUUCUUCAAAUCCAGUUCCAUCACAAGACUCAUCACCAAAUGAUCCAGAAGAGAGUGACCCACCAGCUUACAUUCCCAAGGCUCCUUUUCUUCAGGUUAACAAAGGUAAAGAAAGGGACUUCAACAGGUGAGAUUAUAGAAAUCUUCAAGCAGGUAAGUAUAAACAUCUCUUUACCCGAUGCUAUUAAGCAAGUUCCUUCCUAUGCCAAAAUUUUGAAAGAUUUAUGCACUAAAAAGAGAAAUUUGCAUGUCACUAAAAAGGCAUUUUUAACUGAACAAACUAACAAUUUACUUCAAUGUAAAAUGCCACCAAAAUUUAAGGAUCCUGGUUCGCCUACUAUCUCAUGUGUUAUAGGGAACCAAUGUUUUGAUAAAGCAUUAUUGGAUUUAGGCGCUAGUGUUAAUCUCUUGCCUUAUUCCGUUUACAUGCAGCUUGGACUAGGUGAGUUAAAAUCAACUCCUAUUAUUUUGCAACUUGCUGAUAGGUCAAUGAAAAUACCUCGUGGUAUUAUAGAGGAUGUGUUGAUACAGAUUGAUAAAUUUUAUUAUCCUGUUGAUUUUAUUGUUAUUGAUACUCAACGUGUACCGGAUCCGAAGAAACACACCCCAAUUAUUCUAGGUCGUCUUUUCUUAGCUACAACUGAUACUCAUAUUAGUUGCAGGACUGGAAACAUGCAAUUUUCUUUUGGUAACAUGACCAUGGAAUUAAACAUUUUUAAUAUUCCCAAGCAGGCACAAGAAGAUGAUGAAGUCGUUGAAGUAGAUAUGAUAGAAGCAUCAAUUGAUGACUCACUUAUUUCUAACCACUGUGACAAUCCAUUAAUACCAUGCACAACUGACUCUGAUUUCUCUGUUCAUGUUGAUAGUGGUAUUGAAGAAGUUAAUGCUUUACUUGAUUCGACUCUUAUCAUAGAUCUAAUUAAGUGGAAAGAAAAGAUUGAGCCACUUCCUCCUGAAGAGAAAAUUGAACUAUUCAAGUUGGAGUUACUUCCUAAAAAAGUGAAACAUAGGUCACAUUCUGACAUGAAAAAGGUGGUAAGAUCUAAAGUGCUUAAAUUAUUAGAUUUUUAUACUACUUCAGAUAACUCUCAGGAAAGCAUGGAACAGAAGAGAUCAAGGCAGUGUGAUAUUGAGGAGUUUCAUUACCAUCAUCUUUUUAUAGAUAAAAUACUCCAGUGCUUAGUCAAUUAUGUUUUCUGGCAUUUUCUAUAUAAUUGCUUUGCUUUUCACCAAAUUCUUAUUGAUCCUGGUUGAUUUGUUGUUUACAUUAAUUAGUUAGUUAUUAGGAUUUUUUUAUUUUUUAUUUUUAUUAUUUAUAUUUCUUCUAACGUUUUCUUUUAGUUAUCAUUUUUUUAAGCUUUCACAGCCCAUCCAGGUGUGUUCUCUCCAACUUUCUUUUUAUUAUUUAUGUUUUGUUAUUAUUUUUUCUUCUCUCAUUUGUAUAUCUUUUGUUUGUGAAACAUUGAGGACAAUAUUCCGAAUAAGUUUGGGGGUGGGAAUAGUGUGUGCUUUGUUUGUUAAAAUUUUUUUUUUUGUUUGUUAAAAAAAAAUUGUGUUUUUUUUUUGUUUUUAUGUGAAAAGCCAAUGAUAAGAAUUUGAUUGACAAUGAAUAUGAUUUUUAGAAAUGGUUGAAUAUUGUCUUAGUUUAUACUUGAUUCUUGUGUUAGUUCCUCUUGAUGGAGAUUCUUUAAAAUAUAAGCACUAAUGUCAAUUCUUUCAUAAUUUUGACUUGAAAUUUGAGAUUGACGCAGCUUGAGUUGAGAAUUUUAGAAAGAGUAAAUGACUGUUUGUCUUGAUUCUUAUCUCCACAAUACAAAAUAGUAUACAGAGGUGCCAAAGUCAGAAAUAGCUACCUAUAACCCUUAAGAGUGAAGCUACCCUUGAGUAAUUUGGUCCUAUGUACCACAAGUAUGUAGAGGAUAAUCUACCAUGAGAAGAAGGCUACCUUAAGGGGUAGAGUGAAAGCUCCUGACUAUGGUUAAGAAAAAAAAAGAAAAAAAAAAGAAAAAAGGAAAAGAAAAAAAAUCAAGUGCAUCUGCUAAAAAAAAUCAAUAAAAAAAAUGCACAUAAAAGCCUAUGAAAAACAAAUUGGAGAUUAAGAUGAUAAGAUUAGUUUGACCUACUCUUUUCUUUGUUUGAGGCGAAGGCUGUUGAUAUUAAGGAUUUUGGGAAUGGAUUUGAUUGAAUUGAUUUUACACACACACUACAAGAAUCGAAAGAGAGAUGAGAUUGAUUAUUGAAUUAAAGUUAGAAUUUUGCCAAUAUUUGAAAUUUUCUUUGAGCUAUAUAAUUUAUGUAAUCUUUGAGGCUAUCUUCAUGUUUUGUUUAAAGCUUGUUGUUCUUUUCAUUUUAUUUUUAUUUUAAUUCUUUGAAAAAUGAUGUUUGUGGGUAUCAUCAUUGAAGCCCUCACGAGACUACAACUCGUCCACUAGGGCCGCCUAGGGGUUUAAAGGCUUGUUGCAUACACUAAAUGCAAUCGCGAUUACCUGCGAAAGUGGUUUAAUUAGGAUUUACUUUUUGUGUUGUUAUUUUUAUUUUUGUUUUAAGUUUUAGUUUUGCUCGAGGACUAGCAAAAUCUAAGUUUGAGGGUAUUUGAUGAGCAUAAUUUGUAUACAUAUUUUACCGUUUAUUAUCUAAUUACUAGUUAUUUUUAUUAGUUAUUUUUAAUUAAUUGAAUUAUUUUAUUGUAUAGGGAAUUAAUUGGAGAUUGGAAAUAAAAAGUACAAAAAGAAUAACAAUUUAAAAGAAUAUUAGUUGAAGCCGUGACAGAGUUAAGAGUCAAGAGCAAUUUGCAUUGAAUUUCAAUUCUCCAAUUGAGUUGCACAUGCAUGGCAUUGCAAAAGUGGAAAGCAAUUUAAAUGGGACCCGCACUUGGCUUUCAUAAUUGGAAAAGGAAUCCAAAAGCAAUUCUAAGGGUGAUCACGUGUGAGAGCUAAAGCAAAUAAAAGGGCAAGCCUUUUGGCUUUAGGAUUUAAGAGGUGGGGCCCAUUUAAAAUCUUUUCAUCAAUUCUGUCAUGCAUUAUUGAUUGUUAGGAUUAAUAUUUGAUUAAAUCUAUGCUUGGAUCUAUAAAGUUUAUACAUGAUUGUCUUUGAUUUUAUGUCUUUCAUUAAAUUGUUUACAUAGAAUACUUAGGAAAACUUUGACUCUUUGUUAUUCAAUAUGUUUACAUGAGAUUCUUAGAUGUCAUACUAUUAAGUAGAAAAAGAACCUACAUAAGAUUAAUUUUAUUUGGGCUUAAUUGUUAUAUCUAUGAGAUGACAUAGAUUGAUUUCGAGUUGUCACUCUAAAAUUGGGGAUUAAUGAAUAUUUAGAUAAUUACUAGUUGAAUAGUGGUGGAUUCUGAAACAUUGGUAAUUCUUAUCUUAUUGAAUUCUCCUUUAUUUUAAUUGCUUCCUUAGUUUAAUUGGUUUAAUUUUCUUAGAAACUCAAUUUUGGUCAAUUAGGUUAGAAUUAAUAUUAAUUUUAGAUUUAAAUUAGACUUUUCAAUUUAUAACAAUCCCUGUGGAAUCGACCUUGUUACCACUAUUCUAUCUCUAGAUUCGUGCGCUUGCGAGUAUAUUAAAAUUUCACAACAAUUGCCUUUAAUUUUCUUUAUUUUAUUAUUUAUUUAUUAUUUUAUUAUUAUUUUAAAAUAUAUAAGUGUGUGGAAAUGUGUGAUGGUCAGGAGGCGUAAUAGCCUCCUGACCAUCACCAACAUGUUUUUGUUCUUUUGUUCUUUUUUUCUUUUUUUUAUUGAUUAUUUAUUAUUACAUCUCUUCAAUUUUGUUCUAGUAGUUCUUCUUUGUUUCCGCUUUCAAUACCAAGUUCAUCUUUAUUCCUGAAAAAUAUUUACAAGAUAAAAAUUAACAAAUUACGAAUUAAUUUAACAUAAAAUAUAUUUGGGAAAUAUUAAAAUAAUUUAGAAAUAAUGAAUGCAUUAAUCGACAUAAUAAGUGAAAAACUAAUAAUUUUAUCCUUAUUAAAUGUACACUUUUUAGUGUCAAUCACACCCCCAACCAGCUUAUUGUUGGGCCCUAGCAAUUUAAGUGAUAAAAGUUUAGUAAAAUUUCAAACUCAAAUUGAAAAUCAUUUUUUUAAAAAAAUUGUGUUUACUUCUUCCAUCAUAUUAAUGACAACAAUCAAAUAAAAGUAUAAGCAUUAUCUUCAGCCUAAAGAAAAUCACACCGACUCAAAACAGUUCAGUAAAAUCCUGUAAAAUGAUCAAUCAUCAUAGCUACAUUAAUCAAGCCACUUUUAAGAAUGAUACAUCAAACCCCAAAAUCUCACGAUUAAGAGUGACUCUCUCAAAAGAAGAUAUACCCGAAAUUAAUUUGUCACUCUAAAAAAAUGGUAAAUUUGAGAGAAUAAUAAAACAAUAUCACACGCUCUCACCAAGAUAAAAAAUAAUGCCCACAACUUAGAAAUAAAAUGAUCUCAAGUCCAAUGAAUUACUAGCAAAAUUUAUUUUUAUUUUUACUCAUCACCACAUCUUUUAGUCCAUAUUACCAGCUCUUAUCUAGAAGAAUACACAUGUAGCUUUGAAGAAUUACAUUAUAAAUGUGAAUUUGAUAAAGUUGAAAAUACCAUAUGCUAUUAUAAUGAUCAAUAUUUUAUAAAGAUACCAGAUCCAUGGGGGAAAACGAUUAUGUUAGAAUAUAACAAGGAAUAAAUUGAUACCCUAAGAAAUAGGAUCAGAUUUGCUCGAAAUAGAAUUAGUGAAUGGUAUGUUGAAAAAAAAGUUAAGAGACUUUGGUAAAGUCCCCAUAGUUCAGCUUCCAUAAUGGAACAACUACCCAAAUUCAUGCUAAAACCACAAACCCAUUCCCUACAAUAAUUCCUCACCAAGCCACCAGCAUUAGCCAAUCCCAAUCUCUUCAAAGCCCCAUCAGUAUUGAGCUUGAAGAACGACCACUUUGGGGGCUGCCAAUAGAUCAAUCUUUUAGUUUCUGGAACUCUCUGACUAUCUAAAGACUUUAUAAGCAGCGAUGCUUUUUUUCGUGUGAUUGUUCACAUCCACAAUUACGUUGUAAAGGCUGCUUGAUUUGUGAGCAUAAACGAACUCAUUAUGCCAAUACCACAUGUGCCAGACAUGACUCCAAAUAACAUUGACCUAUCCUUCUCAUUAGUGAUCCUCAAGUGGUUUUUCAUAUUAUAAACAAUCCAUGCACGAACAUCCAAUGUAAAACAGGUAUGACUUGUGUGUUUCGAAAUAAGGGUUAACCAAAUGCGUUUAGAGUCAACAUAAUCCCCGACUACAUGGAGAGCAUCGUCUAUGAUAUGCCCACACUGCAUGCAAGUACUAUCAUUAAGCACAUGUCUUCGCGAUAAUUUAGCAUUAUUUUUCAAUCUAUUAUGCAUCAGCAGCCAAAGAAAGCACUGAAUGCUUUGGGGGCCUCUCCAUAUCCAAAUCAAAACCCAAAGGGAAUUAUUUUCAUUUAGCAUCGGUCUAAAGAGGGAUAAAUAAGCUGACCUCAUGCUAAACGAACCAGACCGCGAUGGACCCCAAUAACAACAGUCAACUUCAUCGCUAACAGAAGGGGGCAUAGUGCCUGCUAUUUUGAGAAUUAUAUGGUGGGGUAGAAAAGAAGCAAAACAGUCCCAAUUCCAAGCACCAUUAUUAUCGAUAAAAUUAGCUACACACUCAUUUAAUAUGUUUUCAAUGAUUGUACCAAAAGUAUAAGAUUGCAACCAACGCCCAUCCUCCAGCAAAUAAUCUUUCCAAAAUCUAGCCAACUUCCCAUUCCCAAUACCCCAGCGAGUCCCUUAGAGAACCUCAUUCCAUACGUUUCCCACGAAUUUUCAUAAAGGAGAACUAUAUCAAGUAGGACGUUUUAGAGGAAGGUUUUCUUUAUCAACGCCAUAUUUAAACAUCAAUACUUGAAUCUAGAAGCUGUGGGGUGAUUCAAUAUGACCCCAACCAAUUUUCAUUAGCAAGGCUUUAUUCAUGAGAUUAAGAUCUUUAAGGCCAAGGCCCCCACAUAAAUUAAGGAGUUGUACUCUAUCCCACUUAAUAAGGUGUAUGCGAUGAGUCUCGUCAAUCUCGUUCUAGAUAAAAUGCUUGCAAAUCUGAUCAAUUUUAUUACGAAUGCUUAGAGGUAGCAUGAAGGUCUGCAUGGAAUAGGUUGGGAGAGCCAGAAUGAUCGACUGCAUUAAUGUUAUCGGGCCUACAAGAGAAAGAUGUUUGGUUGUCCAGCCCGGAAGUCUCUGUAGUGCUAAUGGUGGUCAACGAUAAGGUACCAGUUUCAAUGGGAGACAUUGAGUUUGCAUGAGAAAUCUGGGAGAUUUCAUAGAGAAUGUAUGAGUUAGUGACAAUGGUAAAUAUGAUUAAAUGCGUGAACUAACAUAAAAUGAAAUACAAAAACUAAAUGAUAAAGCACGAGUUUUGAAAAAAGUUUAUUCUUCAAUAGACCAUCAAUUAAACAGAAGCAAGCCACUGUCAUUCUAUGUAAACAAACAUAACAAAACCACCUACAUAGGAAUAAUUUUUCAAUAUAGGAAUCUUGAACUUUUCAUGACAAAAAAUCAAUUUACAAUAUUAUAGGUACGUGUAAAAAAAAGUUUAUAACAUUGUAAAUCAGAUCACCAGCUAGAAUCUAACUCCACCUACAUGGUUUAGUAAACAACUAUAACAUUGCAUCCAACAAUGGCGUCACCAGAUUUAAAAUCCGCUCGAUGCAUCUGAGCAAUUGCAUAUCCAUCAGUCAAUAGAAACUCGCCAGUGUCGCCGACGAUGGGCAUCUUACGGACAGGAACAAUCGACCUGUUGUUGCCAAGGAGGCUGAUACAGCUGCCAUUAUUAGGACCAUCAACCAAUACAAAGCUCAUGGACCUGAUGAUAGCUAGUUGAUGCUGACAAGCUGACCCGUAAAGCCCUUGAGCACGACCAACAAGCUUUGAUUGAGGACUAGUAGUUUCUAUCGACGAAUCAUCCGCCAAAUCACAACGCAGAAACAAGUUGGUGACUUGUAAGUAUCAAUGGCUUGAGCAAUGCUUUUUGCCACUACGUAUUUUUUGUUGUCUCUUUUGCGAAAUCAAGCCCCAUAGCCAAAGUCUCUCUGAUCGUAUUGAUGUUGCUGCCACUGGGCAAAUGAUGAGCAACAAAAAAACUACUUAAAACAUUGCAGUAACUUUAAAACAAGACAUGAAAUUAAGAGGAAGAGAAUAGAUGAUGCACUUUUGAAGGUAGAAAAGAAGGAUGAUUCAAGAUUCAUUUCAAAUUUUUUUGAAGUGUUUUGAUCAGUGAAUAUCCAAAGGCUGCUUAACUACAAAGGUGAAGUGGGAAGAAAUUUUGACAUUUUGUUACAUUGAGCUAGCUAGCAAAUGUAUAUGAGGGGCUUCACUUGUACACAUAAAAAAGGAAGAUUAAUUAGUCAUGGUUUUUUAUUAAGAAAAAAAAUGGCUUGCUUAAAAUAUAGUGUGGUUAAUUUCAUUGAAGGACAUGACUCAAAGGAAAAGAAAAAGAAAUCUAAUAAUAAACUAAACAAAAAAUAAUUCCAAAAACAAUAAAUUUAAUUAAAUGUACAUUGAAAUUACCUUUAUAAUGCAACAAGAUAUUAAAAUCAAUGGUUAACGCUAAUAAAUUAAGCGUAAUUUAUUUAAUACUUAUUUAUGGACUCUUUCAACUCCAUUAAAGCCAUUGCAAGUCGUUUUUCAAUAUUCACUCAGAUAAAUAGAGGCUCAUGCCUUUCUGAUUCUUCCACAUCUCUUUCAAUUCUAAUUAAGCCGUUUGCAAUUCUCUUAAGAAAUUAAAAAAUGUCGAAGAGUCUGACUUUCAUCAUUUUGGCUUUGCUUGUAGUGGCAAACACUAAAAACAUGCUUAUUUUAGCCAGUAGAACUGGCCAAAGAUCUAAGCCAGAGGCUUUAUUUUCUAUUAACCCUACAGCAUCACCUGACAUUGUUGAUUGCUCAGGGCUCACAAGUGAAGAGUGUUUGAUCGAGAUGAUUAAGAAAGCACUUGUAGACUAUCGAUACCCCUGCCCUGAGGGGGGGUGCAAAUGAUAUUGUUAAUAAGUUAUUUCUUUUACCUUGUAGGAGUGCUUUUGCAAUAACGAUCAAUUACAGUGAAAUUGAAUUCGUGUUUUUAAUAAAAUAAAACAUUAAUCCAUUAUGCAUAGGUAAUAUUAUGUCAUAUGUUUUUGGUGUGUGUAUCUCCUACUGCUUUGUUAUAGUUGCAUCGUCGAAUCAAUCUUCGAGAAAUCAGUUUCUUUAAAUAAUAGCAAUUAUCAACCAAUCAACAUUACUAUGUUGGUACCAUUUGUAAUAUUUAAAUUUUAAGUCUAUCUACUUUUAGGGUGAGAUUAUUGAUUCCUAAGAAAAAUAAUAAAAUAAACCCUCAUUAUCUAAAUCCUAUAUUACUAAGCUAUCCGAUUUAAUUUAAUGUUAAACUUUAAUUUAACCCCUGAAAAUGUCCAGACUUACCUACAUUUAUUGCUAAGAAUAUGAUUUAAAAGUUCAUCAAUGUGCACCUCAUUUAUGCUCAUCUUUUGAAGAACAAAUAGGGUGGAUUGAGAUUUUCAUGCUUUUGGAGGGUAAAUUAAAGAUAGUUAUUAGGAGGGAACGAAUUGAAGUUUGUUUUUAAAUGCAAAGAUGUAUUCUUUUAGUUUAUUUGAGAUAAUUCGUUUGACUUUAAUUUAACAUAUGUUUUUGUAAUUGAAAUAUAGAUACUUCUUUAUUUUUGUUAUUUAGCUGAGUAAUAUAAUAUUUAUAUUUAAUUGAUCACUUAAAAAUGUUUAUGCAUUAAUAUGUUAAUUUUUCGCGGCUUGGAAGGUAAGAAUUUUUUUUAUAAGAAAAUAAUGCAAGCAACAAUAAGAAUUAAGAUUAAUCAUAUAAUGAUGCAAACUAUGGACAUGCUAAUAAGUUGGUACACGAAAUCUUAAUAAAUGAUGUAUGGUUUCAGCUUUCCUUGUUUUUUCUUUCUUCGGUAAUGCUCUUGAGAUGUUAUGAAUUAAACAAAUAUAUGUUCCCAAUUAUGCACUCUUAUCAUAUAGGGAGCAUCAUAAACAGAGGAAAAAAAAUUUCAAGUUUGGUGACCAAAAAGACUUGAAACAAUGCCUAAUGUCUUUGAAAGAAGUAGGGGAUUCAACACAACUGUGUGGACUGAAUAGAGAAGUAGUAGCAAAUAGAACACUCAACAUAAAAGGCACCGAACAAAAUACAGUUAAAAGGUUGUUACAAGUGAAUAAAAGUUACAGAUUUUAUUUUGAAAUUAAAUUCUAAAAAUAAAUUUAAGAGUUAGUGUUUCAUUUUCUGGAUGUAAAUGCCCUUCACCAAUUUCAUUUUAAAAACACACCAAAAUCUAAGUAAUUUUUUUGCUCGCCUCUCUCAACUAAAAUCUUUUUAUCUUAGACUUCACGUGAUGGAGUUCCAACACUAGUUUGAAGUUCGCAAAAUAACAAUAGUUUGAACCAAUUUUGAAUAAUAAAAAUUAUAAAUUGGAAAAUGUAUCGAGUAAAAAUUAUAAUUAUAAAAAUUAACAUCGCAGAUUUUGAGUUUUUUUCUAUUAAAAUCAAAGGUAUUCUCAUAACUAUAAUUUUUUUUUUAUUUUCAAAAAUUUUGUAGGAUCAAAUAGUCUUUCAUUUCAUUCAAGAAUAAAAUGGUCAUUUUAUUUUCAUUUCUUAGUGUGAAAGUAGUUCACUGAAAGAACUUUAGAAACAAAGUGGUGAAAGAACAAGUUAAAAAUUUGUGGUAGUUAGAUAUAUGUAUGACAAAACAGUGGUGGUGCAGAGAUAAUUUCACUUCAUACUAUUGUAAUAUAUUAAGGUUAUUAAAAAAUUUUGUUUCAAUAAACUCAUGACAAGUGUGUAGCUAGCUUACUAGUAAACUUAGGCACUCUUAGAAAGAUUCUAAAGUAAAAGUAAUGCCUGAAAAAUCUAGAUUUAAGUAAGGCCAUUUGUGACCCUUUUAGUCUUUUCUAAGAACUCAACUGGUAUAUUUUUUCAUACACUAUGGAUUGUUUUAUGUCAAUUAUUAGCAAUAAUUUUCAACAUAUAUUCCCAAACUUUACCAUUUUAUAGCUUGAAGUUCAUAGGACUUUGGAAUCAGAUCAUUUACAACAAUCUUUACAAGGUGAUAAUGAUACGGAGAGAAUAUGUAAAUUUUAAGUCAGCCAGUAUGAGGGCGCCUUCAACUUAAUUGGGGUCUUCACUUUUAAGGCACUACCGGGGUGGCCAUUGCCCUCAUUGCUUAUGUACUUUAACUUCAUAUAGAAUUUUACUUUUUUUGAUCCCCUUUUUGGAGCACAAGUAGAUUGUCGAUUACUGCCAAAUGCAUAAGAAUAUGGUCAGAUGCCUAGAUUAUGGAAAAAUAAUGAAAUUUAAAGUAAUACAUCAGACUGCUGAUGUAUUAACAUUAUAUUGAAAUUCAAUAUUUGGCUACCAACAAGCACAUAUUAUAUAAAAAGAAUUAAACACACAAAUAAACAUAAAAUGAAAUACAUAAAUAAAAUGAUAGAGCGCAUGUUUUGGAAAGUUUAUUCCUCAAUCCACCACUAAUUAAAUAGAAGCAAGUCACUGUCAUUCUAUGUAAACAUACAUAACCAAUCACCUACUUAGGAAUAAUUUUUUGAUUUGGGAAUCUUGAAUUUUUCAUUAAAAAAUCAGUUUACAAUAUUAUAAGUACGUGAAAAAGAAAGUGUAUCUUGUAUGAGAGUUUUUUGCAUUACCGAUCAAUUGCAGUGAAAUUGAAGCUGCGUUUUAAUAAAAAGAAGAAAUGGAUCACACAUACAUAGUUCAUACUUCUAAAUGUUGGAUUAAAAUUUAUUAAAACACAACACGGGCAAAGUCACUAGCAAAUAGGAAGAAUAGCAAAGUCAUUCUUAGGGAAUAUAUUGAAUAUCACUCUAGAUAUGUUAGAGUAGUAAACUUCACUUUGUAUUUUAUUAGAAGUAAUAGGACCAUUUGGUCCAUAUAUUGAAGAUGUAUCUACCUACAAAAGCAUAGUUAAUGGCCAACAAUAUCUCAUCUUAACCACACCAGAGAUAUCAUUUACAAUGUAUAAGCUAAAUUAGUAUAUGGCUGCUCCUACACUUCAAUAUCUAAUGGCUUGUAAACGAGUGUUAAGGUACUUAAAGGAACUAGAAGAUAUGGAUGAAACUAAUUGGAUUCACAGAUACAAAGUAGGCAUGUGAUUUGGAUGACAAAAAAUCCAUUGGAGUUUACUACGUAUACUUGGGAAACAAUUUAAUACAUGGUCAUCAAAAAAGCAAUCUAUGGUAGCAAGGUCCAGUGCAGAAAGUGAAUAUAGAGCACUUGCAGAAUUAACUUGGUUGCAAUCAUUAUUCAGUGAAAUCAGAAUACAAUGUACAUUAGUUCCAUCAAUUUGGUGUGAUAAUGCAAGUGCCACUGAAGUAUCCAAGAAUCCAAUCUAUCACUCAAGAGCUAAACAUAUUGAGUUGGAUAUGCACAUUGUGAGAGGCAAAAUACUUGUAAAAGAACUUGAAAUCAGUUAUAUAACAUGUGCAGAACAAAUUGCCUAAUUAUAUCUUUACAUAUUAAUUUUGCUAGUAUAAUAUCCUUGAGAAUAAUUUGAAUCAAAUGAUUUUGUUACUUUGGCAGUAAUUAAAUAAUAUUAGAUUGAAUUGUUGUGUCAUUUGUUUAGCUUAUUUUAACCCUAUGUAAAAUUAGCUUCCGCAAGUAAAAUGAAAUUUACAUUAUUAAAAUCACUGUUUGUGGUAAUAAAAGUUCACUUGGAAUUUUAUAAUAUCAACUUGAAAUUUAACUCAAAGUAUUGGUAGUUAAGGAUUUCAAUAGAAAUAUUAAAUAGAAACAAGUAGUUAACAAGUUAAAACAAGUUAACCUAUAAUUGAGCAUGUUUAACUAAAAUUAGGGGCUAAUUUUACAAAAAGUUAAACAAUAGAAAGUAAAUUUGGCAUUAAACCCAAAUAGUUAAAAUUUUACCAAGUUAUUGGAAAUACUCAAACAAAAGCAUUGAAAUAACAGUUGAAACACAUAAGUUAAAAAGGGAUAAAAUAUUAACCAAAUUCUAAUUUUAAAACUCAUCCAAUAAGAAAUGAAUUUACUUAGAAUUUAACAAAAAGUAUUGGUAUUUAAUGAACUUAAUAUGAACAUUAAACGCAUAGCUGGUAGAUUUAUAAGUUAGAAAUAUGUAAACCUAAAAGUAAGAAGGUUGAACCAAAAUGAAGGAAUAAAAAAAAUAAAAAAGUCCAAUUGGUAUUUAACCUAAAUAAUUGCAACCUUACCUAAUUAGUAGGAAUAUUCGACAAAAAAAUAGUGGAAUAAUUAGUUGAACCAUAUGAACCUAGAAGGGAGAAAAUUUAAGCAAAAUUAGGAACUUAUCCAAUGGGAAUAAAUAUUAUUUGGAAUCUAACCCAAAAUUGGUAUUAAAUGAACGUAGUAGGAAUAUAAAACAUAAAACUAGUAAACUACUAAUUAAGUUGAAGUAUGUGGACCNNNNNNNNNNNNNNNNNNNNNNNNNNNNNNNNNNNNNNNNNNNNNNNNNNNNNNNNNNNNNNNNNNNNNNNNNNNNNNNNNNNNNNNNNNNNNNNNNNNNNNNNNNNNNNNNNNNNNNNNNNNNNNNNNNNNNNNNNNNNNNNNNNNNNNNNNNNNNNNNNNNNNNNNNNNNNNNNNNNNNNNNNNNNNNNNNNNNNNNNNNNNNNNNNNNNNNNNNNNNNNNNNNNNNNNNNNNNNNNNNNNNNNNNNNNNNNNNNNNNNNNNNNNNNNNNNNNNNNNNNNNNNNNNNNNNNNNNNNNNNNNNNNNNNNNNNNNNNNNNNNNNNNNNNNNNNNNNNNNNAUUCUAACAAAAAUAAAAUUAUAAAAAUUAAAGCUAGUAUUUAUUUCAAAUAAUUGAAAUUGUACUAAGUUACUAUGAAUAUUCAACACAAAUGAAAUAAUUAGUUGAGACAAGAACUCGUAAGAGAGGAAAUUUAAGCAAAAUUAGGAAAUCUUUAAAUGAAAAAUGAAAGUUGGAAUAUAACUUAAAAUAUUGGUAUCGAAUUUGGUAUGAAUAUCAAAUACAAAAUUGAUGGACUAAUAACUUGAAACGUGGGAACCCAUAAGUGAAAAAGCUUAAGCAAAAUCAACGACCAGUCUAAGAAAAUAUAUUUGUUAUAUUUAACCCAAGUAAUUGAAAUCUUACUAAAUUAAUGAGAAUACACAAUACAAAAAUUAGUGGAAUAAUAGUUGAAAUAUAUAAACCCACAUGAAAUGAAGUUUAACUAAAAUUAUGAACUCAUCUCAUAGAAAUGAAAGUUUUUAAAAUCUAACUCAAAAUAUUGGUAUUUAACGACAUUAGUAGGAAUAUAAAACACGAAAAUAGUGAACUUAAAAGUGAAUAUACGAACCUAUAAGUUUAACCAAAAUAAGUUACUAAUCUAACAAAACUAAAUUUAUAAAAAAUAAAAAUUUAGUAUCUAACCUAUAUAAUUGGAAUCUUACAAAGUUAAUGGAAAUACUCAACACAAAAAUGAUAGAAUAAUUAGUUGAAAUUAUUGAGCCUAAAUGGUAGAAAAUAUAACGAAAAUGUGAACUUAUCCAAUAGGAAAUGAAUUUACUUACAUUCUAACCCAAUAUAUUAGUAUUUAAGGAAUUUAAUAGGAACAUCAAAGACAAAGCUAGUGGAUUGAGAAGUGAAAACGAAUAAAUUAGUAAGUGAAAAAGGUUAAAUAAAAUUAGAGAUGUGCGAAAUCAAAUUGUAACAUCCAAUUAAUAUAUUGGUAUUUAACUAAAAGAGUUGGAUAUGAUUAUUUUAUAGUUUUUUAAUAUCAUUUUAAUUAUAAUAUUUUUCUCAUUCAAAUAUUUUUAUGUUAGUUAUUUACAAAUUUUCUUAUUUUUCAGCAUUAAAAAUAAAUUGUCAAAAAUUAUUUAGAAAACACCAAAAUCACCAGCUGUUCAAGUUGUAAAGCGACUAUGUAAUAUACAACAACUGUAUAAGUUGGAUGAUCCUUCAUUUUAUUCUCCCUUGCAAGCAGCAAUUUUCAUGGGAUUGUACUUUUGGUUGCCACUACUUACUGCGUCAAAUAGUCCAAGGAAAGGACGGUAAAGAUAAUGUGUGGAUUAGUCAAAUCCACAUGCACCUUUGUUCUCGGCCAAAUAAAUACCGGCUCCAUUCUCUCUUCUAGUCUUCUUCAUAAUUUUACAUUGUACACUUUUUAUUUUAUUUUUCUACGCUACACACGUUUGUUUUUCAUUUUUUUUUCCUCAGUGUUUUUGCAUGUUGAUAAUUGUAUAGUUGCUCUUAGACAAUCACAUUCGCUUGGACAAACUUCUUUUUCUCAUGGAAAAUGAUCUCUGCACUGCCCCUAUUUUAUCAUAUGUACAUCUAACCACCACAAAAGUUUAAUAUGUUCUUGACACCACCUUUAUUUUUAAAUUUAUAUCAAUAAACAAUUUUGACAAUUAGAGUUUAAAUAAAAUAAUCAUUUUACCCUUAAACGAAUUAACAAACUAUUUUAUCCUACAAAAUUUUUAAAAAUAAAAAAAUUAUAAUUACCAUUUAAUCAAUUGAUAAAAUACUAUUGAAAAAUUGGAUGUGUAAGUUGUUGUGCAAAUUUUAUUGAACUCGCAAGUGCACGAAUCUAUUGUAGUAUAGAUCAAUGAUGACGAGUGUCGAUCCCACGAGGAGGUAAAUUUUAAUUGUGUGUAGAAUUAAUUUUCUAAAUGUGUGGUUGGAUUUGUGGUGAAAAUGAUUUGGAUUAUCCUAAAAUUGGAAUUGAAAUGGCGAGAAUAAUUUGAAGAGAAUUCUAUUGAGAUGACGUACUUGGGUAUCCGGAUCCGUAUCAACAUGCACCAUGGGCUAAAUAUUCCUUAUUAAUACCAAUUAAAUCAUGAGGGGGGGAAUCCACACCUCAUGAACCACACUCUAAUCAAUAUGGUGCUAAGGGCUUAUCGUGCCAAAUAAUAAUAACCUUGUACUAGGGAGCCGGUGUAACUAGGGCGGUAUCUAGAAAAGCUUAUUAUUAUUUGUCGACGAGAAGUCAAAACAUCCACAAAAAUUAGAGGGGAAGAUAAACUAAAUUUACCAAAUAAAGCCCAUGACACAUGUUGAGACUUCACCUUCAACCCAAGCUUGAAAGAAAAUUAGCUACUCAUAAUUGAACAAGGGAAAAAAUGGGAAUUUAUUAAAAUACAUAGAAAAUACAAGAUGGAGAAGGAAUUAUAGAAAAUGGAGUCCAAAAAUGGAUUCAGAGCUAUCAAAUUAGGGGGGGAGGCCCCCUUUUUAUAGAUACAUUGAGUAAAUCGUGGCCAUCGGAUUAAAAACAGUUUGGACACUCAAGAUUGUGCCACGUCAUCAGUCAAGAGUACGCGGUUUGACCACGCGGAUGAACAGUAACACAGUUUGACCAGGGUUGAAUAGUGACGCGGUUUGGUUAAAAAUAAUCCUGUGUGAUGCAUGUAUCGUACGCGAGAUUUUUAGUCCACUGAUAUGCUGCCACGUCACCAUCAAUAGUACAUAAGAAUUUUAGUNNNNNNNNNNNNNNNNNNNNNNNNNNNNNNNNNNNNNNNNNNNNNNNNNNNNNNNNNNNNNNNNNNNNNNNNNNNNNNNNNNNNNNNNNNNNNNNNNNNNGUCCUGAGUUCAAAAGUGAUAUCUGCUUUGCCGUCUGAUCUCUCGUUUAUUUUGAAAUGACCAUGAUGCCCCUAAAAUACAUCAAAUAUUUAAUUAUAAUACAACAUACAUAAUUAAAUCAUAAGAAAUUUAAAUACAUAAAAGUAGGAAUCUUAGUAAAACUUGAAGUGUAAAAUGACGAUUUUAUCCUUUAUAAAUAUGCAUUUUCUAACACUCAACACACCGCCCAACCAGCUUAUUGCUAGUCCCUAGCAAAUAAAGCGAAAAUAAAAUUCAAAUCCAAAAUGAUUUUUUUUCUUUUUUAAACAAUCAUUUUAUUCAAUCAGACUAAUGAUAGUAAUCAAAUGAAAGUAUAAGCAUUAUCUCCAGUCUAAAGAAACAUCACACCCACAUCAACCAUCCACAUGAAUCAGCCUAGUAGACUUUGUCAUAGCUACCUUCAAGAAUGACAUGUUAAACCCCAAAAUCUCACUGGAAGUAGUGACACUCUGACAAAGAAAUUAAACCAAAUAAAAAUAGUCACUCCAAUGAAUGGUAAUUGAGAGAAAAUAAUAAAAAAAUGAUAUCACAUGCUCUCACCAAGAUGAAAGAAAUAUGCCCUCAGCUUAGAAAUAAUACGAUCUCAAGUCAAAUAAAAUGCUAGUAAACCCAAUUUAUUUAUUUUUUUUAUGCACCACUACAUCUUUUUAGCCCAUAUAACUAGCUUCUACUUCACACUAUAGUUCCCUAAAAUCAAGAAGGACUUUUAUUACUACAUCUUUUUAGCCCAUAUAACUAGCUUCUACUUCACACUAUAGUUCCCUAAAAUCAAGAAGGACUUUUAUUAGGACGUAACGUAGGCUAGGGACAUGGUUAACAAAGAAGGGAAAUAAGGAAAAUAAAGUAUAUAUUUGAGAAAAAUGCAGAGGAAUUUUUUUUUUGGAAGUUGUGUGGAUUUCACCUAUUAUUGUUAUUAUUUUUUUCUUUUUUCUUUUUUUGAAACAACAAUUUUUUUUUUUGCUUUUGUUGGGCAUAACUUCACUAUGCCAAAUAUUUAUUUACAUUUUUCUCAAACAUAAAUAGGUGAUGGAACUUGUAAGAUAUUGGGUAAUAUUCCAAAUCUGAGUGGGUCAAGAUGAUAAGUUUGACAAAGAAAAGUUUUUUUUUUAAGGCUCAAAAGGGUUAACUAUGGAUAUUUCACAAAAGGGAUGGCUAGAAAGGCUCAAACGGAUCAAAGAUGGCCUUUCCAUCAUCUUUUAGGGCUCUAAAUAAUCUUCCAUAUGUACUAGUUAGAUGGGCCUCCAUAUGUAGCAACACACAUUUUUUUUCUUUUUUUUUUUUAUAAUUUUUUUUAAGGGUUAACUCAAAAGAAAUCUAGAGAUCGUGUAUACAAUAAUAAACUGCUAAGCUGUAUAAAAAAUGGGCAAAAGGGUUACUCUCCAAGAAAAAUGAUAGGCUCAAAAACUCACUUGGUACUUAUUAUGAUAUGUUCAUUCCUUCAAGCAACUCAUAUUUGUCUCCGACAUCGACAUGUAGAGUAGCAAACAUAGUGUAACAUCACUGAAGACCAAAGAUAAUACAAAUACUAAAAUUUGAUAUUAAUCAUGUCAUCCAAUGUUAAAACAAAUCACACAAUUUUUUUUUAAACAACAUCCUACCCCCCAACCUAUUCUAAACAUGAAAGGAAAAUAUGUAUGCAGAAAUGUGAAAAUGAUGCAUAAAAAUUAAUUAGAAAAGUUACACUUAAAAUGAUAGAAAAAGAAAUGUUUUUUUUUAAUUUUUAACUAAGAAGAUGCGUUUCUAGAGGCACUACACUCCAUAUUCAGCCAUCUUCGACUCAGAUAUUUAAAAAUGUAUAUUUAUAAAGGAGAAAUUAAAAAGAAGAAGAAAAAUGAACAUCAAAACUUAAUAAAGAAAAAGAAAAUGUCUGAAUUUUUUGAAUUUUUUUUUCAAACAAUGAAGAUGCGUUUCUAGAGUCACUACAUUCCAUAUUCAGCCAUCUUCAAUACAAAAAGUUAGCAACAGUUAGUUUCUACAACAAAAAAUUAGUAAAAACUUAACCAAGAUUCCACAAUUGUCGACUAUUCCCUCCCCCCAACCAGAACGAAACAUUGUCCUCAAUGUUUGAAAGGAAAGAAGUAGAGUUUAGAAGACAUCACCUGGGUGGUGCAACACAGAAGAAAAUAUUUAUAGGCGGAGAGUUAAAUCUAAUUUGUACUUCUUACUACAGCUACUGUUAUCGUCAUUAUUUGGACGCUCCAACACAAAGGUCUAGGGGUCUAGCUCCGGUCUAUAAGCUUGUAACAGAUCAAGUAGCUCAUUAGCAGUGUGAGCACAAAUAAAAAGCUUUUUGGCAUUGGAAGGAACGAAAUAGUUUUUUAUUGCAUGGUUAAGAAAUGCAAUAAAGCCAUCAUAAAAAUUAUUGACAUUUAACAAACCGAUGGGUUUCUGGUGAAUGUGCAGAUGAGGCCAAAAUGCUAGUGUGAUAAGUGCCUCUAGUGUUGCAAGAUCUCCUGGAAGGAAAAUAAAAGCAUCAGCAUGAUUAAGCAUUUUAGUUAUUCUUUCUUGCAUACCUGUGACGACUAACUCUUCUCCAGUCGGUGGGUCAGACAAACCGCCCAAAGGUUUUAGGGCUAUUGGGAUGAUGCCUAAUACUUGGCUUCCUCUGACAAAAGUAGCUUUUGAGACCAAUUUUGAUAACCCUCGGUUACCUCCUCUAUACACCAAGUGUAAUUUUCUCUCUGCUGUGCUUCGGCCAAGAUCUAUGGCUGCCUCAAUGAACUCUUUAUGUUUGCCAUAGUUAAAUCCAGAAAGUACACAAAUGUUCUUAAAUUGUCUAUUGGGAGUAGCUGCGAUUGGAAUAUUUCUCAAAAAUAAUUUGUGAGUGCUUAACAAAAAGUCAUAUUUAAGAAUUUUAGUGACAGUGGGUCACAACUGUGUAUGACGUGGCAUGUCAGUGUCUAAUAACGUGUAAAGCACAUGGCUCGCGAGUCAAAAAGGAAAUAGUAAAAAGAAAAAGAAAUAAUGAUAAAAUAAAAUUAUUAAAGAUAAUAAUGCAAAAGAUAAAAUAACAGUGAAAUAAAAUAAUAGUGAAGUAAAAGGAUAUUUACAGGUUGUUGCGACUGUGGCUCACAUCUUCCUCCGGUUUUACGUCCAGAAACGGCUUGAACUCCCUCUAUGGGUCGAGGAUGGGUUUUCCAUCCAGUUUUCUUAUAAACUGGCAAACAGGGUCCUUUAUAGUCAGAUUCUCGAGACUAUAUCGUGAAUGCUCUUUUUGGAAUAAUGGCUAUAACUGGAGAAUCGCUCUUUGUACAUAUCCACUGGGAUGCGUUUCAAGAGACAGAAUGAUAUCAUCCAAUGACUCCUUAUUCAAGCCAUCCCUAAUGAAUUGAAUCUUAUCUUCUCUGUUAUUAGACAUCAUUCCUAAAGAACAUGGUUUUUUAUCACAACUCAUUCUGGCACACUUAUGACAAGCAAUAGAAAUUCUUCGGGCUCGUCGUUUUCUUGCAUAAUUUCCUUACCACAACCAGGCAUGUAUGCAAUAAAUUUUGGAGGUAACUCACCUGCCAAUCGUACUUUAGCCUCGAUCAACCAACGGAUGUCAGCAGGUAUGUUAUUCCUCAUGAGCAAUCGCAUGCGUUCGGACCGGGCUUUAUAGAUUCUAAGGAGGUCAUUCUGAGGAAGUGAAGGGAAUCGCUUGUGAAGCUUCGCUAGAAUCUCGUUUCUGUCCAUAUCUUCGCCUCAAAAUAUCAGUUAUUAUGGGAUAACUGAAGUAACCGACUUGAUUGUCACGGAGUACUGUUAUCCGCCACUUUACCCGGGUAACAAACUAAAGCACACAAACAGAAAAAGAAAUUAAAACACACAAAGAAAAUUAAAAUCGUCCUCUUAUUGAAUUUACCUCAAGCUUUAACUGGAUGUCGUAAGCACUUCUCUCAAUGUCUCUGAGUUGGCUUUCUAAACCCUCAACAUAAGAUACUAAAUCUGGUGGUUUCAGAGCCCAAAUACGAUGUGUUUUACAAAAUUGAAUCUGCCUUUUGAGAUGAGAUUUUACACGUUGAAGUGGUUUAAGAAUGUUCAGGAGGAACGGUUUAAGUAUGGUACUCAUGAUUAACAAUGACAAGAAAAAAACUUAAUGGUUAAACAAAUACACUUAUGCAAAAAUAAUUUCAAUUAGCAAAAAAUAAUAAAAAAAAAGAAAGAAAAAAAAAUCAAAUCACCGAAAAGAAAGAAAGAAAAACUUAAUUCAAAUCUGGUUGAUCACUCAAAUUUAUUUCGAUGUCCUCUCCAUGUAGUUGGUACUCUAGAUAUGGCUUUAAUCUUUGACCAUUAACUUUAAACGUGACACCUGUUGUGCAAAUUUUAAUGUACUCGCAAGCGCACGAAUCUAUUGUAGUAUAGAUCAAUAGUGACGAGUGUCGAUCCCACGAGGAGGUGGAUUUUAAUUAUAUGUAGAAUUAAUUUUGUAAAUGGGUGGUUGAAAUUGUGGUGGAAGUGAUUUAAAUUAUCCUAAAAUUGGAAUUGCAAUGGUGAGAAUAAAUUGAAGCGAAAUCUAUUGAAAUGACGUACUUGGGUAUCUGGAUUCGUAUCAACAUGCAUCAUGGGCUAAAUAAUUCGUAUUAAUGCCAAUUAAAUCAUGAGGGGGGAAUCCACACCUCAUGAACCACGCUCUAAUCAAUAUGGUGCUAAGGGCUUAUCAUGCCAAAUAAUAAUAACCUUGUACUAGAGGGCCGGUGAAACCAAGGCGGUACUAGACAAGAAUAUUAUUAUUUGUCGAUGAGAAGUCAAAACAUCCACAAAAACUAGAGGGGAAGAGAAAAUAAAUUUAUCAAAUAAAGCCCAUGACACAUGUUGAGACUUCACCUUCAACCCAAGCUUGAAAUAAAAUUAGCCACUCAUAAUUGAACUAGGGGCAAAAUAGGAAUUUAUUAAAAUACGAAGAAAAUACAAGAUGGAGAAGGAAUUACAGAAAAUGGAUCCCAAAAAUAGAUUCAGAGAUAUCAAAUUAGGGGGGAGAGGCCCCCUUUUUAUAGAUACAUGGAGUAAAUAAUGGCCAUCGGAUUAAAAACAAUUUGGACGCUCAUGAUUGCGCCACGUCAUCAGUCAACAGUACGCGGUUUGACCACGCGGAUGAACAGUAACAUGGUUUGACCUGGAUGAAUAGUAACGCGGUUUGACCCGGAUGAACAGUAACACGGUUUGGUUGAAAAUAAUCCUGUGUGAUGCAUAUACCGUACGUGAGAUUUUUCGUCCACUGAUAUGCUUUCACAUCACCAUCAACAGUACAUAAGAAUUUUAGCCCAACAGGAUCGUGACUCCUCAUCAGUCAAUGCCACAUCAUCGAUCAAUGCCACGUCAUCAAUCUGUCUAUGUGAACAGUGCCGUGAACAGUAACGUAUACAGUACCGUACAUGUGAACAGUGUUAUUUUUCCUUUUAUGCUCCUCCUAAGGUUUUCGACCGUCCUGAGUUCAAAAGUGAUGUCCGUUUUGCCAUCUGAUCUCUCGUUUAUUGUGAAAUGACUAUGAUGCCCUUAAAAUAUAUAAAAUACUUAAUUAAAAUAAAACAAACGGAAUUAAAUCAAAAGAAGGUUAAAUUCAUAAAAGUAAAGGUGUUAGUAAGACUUGAAAUGUAAAAUGACGGUUUUCUCCUUUAUAAAUAUGCAUUUUCUAACACUCAACACACCCCCCAACCAGAUUAUUGCUAGUCCCUAGCAAAUAAAGCAAAAAUAAAAUUCAAAUUCAAAUUCAAAAUGAUUUUUUUUUAAAUUUAGAAACACCCGUGUUUAUUCAAUCAGAUUAAUGAUAGCAAUCAAAUAAAAGUAUAAGCAUUAUCUCCAGUCUAAAGCAACAUCACACUCACAUCAACCAUCCACAUGAAUUAGCCCAGUAGACUUUGUUAUAUCUACUUUCAAGAAUGACAUGUCAAACCCCAAAAUCUCACUGGAAGUAGUGACAUUCUCACAAAUAAAUUAAACCCACUAAAAAUAGUCACUCCAAUGAAUGGUAAUUGAGAGAGAAAAUAAUAAAGAAGUGAUAUCACAUGCUCUCACCAAGAUGAAAUAAAUAUGCCCUCAGCUUAGAAAUAAUACGAUCUCAAGUCAAACAAAAAUGCUAGUCAACCCACUUUAUUUAUCUUUUUUUUUAUUAUGCAUCACUACAUCUUUUUAGCCCAUAUAACUAGCUUCUACUUCAGAAUAUAGUUCCCUAAAAUCAAGAAGGACUUUUAUUAGGACGUAACGUAGGCUAGGGACAUGGCUAACAAAGAACAGAAAUAAGGAAAACAAAGUGUAUGUUUGAGAAAAAUGCAGAAAUUUUUUUUGUUUUUUUUUGGAAGUUGCAAGGUGGAUUUCACCUAUUAUUUUUAUUUUUAUUCUUUUGAAACAACAACUUUUUUUUUUGUUUUUUUCUCUUUUUUUUUGGCAUAACUUCACUGAACAAAAUAAUUAUUUAUCUUUUUCUCAAACAUAAAUAGGUGAUGGAACUGAUGAGACAUCGGGAAAUACUUAAAAUCGGAGUGGGUCAAGAUGAUAAGUUGAAAAGGAAAAGGUUUUUUUUUUUAAAAAAAAAAGGCUCAAAAGGGUUAACUAUGGAUAUUUAAUAAAAGGGAUGGCUAGAAAGGCUCAAACGGAUCAAAGAUGGUCUUUCCAUCAUCUUUUAGGGCUCUAAAUAAUCAUCCAUAUCUAAUAGUUAGAUGGGCCUCCCAAUGUAACAACACACAUUUAUUUUUCUUUUUUUAUUUUACAAUUUUUUUUAAGGGUUAACUCAAAAGCAAUUUAGAGAUCGUGUGUAAAAUAAUAAACUGCUAAGUUGUAUAAAGAGUGGGCAAAAUGGUUAUUCUCCAAGAAAAAUAAUAGGCUCAAAAACUCACUUGGUACUUAUUAUGACAUGUUCAUUCCUUCAAGCAAUUCACAUUUGUCUUCGACAUCAACAUGCAGAGUAGCAAACAUAAUGUAACAUCACUUAAGACCAAAGAUAAUACAAAUACUAAAAUUUGAAUAAAUCAUGUCAUCCAAUGUCAAAACAAAUCAUACAACCUAUUCUAAACAUGAAAGGAAAAUAUACAUACAGAAAUGUGAAAAUAAUGCAUAAAAACUAAUUAGAAAAGUUACACGUAAAAUGAUAGAAAACGAAAAUGGUUUUUUUUUUUAAAGAAGAUGCGUUUCUAGAGGCACUACACUCCAUAUUCAGCCAUCUUCGACUCAAAAGUUGGAAAAUGUAUAUUUAUAAGGAGAAAUUAAAAAAAAGAAGAAAAAUGAACAUCAAAACAUAAUAAAGAAAAAGAAAAAGUCUGGAUUUUUUUUUUAAUGAUGAAGAUGCGUUUCUAGAGUUACUAUACUCCAUAUUCAGCCAUCUUCAACACAAAGAGUUAGCAACAGUUAGUUUCUACAACAAAAAAUUAGUAAAAACUUAACCAAAAUUUCACAAUUAUCGACUAUUCCCUCCCCCCAACCAGAACGAAACAUUGUCCUCAAUGUUUGAAAGUAAAGAAGUAGAGUUUAGAAGACAUCACCUGGGUGGUGCAACACAGAAAAUAAUAUUUACAAACGGAGAGUUAAAUCUAAUUUGUACUUCUUACUGCGGCUACUGUUACCAUCAUUAUUUGGAUGCUCCAACACAAAGGUCCAGGGGUCUGGCUCCGGUCUAUAAGCUUGUAACAUAUCAAGUAGCUCAUUAGCAGUGUGAGCACAAAUAAAGAGUUUUUUCGCAUUAGAGGGAAUAAAAUAGUUUUUUAUUGCAUGGUUAAGAAAUGCGAUAAAGCCAUCAUAAAAGUUAUUGACAUUUAACAAACCGAUGGGUUUCUGGUGAAUGUGCAGAUGGGCCCAAGAUGCUAGUGUGAUAAGUGCCUCUAGUGUUGCAAGAUCUCUUGGAAGGAAAAUAAAAGCAUCAGCAUGAUUAAGCAUUUCAAUUAUUCUUUCUUGCAUACCUAAGACGACUAACUCUUCUCCAGUUGAUGAGUCAGACGAACUGCCCAAUGGUUUUAAGACUCUGGGGAUGAUGCCUAACACUUGACUUCCUCUGAUAAAAGUUGCUUCUGAGACCAUUUUUGAUAACCCUCGGUUACCUUCUCUAUACACCAAGUGUAAUUUUCUCUCUGCUAUACUUCGACCAAGAUCGAUGGCUGCCUCAACGAACUCUUUAUGUUUGCCAUAUGUAAAUCCAGAAAGCACACAAAUGUUCUUGAAUUGUCUAUUGGGAGUAGCUGCCAUUGUGACACUUCUCAAAAACAAUUUGUGAGUGCUUGACAAAAAAGAAAUCACAUUUAAAAAUCUUGGUGACAGUGGAUCACAGUUGUGUAUGAGGUAACAUGUUAGUGUCAAAUAACGAGUAAAGCACAUGGCUCGCGAGUCAAAAAGGAAACAGUAAAAAGGAAAAAGCAAACAGUAAUAAAAUUAUUAAAGACAAUAAUGCACACAAUAAAACAAUAGUGAAAUAAAAUAACAGUAAAGUAAAUGGAUAUUUACAGGUAGUUACGACUGUGGCUCACAUCUUCCUCUGGUUUUACGUCCAGAAACGGCUUGAACGCCCUCUAUGGGUCGAGGAUAGGCUUCCUAUCCAGUUUUCUUAUAAACUGGCAAACAAGGUCGUUUAUAGUCAGAUUCCCGAGACUAUAUCGUGCAUGCUCUUUCUGCAAUAAUGGCCAUAACUGGAGAAUCGUUCCUUGCACAUAUCCACUGGGAUGCGUUUCAAGAGACAAAAGGAUAUCAUCCAAUGACUCCUUAUUCAAGCCAUCCCUAAUGAAUUGAAUCCUAUCUUCCCUGUUAUCAGACCCCAUUCCUAAAGAACAUGGGUUUUUAUUGCAACUCAUUAUGGCACACUUAUGAUAAGCAACAGAAAUUCUUUGAGCUCGUCGUUUUCUUGCAUAAUUUCCUUUACCACAACCAGGCACGUAUGCAAUAAAUUUUGGAGGUAACUCACCUGCCGAUCGUACUUUCGCCUCAAUUAACCAACGGAUAUCAGCAGGUAUGUUAUUCCUCAUAAGCAAUCGCAUGCGUUCGGACCGAGCUUUAUAGAUCGUAAGGAGGGCAUUCUUAGGAAGUGAAGGGAAUCGCUUGUGAAGCUUCGCUAGAAUCUCGUUUCUGUCCAUACCUUCGCCUCAGAAUAUCAGUUAUUAUGGAAAACUGAAGUAACCGACUUGAUUGUCACGGAGUACCGUUAUCCGCCACUUCACCGGGAUAACAAACUAAAGCACACAAACAGAAAAACAAAUUAAAACACACAAAGAAAAUUAAAAUCGUCCUCUUAUUGAAAUUGCCUCAAGCUCCAACUGGAUAUCCUAAACACUUCUCUCAAUGUCUCUGAGUUGGCUUUCUAAACCCUCAACAUAGGCUACUAACUCUGGUGGCUAUAGAGCCCAAAUGCGAUGUGUUUUACAAAAUUGAAUCUGCCUUUUAAGAUGAGUUUUGACACGUUGAAGUGGUUUAAAAAUGUUCAGGAGGAACGAUCUAAGUAAGGUACUCAUGAUAAAAAAAUGAUAAGAGAAAACUUAAUAGUUAAACAAACACACUUAUGCAAAAAUAAUUUCAAUUAGCAAAAGAAUAAUAUAAAGAAAGAAAGAAAAAAAAAUCAAAUCACCAAAAAGAAAAAAAAAUCAAUUCAAAUUUAGUGGGUCACCUAAAUUUAUUUCGAUGUCUUCUCCGUGUGGUUGGUAUUCUAGAUAUGACUUUAAUCUUUGACCAUUAACUUUAAACGUGACACCGUUCUUUGGGUCCUUAAUUUCAAUUGCCCCAUGUGGAAAAACAGUAUGAACAAUAAAUGGGCCAGACCAACGAGAGCGUAACUUACCUGGGAAUAGGUGCAAGCGAGAAUUGAAUAAAAUCACUUUCUGACCUGGAGUGAACAAUUUUCUCAUAAUUUGCUUAUCAUGGAAGACUUUCAUUUGUUGCUUGUAAAUCUUGGCAUUUUCGUAUGUAUCAUUGUGAAUUUCUUCAAGUUCUGUCAGUUGUAAUCUUCUUUCUGAGCUGGCUUGCUGCAUGUCAAAAUUGAAUUUUUUGAUGGCCCAAUAUGCACGAUGCUCGAGUUCCACAGGUAGGUGGCAAGCUUUUCCAUACACUAGCCUGUAGGGUGACAUCCCAAUCGGGGUCUUGAAAGCCGUUCUAUAUGCCCAUAAUGCAUCAUCAAGUCUUAAUGACCAAUCUUUCCUGUCUGGCCUCACCGUUUUUUCUAAUAUGUGCUUUAUUUCUCGAUUGGAGAUCUCAACUUGGCCACUAGUUUGCGGAUGAUAUGGGGUUGCCACUUUAUGAGUGAUUGAAUACUUUGUCAAAAGAGCUUUGAAUGCUUUGUUACAAAAGUGGGCACCACCAUCACUGAUUAUUGCUCGAGGGAAUCCAAAGCGUGAGACAAUAUUGCUUUUCAAAAAUCCUAUCACCACCUUGUGAACAUUGGUUCUGCAUGGAAUUGCUUUUACCCAUUUCGAUACAUAGUCAACAGCAACCAAUAUGUAUUGAUGGCCAAAAGAAGGGGGAAAUGGUCCCAUGAAGUCGAUACCCCAUACAUCAAAAAUCUCAACCAUUAAAAUUGGAUUUAGUGGCAUCAUGUUCCUUCAUGUAAUGCUCCCCAUUCGUUGACACCUAUCACAUGAAGAAUAGAAAGUGUAAGCAUCUCGAAAUAUAGUUGACCAAUAAAAACCACAUCGUAAAACUUUAGUUGCUGUUUUCUUAGCACUGAAAUGGCCUCCACAAACUUGUUCAUGGCAGAAUGAAAGGAUAUUCUGAAUUUAACUUUCUGGGACACAUCGUCUAACAAUUUGGUCUGCACAAUACUUGAACAAAUACGGGUCAUCCCAAAAGAAAUUCUUUAUCUCUGCAAAGAAUUUAGCCUUGUCUUGCUUGGUCCAAUGCUCAGGAAGUUUACCUGUAACAAGAUAAUUAAAUAUAUCAGCAUACCAAGGUAAUACUUCCACACUCAUUAAUUGUUCAUCUGGAAAUGACUCAUUUAAUGAUAAUGGUUCUGUAAUUGUGUCAAAAUGGAGACGAGAGAGAUGAUCCGCCACAAUAUUUUCUGUCUCUUUCUUAUCUUUGAAUUCCAAGUCAAAUUCCUGCAAAAGUAACACCCAACGAAUUAGUCUAGCUUUUGCAUCUUUCUUUGUGAGAAGAUAUUUAAGAGCAGCAUGAUCUGUGAAUACAAUUAUUUUACAACCGAUGAGAUAGGAUCGAAAUUUUUCCAAUGCAAACACUACUGCUAGCAUUUCUUUUUCAGUAGUUGAAUAGUUCAACUGUGCAUCAUUUAAUGUCAUACUAGCAUAGUAAAUAACAUGGGGAAUUCAAUCAACUCUUUGUCCUAAUACUGCUCCUACUGCAUAAUCAGAUGCAUCACACAUGAGCUCAAAUGGUAAACUCCAGUUUGGGGCCUGAAUGAUGGGUGAUGAUGUCAAUAAUUGCUUUAGUUUUUCAAACGCCAUAAGACAUGAAUCAGUAAAGAUAAAAAGGUACAUUCUUAGCAAGUAGAUUGCAUAAGGGUCUAGAAACUUUGCUAAAAUUUUUAAUGAAACGUCUAUAGAAACCAGCAUGCCCAAGGAACGAUCUUACUUCUCUGACUGUUUUGGGUGGAGGAAGAUUAGAAAUGAGAUCCACCUUGGCUUUGUCAACCUCAAUACCUUUACUUGAAAUGAUGUGACCGAGAACAAUACCUUGUUUUACCAUAAAAUGGCACUUCUCCUAAUUUAAGACCAAGUUCUUCUCGAUACAUCUCUGCAGAACUAGCGUUAGAUGAUGUAAACAUUGAUCAAACGAGUCACCAAAGACAGAAAAGUCAUCCAUAAAGACUUCAAGGAAUCGUUCAACCAUAUCAGAAAAAAUGCUCAACAUGCAUCGUUGAAAUGUAGCAGGUGCAUACAUAAUCCAAAUGGCAUUCUCCUAUAUGCAAAUGUGCCAAAAGGGCAAGUGAAAGUGGUCUUCUCUUGAUCUUUUGGUGCUAUGGGGAUCUGAUUAUAUCCUGAGUAGCCAUCUAGAAAGCAAUAAAAUUCAUGGCCUGCUAAUCUAUCAAGCAUUUGAUCAAUAAAUGGUAAAGGAAAAUGGUCUUUACGUGUGACAGAAUUCAACUUUCUAUAAUCAAUGCAUACACGCCAUUCUGUAGUUACUCUAGUGGGUAUCAAUUCAUUAUUAAUUCAUUACUCUAAUAGCUUAAGGACUUCAGUUCUAACAACUUCUUUCAUAUUAGGAUUUAACCGACGUUGUAUUUCCCUAGUAGAUUUAGCAUUUUCAUCAAGGUGAAUGUAAUGCAUGCAGUCUACUGGGUUUAUACCUUUAAUGUCUGCUAUGGUCCAUCCUAAUGCUCCUUUGUGCUCUUUUAAAACAUCCAACAACUUACCUUUUUGUUCGUCAUUGAGGGAUGAUGAGAUGAUUACCGGCAGAGUACUUUCUUCUCCCAAAAAUGCAUAUUCCAGAGUGUUGGGUAAUGGUUUGAGCUCGAGUUUCGGUGGUGAUUCUGAUGAUGGAAUGAGUUGCUUCUCUGAUGGUGCUAGUUGUUCAACUCUUGACUUCCAUUUAUUAGUGUCCAUGGAUGGUGCUGAGUCAAGUAGGGCGUUGACCUCAUCGACCGAUCUGUCAAUAUCAAAAUCCAAACCAAAGUGAGUUAAGCAUGUUUGUAAAGGCUCAUCACUAAGGUUUGAAAGAAAAGUGUUAUCAACUAUUGUUUCUAUUAAAUCCACAUCAACAAUUCCAUCAUCUGCAUUGUGAGGUUGUUUGGCAAUGUUGAAGAUGUUCAGCUCCAUAGUCAUGUUGCCGAAGGACAACUGCAUAUUUCCAGUCCUGCAUUGAAUGUGAGCAUCCGCAGUUGCCAAGAAAGGUCGUCCUAGAAUAAUGGGGAUGUGCUUCCUUGAAUCCUGUAUUGGUUGAGUGUCAAUUAUAAUGAAAUUAACAGGAAAAUAAAACUUGUCUACCUGGAUAAGCACGUCCUCCAUAAUACCACGAGGUAUUUUCAUGGACCGAUCUGCAAGCUGUAACACCACUGGAGUUGGGUGUAAUUCUCCCAGUCCAAGUUUCACGAAUUCUGAAUAAGGCAAUAGAUUUACACUAGCUCCUAAAUCCAACAAAGCAUUCUCAAUUGUGUGGUUCUCUAUACUACAUGAGAUACUGAAUAAUGGAGCUUUGGGAAUAUAUUCUCGUGGGUUGGUUUCUUCUUUCUCCUCCGGUGAUGAGUCCUCAACACUCACAGGUACAAUUUGAUUUUCUUUUGUCACCGGCAUCUCCACUUUGUUGUCGGCUUCUUUUCCUUUUCGCAAGGUCAUAACUGCUUUGACUUCUCUAUGCUGCUGUGGUGAACUAGUACUUGCUUCAUGCACUCCUUUAGGAUUAGGCACUCGUUGACUUGGAAAUUUGCCUUUCUUAACAGUCAUUGCCAAGGUCUGAACUGAAGAAGCAAGUUGUCCCACUAUCUUUUCGAGUAUUGAAACUGAUUGGGCUUGUGAAUUGAAGCCUGCUCUCAACUCAUUUCAUAGUCCAUCAAUGGUGCGGUUUUGUUGCUCAAUUAUGGAGUGAGUAACAUUCUUGAAAUUCUGGAAUGCAUCCUCCCAUGGUCUAGGUUGAGAGUAGUUUUGGUUCUUAUUGUAUGGUCUAAAUGGUGGCUGAAAGGCUUGAGUAUUUUAUGGAAUUUGUUGCAUUGGUGGAGCUGGAGUUGCUGGUCCAUUCUGUUGGAAUCCUUGAGACCAUGAAAAAUUGGAGUGGUCUCUCCAUCCAGGGUUAUAUGUGCUAGAGUAUGGAUUAUAAUUCGAUGGUUUUCUCAUUACACCUAUGGCAUUGGCUUGAUCAGAGUAUGAGUCAUGGUCAUGUGGUUCUGUUGAUUUAGCAGUCGAUAACGAUGCUAUUUGUCGAGCAAGACCUUCAACCAUCUCCUUGACUUCUUUGAUUCCCGAAGUUGACUCGCCAAUGUGAACCUCAUUCACUCCUUUAAUUCUUUUAGUAUUCCUGAGUGAUCGACUCCGUUGUUGGAAUUAUCCGCUUGUCGCUGGAAGAAUUCCCAAAUUUCUGAUGUACUUUUUGACAUUAGCUCUCCUCCACUUGUUGCCAUUAGCCAUUCUUGCACAUUCGGCAAUAAUCCCUCCAAAACGUAUUGGCAUUGGUGCCAUUUCUCGUACCCAUGAUGUGGACACUUCAAGAGUAGCCCAUUGAAUCGCUCCCAUGUUUCAAAAAACUGCUCGUCCUCUCUCUGGGUAAACUCUGAGAUUUCCCUGCGAAUAGCGUUGGUUUUAUGCACUGGGAAAUAUUUAUUCAAAAAUUUUGUUACCAUUUGUUCCCAUGAUGAAAUGCUAUUAGCAGAUAAAAUAUUUAACCAUGAACGAGCUCUAUCCUUUAAAGAAAAUGGGAAUAAUCUGAGUUUAACAUCAUCAUCUGAAAAAUUUUCAUAUUUAAAAGUUUGACAAAUUGCAUGAAAAUCAUUCAGAUGAUUAUAUGGGUCCUCAUUUCCUAGGCCAUAAAAUGUUGGGAGACAAUUUAGCACACUGGGUUUUAAUUCAAAACUCCUAGCAGCUACGUUUGGGUAUCUUAUGCAUGAUGUGCUCAAAUUAGCUAAGAGACUAAAAUAGUCCUUAAAUAGCCUCUCCUGUGGUGCUUGUAAAUCCAUUUUAUUUUUAAAGUUCUUGUGUGUGCGAAGUGUUUUUUCUAGUUCAAGGUCUAUAGGUUCAAGAUUAGGUAAUAAUGACCUACGACCAUGCAUGCAAAACAAAUAAAAAAAAUAAAGAUGGGAACAAAACAAAUAAAAAUAAAGAAGAGGGAGAAAUUACGAUACUAACCUUAUUGCGCUAUUACAACCUUUCUAUAAAAAUACACAAAAAUAAAUAUGUGAAAUUAACUGAAAAUUAAAUUAAAACUUAAUAAAGAAAAUUAAAUUAAGAUAAACAAAAAUUACAAAGAAAAAUAAUUUAAAAAUUAAAUUGCAUAAUUGUAAAGAAUAGAGAAAGAAAAUAAAUACUAACCUCUAAAUGCAGAUUCACUUUUUUUUUCUUUUUUUUUAAAGAAAAAAAAUACAAGACAACAAUUAUUCACACGAGGAGGUGGAUUUUUAAAAGAAAUUAUUCACACAAAUUAAUUCUAUGAAUUAAAAUUACUUACCUCCCCGGCAACGGCGCCAAAAACUUGUUGUGCAAAUUUUAAUGUACUCGCAAGCGCACGAAUCUAUUGUAGUAUAGAUCAAUAGUGACGAGUGUCGAUCCCACGAGGAGGUGGAUUUUAAUUAUAUGUAGAAUUAAUUUUGUAAAUGGGUGGUUGAAAUUGUGAUGGAAGUGAUUUAAAUUAUCCUAAAAUUGGAAUUGCAAUGGCGAGAAUAAAUUGAAGCAAAAUCUAUUGAAAUGACGUACUUGGGUAUCUGGAUCCGUAUCAACAUGCAUCAUGGGCUAAAUAAUCCGUAUUAAUGCCAAUUAAAUCAUGAGGGGGGAAUCCACACCUCAUGAACCACGCUCUAAUCAAUAUGGUGCUAAGGGCUUAUCGUGUCAAAUAAUAAUAACCUUGUACUAGAGGGCCGGUGAAACCAAGGCGGUACUAGACAAGAAUAUUAUUAUUUGUCGAUGAGAAGUCAAAACAUCCACAAAAACUAGAGGGGAAGAGAAAAUAAAUUUACCAAAUUAAGCCCAUGACACAUGUUGAGACUUCACCUUCAACCCAAGCUUGAAAGAAAAUUAGCCACUCAUAAUUGAACUAGGGGUAAAAUGGAAAUUUAUUAAAAUAUGAAGAAAAUACAAGAUGGAGAAGGAAUUACAGAAAAUGGAUCCCAAAAAUAGAUUCAGAGAUAUCAAAUUAGGGGGGAGAGGCCCCCUUUUUAUAGAUACAUGGAGUAAAUCAUGGCCAUCGGAUUAAAAACAGUUUGGACGCUCAGGAUUGCUCCACGUCAUCAAUCAACAGUACGCGAUUUGACCACGCGGAUGAACAGUAACACGGUUUGACCUGGAUGAAUAGUAACGCGGUUUGACCCGGAUUAACAGUAACGCGGUUUGGUUGAAAAUAAUCCUGUGUGAUGCAUAUACCAUACGCGAGAUUUUUCGUCCACUGAUAUGCUGCCACGUCACCAUCAACAGUACAUAAGAAUUUUAGCCCAACAGGAUCGUAACACCUCAUCAGUCAAUGCCACAUCAUCGGUCAAUGCCACGUCAUCGAUCCGUCUAUGUGAACAGUGCCGUGAACAGUAACGUAUACGGUACCGUACAUGUGAAUAGUACCGUACAUGUGAACAGUGCCAUUUUUCCUUUUAUGCUCCUCCUAAGGUUUUCGACCGUCCUGAGUUCAAAAGUGAUGUCCGUUUUGCCAUCUGAUCUCUCGUUUAUUGUGAAAUGACUAUGAUGCCCUUAAAAUACAUAAAAUACUUAAUUAAAAUAAAACAAACGGAAUUAAAUCAAAAGAAGGUUAAAUUCAUAAAAGUAAAGGUGUUAGUAAGACUUGAAAUGUAAAAUGACGGUUUUCUCCUUUAUAAAUAUGCAUUUUCUAACACUCAACAACACCGUUCUUUGGGUCUUUAAUUUCAAUUGCCCCAUGUGGAAAAACAGUAUGAACAAUAAAGGGGUCAAACCAUCGAGAUCGUAACUUACCUGAGAAUAGGUGUAAGCGAAAAUUGAACAAAAGCACUUUCUGACCUGGAAUGAACAAUUUUCUCAUAAUUUUCUUGUCAUGAAAGACUUUCAUUCGUUGCUUGUAAAUCUUGACGUUUUCAUAUGCGUCAUUACGAAUUUCUUCAAGUUUUGCCAGUUGCAAUUUUCUUUCUGAGUUGGCUUGCUGCAUGUCAAAGUUGAAUUUCUUGAUGGCCCAAUAUGCACGAUGCUCGAGUUCCACAGGUAGGUGGCAAGCUUUUCCAUACACUAGCCUGUAGGGUGACAUACCAAUCGGGGUCUUGAAAGCCGUUCUAUAUGCCCAUAAUGCAUCAUCAAGUCUUAAUGACCAAUCUUUUCUUUCUGGCCUCACCGUCUUUUCUAAUAUGUGCUUUAUUUGUCGAUUGGAGAUCUCAACUUGGCCACUAGUUUGCGGAUGAUAUGGGGUUGCCACUUUGUGUGUGAUGGAAUACUUUGUCAAAAGAGCUUUGAAUGCUUUGUUACAAAAGUGGGCACCACCAUCACUGAUUAUUGCUCGAGGGAAUCCAAAGCGCAAAACAAUGUUGCUUUUCAAAAAUCCUAUUACCACCUUGUGAUCAUUGGUCCUGCAUGGAAUUGUUCUACCUAUUUCGAUACGUAGUCAACAGCAACCAAUAUCUAUUGAUGGCCAAAAGAAGGGGGAAAGGGUCCCAUAAAGUUGAUACCCUAUACAUAAAAAAUCUCAACCACUAAAAUUGGAUUUAGUGGCAUCAUGUUCCUUCGUGUAAUGCUCCCCAUUCGAAGACACCUAUCACAUAAAGAACAGAAAGUGUAAGCGUCUCGAAAUAUAGUUGGCCAAUAAAAACCACAUUGUAAAACUUUAGUCGUUGUUUUCUUAGCACUGAAAUGACCUCCACAAGCUUGUUCAUGGCAGAAUGAAAGAAUAUUCUGAAUUUCACUUUUUGGAACACAUCAUCUAACGAUUUGAUCUACACAAUACUUGAACAAAUACGGGUCAUGCCAAAAGAAAUUCUUUAUAUCCGCAAAGAAUUUAGCCUUGUCUUGCUUGGUCCAAUGCUCUGGAAGUUGACCUGUAACAAGAUAAUUAACGAUAUCAGCAUACCAUGGUAAUACUUCCACACUCAUCAAUUGUUCAUCUAGGAAUGACUCAUUCAAUGGUAAUGAUUCCAUAAUUGUGUCAAAAUGGAGACGAGAGAGAUGGUCAGCUACAACAUUCUCUGUGCCUUUCUUAUCUUUAAAUUCCAAAUCGAACUCCUGCAAAAGUAACACCCAACGAAUUAGUCUAGCUUUUGCAUCUUUCUUUGUGAGAAGAUAUUUAAGAGCAGCAUGAUCUGUGAAUAUAAUUAUUUUAUAACCAAUGACAUAAGAUCGAAUUUUUCCAAUGCAAACACUACUGCUAGCAUUUCUUUUUCAGUAGUUGAAUAGUUCAUCUGUGCAUCAUUCAAUGUCAUACUAGCAUAGUAAAUAACAUGGGAAAUUUGAUCAACUCUUUGUCCUAAUACUGCUCCUACUGCAUAAUCAGAUGUAUCACACAUGAGUUCAAAUGGUAGGCUCCAGUUUGGGGGCUGAAUGAUGGGUGAUGAUGUCAAUGUUGAGUGUUAGAAAAUGCAUAUUUAUAAAGGAGAAAACCGUCAUUUUACAUUUAAGUCUUACUAACAACCCUUACUUUUAUGUAUUUAACCUUCUUGUGAUUUAAUUACAUGUGUUUUAUUUUAAUUAAGUAUUUUAUGUAUUUUAGGGGCAUUAUAGUCAUUUCACAAUAAAUGAGAGAUCAAACGGCAAAACGGACAUCAAUUUUGAACUUAGGACGGUCGAAAACCUUAGGAGGAGCAUAAAAGGAAAAAUGGCACUAUUCACAUGUAUGGUACUGUCUACGUUACUGUUCACGACACUGUUCACCUAGACGGAUCAAUGACGUGGCAUUGACCGAUGAUGUGGCAUUGACUGAUGAGGUGUCAUGAUCCUGUUGGACUAAAAUUAUUAUGUACUGUUGAUGGUGACGUGGCAGCAUAUCAGUGGACGAAAAAUCUCACGUACGGUACAUGCAUCACACAGGAUUAUUUUCAACCAAACCGUGUUACUGUUCAACCCGGGUCAAACCGUGUUACUGUUCAUCCAUGUGGUCAAACCGCGUACUGUUGACUGAUGACGUGGCGCAAUCAUGAGCGUCUAAACUGUUUUUAAUCCGAUGGCCAUGAUUUACUCCAUGUAUCUAUAAAAAAGGGGGCCUCUCCCCCCUAAUUUGAUAUCUCUGAAUCUAUUUUUGGGAUCCAUUUUUUAUAAUUCAUUCUCCAUCUUGUAUUUUCUUUGUAUUUUAAUAAAUUUUCAUUUUACCCCUAGUUCAAUUAUGAGUAGCUAAUUUUCUUUCAAGCUUGGGUUGAAGGUGAAGUCUCAAUAUGUGUUAUGGGCUUAAUUUGGUAAAUUUAUUUUCUCUUCCCCUCUAGUUUUUGUGGAUGUUUUGACUUCUCGUCGACAAAUAAUAAUAAUCUUGUCUAGAUACCGCCUUGGUUACACCGGCUCUCUAGUAUAAGGUUAUUAUUAUUUGGCACGAUAAGACAUAAGCCCUUAGCACCAUAUUGAUUAGAGCGUGGUUCAUGAGGUGUGGACUCCCCUCUCAUGAUUUAAUUGGCAUUAAUAAGGAUUAUUUAGCCCAUGAUGCAUGUUGAUACGGAUCCAGAUACCCAAGUACGUCAUUUCAAUAUAAUUCUCUUCAAUUUAUUCUCGCCAUUUCAAUUCCAAUUUUAAAAUUUAUUCUCGUCAUUUUAUUUUAAGUUUUAGCAUAUUCCAAAUCAUUUCCACCACAAAUCCAAUCACUCAUUUACAAAAUUAAUUCUACACAGAAUUAAAAUCCACCUCCUCGUAGGAUCGACAUUCGUCACCAUUGAUCUAUAGUACAAUAGAUUCGUGCGCUUGCGAGUUCAAUAAAAUUUGCACAACAAGUUUUUGGCGCCGUUGCCGGGGAGGUAAGUUAUUUUAAUUCGUAGAAUUAAUUUUUGUGAUUAAUUUCUUUUAAUUUUUUUUUGUAAUUUUUUUUAUUAAAAAAAAGUGAAUCUACAUUUAAAGGUUAGUAUUUCUUUUCUUUUUCUCUUCUUUAAAAUUCUGUAAUUUAAUUUUCAAUUUAUUUUUCUUUGUAAAUUUUUUUUUGUUUAUCUUAUUAAUUUAUUUUUAGUUAAUUUAUUUUCACGUUUUUUUUGGUGUGUUUUAUAGUAAGGUUGUAACAGUUUGAUAAGGUUAGUAUCGUAAUUUCUCUUUUUUCUUUAUUUUUAUUCGUUUUGUUCCCAUUUAUUUUUGUGUUCCUUGCAUGCAUGGUCGUAGGUCAUUAUUUCCUAAUCUUGAACCAUAGACCUUGAAUUAGAAAAAAACAUUUCGCACACACAAACAAGUUAAAAAUAAAAUGGAUUUGCAACCACAGGAGAGGCCAUUUAAGGACUACUUCAGUCCUUUAGCUAAUUUGAGCACAUCAUGCAUAAGAUACCCAAAUGUAGCUGCUAGGAGUUUUGAACUAAAACCUAGUGUGCUAAAUUGUCUCCCAACAUUCUAUGGCCUAGAAAAUGAGGACCCAUAUAAUCAUUUGAAUGAUUUUCAUGCUAUUUGUCAAACAUUUAAAUAUGAGAAUUUUUCAGAUGAUGAUGUAAAACUUAGAUUAUUCUCAUUUUCUUUAAAAGAUAGAGCUCGUUCAUGGCUUAAUACAUUGCCUGCUAAUAGCAUUACAUCAUGGGAACAAAUGGUAACAAAAUUUCUGAAUAAAUAUUUCCCAGUGUAUAAAACCAAUGCUAUUCAUAGGGAAAUCUCAGAGUUUACCCAGAGAGAUGACGAACAGUUUUUCGACACGUGGGAGCGAUUCAAUGGGCUACUCUUGAAGUGUUCACAUCAUAGGUACGAGAAAUGGCACCAAUGCCAUUACGUUUUGGAGGGAUUAUUGCCGAAUGUGCAAGAAUGGCUAAUGGCAACAAGUGGAGGAGAACUAAUGUCAAAAAGUGCAUCAGAGAUUUGGGAAUUCUUCCAGCGACAAGCGGAUAAUUCCCAACAACGGAGUCGAUCACUUAGGAAUACUAGAAGAAUUAAAGGAGUAAAUGAGGUUCACAUUGGCGAGUCAACUUCGGGAAUCAAAUAAGUCAAGGAGAUGGUUGAAGGUCUUGCUCGACAAAUAGCAUCGUUAUCGACUGCUAAAUCAACAGAGCCACAUGACCAUGACUCAUACUCAGAUCAAGCCAAUGCCAUAGGUGUAAUGAGAAAGCCAUCAAAUUACAACCCAUACUCCAACACAUACAACCCUGGAUGGAGAGACCACCCCAAUUUUUCAUGGUCUCAUGGAUUCCAACAGAAUGGAUCAGUAGCUCCAGCUCCACCAAUGCAACCAAUUCCUCAAAAUCCUCAAGCCUCUCAGCCCCCAUUUAAACUAUUCAAUCAGAACCAGAACUACUCUCAACCUAGACCAUGGGAGGAUGCAUUCCAAAAUUUCAGGAAUGUUACUCACUCCACGAUUGAGCAACAGAACCGCACCAUUGAUGGACUAUGAAAUGAGUUGAGAGCAGGCUUCAAUUCACAAGCCCAAUCAGUUUCAAGCCUUGAAAAGAUGGUGGGACAACUUACUUCUUCAGUUCAGACCUUGGCAAUGACUGUUGAGAAAGGUAAAUUUCCAAGUCAACCAGUGCCUAAUCCUAAAGGAGUACAUGAAGCAAGUACCAGUUCACCACAGCAGCAUGGAGAGGUCAAAGCAGUCAUGACCAUGCGAAAAGGAAAAGAAGUCGACAACAAAGUGGAGAUGCCGGUGAUAAAAGAAAAUCAAAUUGUACCUGUGAAUGUUGAUAACUCACCACCGGAUGAGAAAGAAGAAACCAACCCACGAGAAUAUGUUCCCAAAGCUCCAUUUCCUCAAAGGUUAGCGAAAGGAAAGAAGGGAAAAUCCACAGGUGAGAUUCUUGAAAUCUUCAAACAGGUAAGUGUUAACAUCCCUUUACUUGAUGCAAUUAAACAAGUUCCAUCUUAUGCCAAGUUUUUUAAAGACCUUUGUACUAAAAAGAGAAACAUUCAUGCUCAAAAGAAGGCAUUUUUAACAGAAAACGUUAGUUCUAUACUCCAACAUAAAAUUCCUCUAAAAUGCAAAGACCUAGGCUCCCCUACUAUCUCAUGUAGCAUAGGGAACCACACAAUUGAGAAUGCUUUAUUAGAUUUAGGAGCUAGUGUAAAUCUGUUGCCUUACUCAGUAUUUUUGAAACUUGGACUUGGAGAAUUACACCCAACUCCAGUGGUGUUACAGCUUACAGACCAGUCCACGAAAAUACCUCGUGGUAUUGCGGAGGACGUGCUUAUCCAGGUAGACAGGUUUUAUUUUCCUGUUGAUUUCAUUGUAAUUGACACUCAACCAAUACAGGAUUUAAGGAAGCACAUCCCCAUUAUUCUGAGCCAACCUUUCUUGGCAACUGCGGAUGCUCACAUUCAAUGCAGGACUGGAAAUAUGCAGUUGUCCUUCGGCAACAUGACUAUGGAGCUGAAUAUCUUCAACAUUGCCAAACAACCUCACAAUGCAGAUGAUGGAAUUGUUGAUGUGGAUUUAAUUGAAGCAUUAGUUGAUGACACUUUUGUUUCAAACCUUAGUGAUGAUCCUUUACAAGCGUGUUUAACUCACUUUGGUUUUGAUUUUGAUAUUGACAGAUCUGUUGAUGAGGUCAACGCCCUGCUUGACUCAGCACCAUCUAUGGACACUAAUAAAUGGAAGUCAAGAGUUGAACAAUUAGCACCAUUAGAGAAGAAACUCAUCCCAUCAUCAGAAUCACCACCAAAACUCGAGCUCAAACCAUUGCCCAACACAUUGGCAUAUGCAUUUUUGGGAGAAGAAAGUACUCUACCGGUAAUCAUCUCAUCAUCCCUAAAUGACGAACAAAAAGGUAAGUUGUUGGAUGUUUUGAAAGAGCACAAAGGGGCAUUAGGAUGCACUAUAGCAGACAUAAAAGGUAUAAACCCAGUAGAUUGCAUGCAUUACAUUCACCUUGAUGAAAAUGCUAAAUCUACUAGGAAAUGCAUCGUCGGUUAAAUCCUAAUAUGAAAGAAGUUGUUAGAACUGAAGUCCUUAAGCUAUUAGAUGCAGGUAUCAUUUACCCAAUUUCUGAUAGUUCGUGGGUCAGUCCUGUACAAGUUGUCCCCAAAAAGUCAGGAGUCACAAUAGUUACGAAUACUGAUAAUGAAUUGAUACCCACUAGAGUGACUACAAGAUGGCGUGUAUGCAUUGAUUAUAGAAAGUUGAAUUCUGUCACACGUAAAUACCAUUUUCCUUUGCCAUUUAUCAAUCAAAUGCUUGAUAGAUUAGCAGGCCAUGAAUUUUAUUGCUUUCUAGAUGGCUACUCAGGAUAUAAUCAAAUUCCCAUAGCACCAAAAGAUCAAGAGAAAACCACUUUCACUUGCCCUUUUGGCACUUUUGCAUAUAGGAGGAUGCCAUUUGGAUUAUGUAAUGCACCUGCUACAUUUCAACGAUGCAUGUUAAGCAUUUUUUCUGAUAUGGUUGAACGAUUCCUUGAAGUCUUUAUGGAUGAUUUUUCUAUCUUUGGUGACUCGUUUGAUCAAUGUUUACAUCAUCUAACACUAGUUCUGUAGAGAUGUGUCCAGAAGAACUUGAUCAAACCUUGCAAAAUCUUCAUAAACAACCUAGGACCCUUAGAGACUUCAUGCAUCCUACUAGAACAUGUCACCAUCAUGCAUAUUUUUCCCUCCUGAUGCAUCACGUUUUAAUUUCAAGCCUGGUAUCAUUCAACUUUUGCCUACCUUUCAUGGUUUUGAGUCUCAAAAUCCAUAUUUGCAUUUAAGGGAAUUUGAGGAAGUCUGUAACACCUGUACUGAUCAAAAUUGUAGCAUGAAUAUAAUUAGACUUAAGUUUUUUCCUUUCUCACUAAAAGAUAAAACUAAAACUUGGCUACAAAAUCUUAGGUCAAAAUCCAUCAGAACAUGGGAUUAAAUGCAAGCACAAUUUUUGAAAAAAUUCUUCCCACCCUACAGAACAAAUUCUUUCAAAAGACAAAUCACCACUUUCACUCAAAAACCAGGAGAAACUCUCUACCAAUGUUGGGAUAGGUUUAAAGAACUACUUAACAUUUGCCCACAUCACGGUUUUGAAACAUGGAGAUUAGUGUCUUAGUUCACUUGGAAUUUUAUAAUAUCAACUUGAAAUUUAACUGAAAGUAUUAGUAGUUAAGGAUUUUAAUAGAAAUAUUAAAUAGAAACAAUUAGUUAACAAGUUAAAACAAGUAAACCUAUAAUUGAGUAUGUUUAACUAAAAUUAGGGGCUAAUUUAACAAAAAGUUAAACAAUAGAAAGUAAAUUUGGCAUUUAACCCAAAUAGUUAAAAUUUUACCAAGUUAUUGGAAAUACUGAAACAAAAGUAUUGAAAUAAUAGUUGAAACACAUAAGUUAAAAAGGGAUAAAAUAUUAACCAAAUUCUAAUUUUAAAACUCAUCCAAUAAGAAAUGAAUUUACUUAGAAUUUAACAAAAAGUAUUGGUAUUUAAUGAACUUAAUAUGAACAUUAAACGCAUAGCUGGUAGAUUUAUAAGUUAGAAAUAUGUAAACCUAGAAGUAAGAAGGUUUAACCAAAAUUAAGGAAUAAAAAAAUAUAUAAAAAAGUCCAAUUGGUAUUUAACCUAAAUAAUUGCAACCUUACCUAAUUAGUAGGAAUAUUCGACAAAAAAAUAGUGGAAUAAUUAGUUGAACCAUAUGAACUUAGAAGGGAGACAAUUUAAGCAAAAUUAGGAACUUAUCCAAUGGGAAUGAAUAUUAUUUGGAAUCUAACCCAAAAUUGGCAUUAAAUGAAUGUAGUAGGAAUAUAAAACAUAAAACUGGCAAACUACUAAUUAAGUUGAAGCUUGUGGGCCUAUAAGUGAGAAAAUUUAACCAAAAUUAGAGACCAGUUUAACCAAAAAUAAAAUUAUAAAAAUAAAAUUUGGUGCUUAACCUCAAUAAUUAGAAUCUUAUUAAGUUAAUAGAAGUAUUCAACACAAAAAUAUGGAAAUUAGUAGUUGAAACUGGACACCAUAAGAGAGAAAGUUCAAGUAAAAUUUGGAACUCAUCCACCAGAAAUAAAUUUAACUUGCAAUCUAAUCAAAAUAUUGGUAUUGAAUGAAUAUAGUAGGAACAUCAAACACAAAACUAGAGGACUAAUAUGNNNNNNNNNNNNNNNNNNNNNNNNNNNNNNNNNNNNNNNNNNNNNNNNNNNNNNNNNNNNNNNNNNNNNNNNNNNNNNNNNNNNNNNNNNNNNNNNNNNNNNNNNNNNNNNNNNNNNNNNNNNNNNNNNNNNNNNNNNNNNNNNNNNNNNNNNNNNNNNNNNNNNNNNNNNNNNNNNNNNNNNNNNNNNNNNNNNNNNNNNNNNNNNNNNNNNNNNNNNNNNNNNNNNNNNNNNNNNNNNNNNNNNNNNNNNNNNNNNNNNNNNNNNNNNNNNNNNNNNNNNNNNNNNNNNNNNNNNNNNNNNNNNAAUGUUCCUAUUAAAUUCCUUAAAUACUAAUCUAUUGGGUUAGAAUGUAAGUAAAUUCAUUUCCUAUUGGAUAAGUUCACAUUUUCGUUAUAUUUUCUACUAUUUAGGCUCAGUAAUUUCAACUAAUUAUUCCAUCAUUUUUGUGUUGAGUAUUUCCAUUAACUUUGUAAGAUUCCAAUUAUAUAGGUUAGAUACUAAAUUUUUAUUUUUUAUAAAUUUAGUUUUGUUAGAUUAGUAACUUAUUUUGGUUAAACUUAUAGGUUCGUUUAUUCACUUUUAAGUUCACUAUUUUCGUGUUUUAUAUUCCUACUAAUGUCGUUAAAUACCAAUAUUUUGAGUUAUAUUUUAAACAACUUUCAUUUCUAUGAGAUGAGUUCAUAAUUUUAGUUCAACCUCAUUUCAUGUGGGUUUAUAUAUUUCAACUAUUAUUCCACUAAUUUUGUUCAGAAUAUAAAAAUGGAAGAAAUAGUUAUUUUUUUUGUAAAUAAUGGAGGAUAUAAUUUAAUGAUAGAUAGUAAUACAAUUAAGGAUAACAUAACUAAAUAUAGACAAUAUUAUUAUUCAGAACAAUUGUAUUUAUCCGGAGAGCUCAUGAAAUUAGAAUUGGAGAACUCAUACUAAUAAAGAAUUGAAAUUUCAACAUAGAUCCUAUUCUCCUAUUCACAGUUAGGAGAGAGGUUUAUAGAAAUAAUUUUUCAUGGAAAUAAUGGAAUAUUAAUUAUGUUGAGGAUUAUAUAGAUGAACUUGUGAUUGAUUAUAAUAGAUUUUUAACUAUUAAGCAAAGAGAUGAAGACAAUUGGAAUAAAUAAAGGAUCAGAAGUGAAUACUAUCCUUCUAGCAACAUUCUAAUAGGAUACAAAGAUUUAAUUAUAUAUAAGCUUUGUUAUAUACAUAAAGGAUUAGAAGAAAACAAUAUUGCUAAGGAUAUAAAAAAUAUUAUAUAUCACAAAUACUUGAUAGAAUAUAAUGAAAUAUUAUACAGAUGGUAUUAUGAAUAUAUUACUAGAACCAUUGAUAAUUUCACAAAAUAUAGAAACCAAUAAAUUUCCACCUUCUCGCUAUAGGCAUAAAGGAUUUACUUAUGAAAGAUUUCAACCAUUUGAUUUGGUAAAUGAUUUUGAUAUGUAAGGAAGUAAUAAGUUAAACUAAAUUUCUCUAUAUUUAUUAAAUAAAUUUGGAAAUCCUAAUUGAACCAUAAAUGAUAUAGAAGAAAGUGCAAAUGAAAUACUUGAAAUUAAAAGCUUUCAAGUUAAAAUGUUAAAAGAUCAAAUGAGUGAAGAAUUUGAUUCACUCAAACAAUUAUAAAAGACUUCAAAAUUAAAGAUUAAGAUAGAUUGAAAUAAGAAAUCAUUAAUGUCAUGAACACAAAUUCAAUUGAAGAUAAAUUAAAUAAGAUAGAAAUUCAAUUACAUAAAAUUGGAAAAAUCGUUGAACAACUUGGUAAUAAGUGACACGACUCAAAAGUGUAUUACUCUCAAGUAUAAGAGUGUCUAGUUAUAAUAUAACCCGGUGAGACCGGGGUCGAACCACAUGGAGUUUUAAAUCUAGUAAAACUAAGAAAAUUAAUUGUGGGAAAAAGAAAUUAUUUGAAAUCAAUUUAAAAAUAAGCUAAGGUUUAGGAUCCACUCUCUGUAUUCAAACUAUAAUUUUAAUACUCUCUCAUUUAUAUUUUGCCUCACUUUUACCAAUUAAUUAUUAUAUCAUUUAAUUCUAUGUGUGUGGAUAAAUAUAGAAUAAAGUACCUAAUGUGCCACACUAUAUUAAUGUAUCGAUAUUAUGUCAAAAUACCAUAAAAUCCAGUGAGAUUUAUAAAUUAACAUGAUAUAAAAAUAAUUAGAAAAGAAUUAAAAAAAAUUCAUUUGAGAAAAUAAUAAUAAUUAAUAGUUUGAAAUAUUGAGCUUCACUCCUCACCUCAGUUUAAUAAAAUUAGCUACUCAUAUUGAAAGAAAACACAACACUUUUUUUAUUUGAUAAAAUUUUUGAAAUAUAUUACAAAGAAAAUUGAUACAAACGGAAAUAAGAAAAGAAAAGAAACAAAGAAAGAAAGAAAAUCUUCAGUCUCGGCUUCAGCUCUCAAAUUUUGCUCUCCAGCUUCUCCCCGCUCUUCAAUUUCUCCUCCCUUUUUAUAGGCAACAAUUGCCUUUAACUUUCUUUAUUUUAUUAUUUAUUUAUUAUUUUAUUAUUAUUUUAAAAUAUAUAAGUGUGUUGAAAUGUGUGAUGGUCAGGAGGCGUAAUGGCCUCCUGACAAUCACCAACGUGUUUUUGUUCUUUUAUUUUUUAUUUUUUGUUUUUAUUUUAUUGAUUAUUUACUAUUACAUUUCUUCAAUUUUGUUCCAGUUGUUCUUCUUUGUUCCCGCUUUCAAUUUCAAUUCCAUCUUUAUUCCUGAAAACUAUUUAUAAGAUAAAAAUUAACAAAUUACAAAUUAAUUUAACAUAAAAUAUAUUUGGGGAGUAUUAAAAUAAUUUAGAAAUAAUGAACGCAUUAAUCGACACAAUAAGUGAAAAACUAAUAAUUUUAUCCUUAUUAAAUGUACACUUUUUAGUGUCAAUCACACCCCCCAACCAGCUUAUUGUUAGGCCCUAGCAAUUUAAGCGAUAAAAGUUUAGUAAAAUUUCAAACUCAAAUUGAAAAUCAUUUUUAAAAAAAAUUGUGUUUACUUCUUCCAUCAGAUUAAUGACAACAAUCAAAUAAAAGUAUAAAAAUUAUCUUCAGCUUAAAGAAAAUCACACCCUUUCAAAACAGUUCAGUAAAAUCCUGUAAAAUGAUCAAUCAUCAGAGCUACAUUAAUCAAGCAACUUUUAAGAAUGAUACAUCAAACCCCAAAAUCUCACGAUUAGGAGUGACUAUCUCAAAAGAAGAUAUACUCCAAAUUAAUUUGUCACUCUAAAAAAAUGGUAAAUUUGAGAGAAUAAUAAAACAAUAUCACACGCUCUCACCAAUAUAAAAAUUAAUGCCCACAACUUAGAAAUAAAAUGAUAUCAAAUCCAAUGAAUUACUAGCAAAAUUUAUUUUUAUUUUUACUCAUCACCACAUCUUUUAGUCCAUAUUACCAGCUUUUACUUCAAAUUAUAGUUCCCAAAAAUCGAGAAAGACUUUAAUUAGGACGUAACGUAGGCUAGGGUUAUGGCUAACAAAAAAGAUAAUAGGGAAAAUAAAAAUAUAUGUUUGAAAAAUAGGGGACUUUUUGGAGAUUAUAAGGUGCUCUUUUUUUUUUUUUCAAAGGUUCAAAGGGGUUAACUAUGGAUUCUUUAUAAUAGGGUUGGCUAGAAAGGCUCAAACAGAUCAAAGAUAGCCUUCUGUCAUCUUUUAGGAUUCUAUAUAAUCUUUCAUAUCCACUAGUUCAAUGGACUUUUAUAUGCGGCUGCACAAACUUUUUUUUUUUAAUAUUGAGAUCUUGUACAAUAAAUUGUGAAGCUGUAUAGGCAAACAAGGUUACUCUUCAAGGAUAACAGGCUCAAAAACUCGCUUGGUCUUUUUAUAACAUGUACAUUCAUCCAAAUGGCUUAAUCAAUUUCACUCAUUCAAUUUCUCAAUUUAUAUUUCAACAUACAAAGGGAAAAACAUAGUGUAAUAUAACUCAAGGCCAAAGAUAAAACGAAUACCAAAAUUUGAAAAUCAUCAUGUUAUCCAAUGUUAAAAGAUCACACCAAAAAAGAAAAUAAUUUUUUUUUUAAGAAAGCACUAAAAAUUUGGGACUAAUUACAGAAACUUAAGGGAGAUGAUUAAGAGAAAAAGACCGAAAACAAAAAGUUAGAAACAUUUUUUUUUUGGAAGAAAACACAAAAAUUAAGAAAAUGCGUUUCUAGAGAUACUACAUUCUAUAUUCUAUCAUCUUCGACUUAAAUUUUUAUCCAAAGUUAGUCUUUACAACAAAAAUUAGUAAAAACAUCACUAGGAAUGAGACAUUCCACAAUUAUCGACUAUUCCCUCCCCCCAACCUAAAUGAGACAUUGUCCUCAAUGUCUAAAGAAAGGAGUAGAGUUUAGAAGAUAUCACCUAGACACUGUUGGAAAUAUUUACAGACGGAGAGUUAAAUCUAAUUUACACUUUUUACGAGAGUUACUGCCAUCGUUAUCAGUUGCCCAAUCCAACGCCAAAGUCAUGGGAUCUGGCUUUGGUUUGUAAGGUUGCAAAAGAUCAAGUAACUCAUUAGCAGUAUGAGCACAAAUGAAGAGUUUUUUCGCUAAUGAUGGAAUGAAAUAAUUUUUUAUUACAUGAUUAAGAAAUGUUAUUAAGCCAUCAUAAAAGUUAUUAACAUUUAACAAACCGAUUGGUUUUUUAUGGAUAUUCAAAUAGGCCCAGGAAGCAAAUGUAAUUAGCGCCUCCAAAGUUGCAAGGUCUCCUGGCAAGAAAAUAAAAACGUCAGCAUGAUUUAACAUUUCAGAUAUUCUUUCUUGCAUACCUGAGACAACUAACUCUUCUCCAAUUGGUGAGUCUGGUAGCCAUCCUAAAGGUUUUAAGGCUUUUGGAAUGAUGCCUAGCACUUGGCUUCCUCGAACGAAAGCAGCUUCAGAGACAAGCUUUGAUAACCCUCGGUCACCUCCUCCAUAUAGAAGAUGUAGUUUCCCCUCUGCUAUAGCACGACCAAGAUCUACGGCUACUGUUGUGCAAAUUUUAAUGUACUCGCAAGCGCACGAAUCUAUUGUAGUAUAGAUCAAUGGUGACGAGUGUCGAUCCCACGAGAAGGUGGAUUUUAAUUGUGUAGAAUUAAUUUUGUGAAUGGGUGAUUGGAUUUGUGGUGGAAAUGAUUUGGAAUAUGCUAAAACUUAAAUUAAAAUGGCGAGAAUAAAUUCUAUAAUUGGUAUUGAAAUGGUGAGAAUAAAUUGAAGAGAAUUCUAUUGAAAUGACGUACUUGGGUAUCUGGAUCCGUAUCAACAUGCAUCAUGGGCUAAAUAAUCCUUAUUAAUGCCAAUUAAAUCAUGAGGGGGGAAUCCACACCUCAUGAACCACACUCUAAUCAAUAUGGUGCUAAGGGCUUAUCGUGCCAAAUAAUAAUAACCUUGUACUAGAGGGCCGGUAAAACCAAGGCGGUACUAGACAAGAUUAGUAUUAUUUGUCGACGAGAAGUCAAAACAUCCACAAAAAUUAGAGGGGAAGAGAAAAUAAAUUUACCAAAUAAAGCCCAUGACACAUGUUGAGACUUCACCUUCAACCCAAGCUUGAAAGAAAAUUAGCCACUCAUAAUUGAACUAGGGGCAAAAUGAGAAUUUAUUAAAAUACGAAGAAAAUACAAGAUGGAGAAGGAAUUACAGAAAAUGGAUCCCAAAAAUGGAUUCAGAGCUAUCAAAUUAGAGGGGGGAGGCCCCCUUUUUAUAGAUACAUGGAGUAAAUCAUGGCCAUCGAAUUAAAAACAGUUUGGACGCUCAGGAUUGCGCCACGUCAUCAGUCAACAGUACGCGGUUUGACCACGCUGAUGAACAGUAACACGGUUUGACUCGGAUGAACAGCAACGCGGUUUGACUCGGAUGAACAGUAACGCGGUUUGGUUGAAAAUAAUCCAGUGUGAUGCAUGUACCGUACUCGAAAUUUUUCGUCCACUGAUAUGCUGCCACGUCACCAUCAACAGUACAUAAGAAUUUUAGCCCAACAGGAGCGUGACACCUCAUCAGUCAAUGCCACAUCAUCGGUCAAUGCCAUGUCAUCGAUCCGUCUAUGUGAACAGUGUCGUGAACAGUAAUGCAGACAGUACCGUACACGUGAAUAAUACCGUACAUAUGAAUAGUGUGAUUUUUCCUUUUAUACUCCUCCUAAGGUUUUCGACCGUCCUGAGUUCAAAAGUGAUGUCCGUUUUGCCGUCUGAUCUCUUCUUUAUUGUGAAAUGACUAUAAUGCUCCUAAAAUACAUAAAAUACUUAAUUAAAAUAAAACACAUGUAAUUAAAUCACAAGAAGGUUAAAUACAUAAAAGUAAGGGUUGGUAGUAAAACUUGAAAUGUAAAAUGACGGUUUUCUCCUUUAUAAAUAUGCAUUUUCUAAUACUCAACACACCCCCCAACCAGUUUAUUGCUAGUCCCUAGCAAAUAAAGCGAAAACAAAAUUCAAAUUCAAAAUAAUUUUUUUUUUAAUAGAAACACUCGUAUUUAUUCCAUUAGAUUAAUGAUAGCAAUCAAAUAAAAGUAUAAGCAUUAUCUUCAGUCUAAAGCAACAUCACACCCACAUCAACCAUCCACAUGAAUCAGCCCAGUAGACUUUAUUAUAGCUACUUUCAAGAAUGACAUGUCAAACCCCAAAAUCUCACUGGAAGUAGUGACACUCUCACAAAGAAAUUAAAACCAAUAAAAAUAGUCACUCCAAUGAAUGGUAAUUGAGAGAGAAAAUAAUAAAGAAGUGAUAUCACAUACUCUCACCAAGAUGAAAUAAAUAUGCCCUCAGUUUAGAAAUAAUAUGAUCUCAAGUCAAAUAAAAAUGCAGGUCAACCCAAUUUAUUUAUCUUUUUUUUCUUUUAUUUAUUUAUUUAUUUUUAUUAUGCACCACUAUAUCUUUUUAGCCCAUAUAACUAGCUUCUACUUCAAACUAUAGUUUCCUAAAAUCAAGGACUUUUAUUAGGGCGUAACGUAGGCUAGGGAUAUGGCUAACAAAGAAGGGAAAUAAGGAAAACAAAGUGUAUGUUUGAGAAAAAUGCAGAGAAUUUUUUUAUUUUUUUUGGAAGUUGCAAGGUGGAUUUCACCUAUUAUUUUUAUUUUAUUUUUUCUUUUGAAACAACAACUUUUGUUUUUUUUUUUUGCUUUUAUUUGGAAUAACUUUACUGAACAACAUAAUUAUUUACAUUUUCUCAAACAUAAAUAGGUGAUGAAACUUAUAAGACAUUGGGUAAUACUCCAAAUCGAAGUGGGUCAAGAUGAUAAGUUUGACAAAGAAAGGUUUUUUUUUUUUUUAAAGGCUCAAAAGGGUUAACUAUGGAUAUUUGAUAAAAGGGAUGGCUAGAAAGGCUCAAACGGAUCAAAGAUGGCCUUUCCAUCGUCUUUUAGGGCUCUAAAUAAUCUUCCAUAUCUACUAGUUAGAUGGGCCUCCAAAUGUAGCAACACACUUUUUUUUCUUUUUUUUCUUGUUUUUUUUUUAAUUUUACAAUUUUUUUUUAAGGGUUAACUCAAAAGAAAUCUAGAGAUCGUGUAUACAAUAAUAAACUGUUAAGCUGUAUAAAGAAUGGGCAAAAGGGUUACUCUCCAAGAAAAAUGAUAGGCUCAAAAACUCACUUGGUACUUAUUAUGACAUGUUCAUUCCUUCAAGCAACUCAUAUUUGUCUCCGACAUCAACAUGUAGAGUAGCAAGCAUAAUGUAACAUCACUUAAGACCAAAGAUAAUACAAAUACUAAAAUUUGAAAUUAAUCAUGUCAUCCAAUGUUAAAACAAAUCACACAAUUUUUUUUUUAAACAACAUUCUACCCCCCAACCUAUUCUAAACAUGAAAGGAAAAUAUGCAUGUAGAAAUGUGAAAAUGAUGCAUAAAAACUAAUUAGAAAAGUUACACGUAAAAUGAUAGAAAACGAAAAUGGUUUUUUUUUUUUUAAGAAGAUGCGUUUCUAGAGGCACUACACUCCAUAUUCAGCCAUCUUCGACUCAAAAGUUGGAAAAUAUAUAUUUAUAGAGGAGAAAUUAAAAAGAAGAAGAAAAAUGAACAUCAAAACUUAAUAAAGAAAAAGAAAUUUAUUUUUAUUUUUUUAUUUAUUUUUAUUUAUUGUUUUUUUAAUUAAUUUUUUUUAAAACGAUGAAGAUGCGUUUUUAGAGUCACUACUCUCCAUAUUCAGCUAUCUUCAACACAAAAAAGUUAGCAAUAGUUAGUUUCUACAACAAAAAAUUAGUAAAAACUUAACCAAAAUUCCACAAUUGUCGACUAUUCCCUCCCCUCAACCAGAACGAAACAUUGUCCUCAAUGUUUGAAAGGAAAGAAGUAGAGUUUAGAAGACAUUACCUGGGUGGUGUAACACAGAAGAAAAUAUUUACAAGCGGAGAGUUAAAUCUAAUUUGUACUUCUUACUGCGGCUACUGUUACCAUCAUUAUUUGGAUGCUCCAACACAAAGGUCCAGGGGUCUGGCUCUGGUCUAUAAGCUUGUAACAGAUCAAGUAGCUCAUUAGCAGUGUGAGCACAAAUAAAGAGUUUUUUCGCAUUAGAGGGAAUGAAAUAGUUUUUUAUUGCAUGGUUAAGAAAUGCGAUAAAGCCAUCAUAAAAGUUAUUGACAUUUAACAAACCGAUGGGUUUCUGGUGGAUGUGCAGAUGGGCCCAAGAUGCUAGUGUGAUAAGUGCCUCUAGUGUUGCAAGAUCUCCUGGAAGGAAAAUAAAAGCAUCAGCAUGAUUAAGCAUUUCAGUUAUUCUUUCUUGCAUACCUGAGACGACUAACUCUUCUCCAGUUAAUGAGUCAGAUGAACUGCCCAAUGGUUUUAGGACUCUUGGAAUGAUGCCUAACACCUGACUUCCUCUGACAAAAGGUGCUUCAGAGACCAUUUUUUAUAACCCUCGGUUACCUCCUCCAUACACCAAGUGUAAUUUUCUCUCUGCUAUACUUCGACCAAGAUCGAUGGCUGCCUCAACGAACUCUUUAUGUUUGCCAUAGGUAAAUCCAGAAAGCACACAAAUGUUCUUGAAUUGUCUAUUUGGAGUAGCUGCCAUUGUGAUACUUCUCAAAAAACAAUUUGUGAGUGCUUGACAAAAAAAAAUCACAUUUAAGAGUCUUGGUGACAGUGGGUCACAGUUGUGUAUGAGGUAACAUGUCAGUGUCAAAUAACGCGUAAAGCACGUGGCUCGCGAGUCAAAAAGGAAACAGUAAAAAGAAAAAAGCAAACAGUAAUAAGGAAAAAGCAAACAGUAAUAAAAUUAUUAAAAACAAUAAUACACACAAUAAAACAAUAGUGAAAUAAAAUAACAGUAAAGUGAAAGGAUAUUUACAGGUAGUUGCGACUGUGGCUCAUAUCUUCCUCUGGUUUUACGUCCAGAAACGGCUUGAACGCCCUCUAUGGGUUGAGGAUAGGCUUUCUAUCCAGUUUUCUUAUAAACUGGCAAACAGGGUCGUUUAUAUUCAGAUUCCCGAGACUAUAUCGUGCAUGCUCUUUCUGGAAUAAUGGUCAUAACUGGAGAAUCGCUCCUUGCACAUAUCCACUGGGAUGCGUUUCAAGAGACGGAAGGAUAUCAUCCAAUGACUCCUUAUUCAAGCCAUCCCUAAUGAAUUGAAUCUUAUCUUCCCUAUUAUCAGACACCAUUCCUAAAGAACAUGGGUUUUUAUUGCAACUCAUUCUGGCACACUUAUGACAAGCAACAGAAAUUCGUCGAGCUCGUCGUUUUCUUGCAUAAUUUCCUUUACCACAACCAGGCAUGUAUGCAAUAAAUUUUGGAGGUAACUUACCUGUCGAUCGUACUUUAGCCUCGAUUAACCAAUGGAUGUCAGCAGGUAUGUUAUUUCUCAUGAGCAAUCGCAUGCGUUCGGACCGAGCUUUAUAGAUCGUAAGAAGCGCAUUCUGAGGAAGUGAAGGAAAUCGCUUGUGAAGCUUCGCUAGAGUCUCGUUUCUGUCCAUAUCUUCGCUUCAGAAUAUCAGUUAUUAUGGGAAACUAAAGUAACCGACUUGAUUGUCACAGAGUACCGUUAUCCGCCACUUCAUCGGGGUAACAAACUCAAGCACACAAACAGAAAAACAAAUUAAAACAAACAAAGAAAAUUAAAAUCGUCCCCUUAUUGAAUUUACCUCAAGCUCCAACUGGAUGUCGUAAACACUUCUCUCAAUGUCUCGGAGUUGGCGUUCUAAACCCUUAACAUAGGCUACUAACUCUAGUGAUUGUAGAGCCCAAAUGCGAUGUGUUUUACAAAAUUGAAUCUGCCUUUUGAGAUGAGUUUUAACACGUUGAAGUGGUUUAAGAAUGUUCAGAAGGAACGGUCUAAGUAAUGUACUCAUGAUUAAAAAUGAUAAAAGAAAACUUAAUAGUUAAACAAACAUAUUUAUGCAAAAAUAAUUUCAAUUAGCAGAAGAAUAAUAUAAAGAAAGAAAAAAAAUCAAAUCAACGAAAAGAAAAAAAAAUCAAUUCAAAUCUGGUGGGUCACUCAAAUUUAUUUCGGUGUCUUCUCCAUGUGGUUGGUACUCUAGAUAUGACUUUAAUCUUUGACCAUUAACUUUAAACGUGACACCGUUCUUUGGGUCCUUAAUUUCAAUUGCCCCAUGUGGAAAAACAGUAUGAACAAUAAAGGGACCAGACCAUCGAGAGCGUAACUUACCUGGGAAUAAGUGCAAGCGAGAAUUGAAUAAAAGCACUUUCUGACCUGGAGUGAACGAUUUUCUCAUAAUUUGUUUAUCAUGGAAGACUUUCAUUCGUUGCUUAUAAAUCGUGGCAUUUUUGUAUGCAUCAUUGCGAAUUUCUUCAAGUUCUGCCAGUUGUAAUCUUCUUUCUGAGCUGGCUUGCUGCAUGUCAAAGUUGAAUUUCUUGAUGGCCCAAUACGCACGAUGCUCGAGUUCCACAGGUAGGUGGCAAGCUUUUCCAUACACUAGCCUGUAGGGUGACAUCCCAAUCGGGGUCUUGAAAGCCGUUCUAUAUGCCCAUAAGGCAUCAUCAAGUCUUAAUGACCAAUCUUUUCUGUCCGGCCUCACAGUCUUUUCUAAUAUGUGCUUUAUUUCUCGAUUGGAGAUCUCAACUUGGCCACUGGUUUGUGGAUGAUACGGGGUCGCCACUUUGUGUGUGAUUGAAUACUUUGUCAAAAGAGCUUUGAAUGCUUUGUUACAAAAGUGGGCACCACCAUCACGGAUUAUUGCUCGAGGGAAUCCAAAGCGUGAGACAAUAUUGCUUUUCAAAAAUCCUAUCACCAUUUUGUGAUCAUUGGUUCUGCAUGGAAUUGCUUCUACCCAUUUCAAUACAUAGUCAACAGCAACCAAUAUGUAUUGAUGGCCAAGAGAAGGGGGAAAGGGUCCCAUGAAGUCGAUACCACAUACAUCAAAAAUCUCAACCACUAAAAUUGGAUUUAGUGGCAUUAUGUUCCUUCGUGUAAUGCUCCCCAUUCGUUGACACCUAUCACAUGAAAAACAGAAAGUGUAAGCGUCUCGAAAUAUAGUUGGCCAAUAGAAACCACAUUGCAAAACUUUAGUAGCUGUUUUCUUAGCACUGAAAUGGCCUCCACAAGCUUGUUCAUGGCAGAAUGAAAGGAUAUUCUGAAUUUCACUUUUUGGGAAACAUCGUCUAACAAUUUGGUCUGCACAAUACUUGAACAAAUAAGGGUCAUCCCAAAAGAAAUUCUUUAUUUCUGCAAAGAAUUUAACCUUGUCUUGCUUGGUCCAAUGCUCAGGAAGUUUACCUGUAACAAGAUAAUUAACUAUAUCAGCAUACCAAGGUAAUACUUCCACAUUCAUUAAUUGUUCAUCUGGAAAUGACUCAUUCAAUGGUAAUGAUUCUGUAAUUGUGUCAAAAUGGAGACGAGAGAGGUGGUCUGCCACAACAUUUUCUGUCCCUUUCUUAUCUUUGAACUCCAAGUCAAAUUCCUGCAAAAGUAACACCCAACGAAUUAGUCUAGCUUUUGCAUCUUUCUUUGUAAGAAGAUAUUUAAGAGCAGCAUGAUCUGUGAACACGAUUAUUUUACAACCAAUGAGAUAAGAUCGAAAUUUCUCCAAUGCAAACACUACUGCUAGCAUUUCUUUUUCAGUAGUUGAAUAGUUCAACUGUGCAUCAUUCAAUGUCAUACUAGCAUAGUAAAUAACGUGGGGAAUUCGAUCAACUCUUUGUCCUAAUACUGCUCCUACUGCAUAAUCAGAUGCAUCACACAUGAGCUCAAAUGGUAAGCUCCAGUUUGGGGGCUGAAUGAUGGGUGAUGAUGUCAACAAUUGCUUUAGUUUUUCAAAUGCCACAAGACAUGAAUCAUCAAAGAUAAAAGGUACAUCCUUAGCAAGUAAAUUGCAUAAGGGUUUAGAAACUUUGCUAAAAUCUUUAAUAAAACGUCUAUAGAAACCAGCAUGCCCAAGGAAAGAUCUUACUUCUCUGACUGUUUUGGGUGGAGGAAGAUUAGAAAUGAGAUCCACCUUGGCUUUGUCAACCUCAAUACCUUUGCUCGAAAUGAUGUGACCGAGAACAAUACCUUGUUUUACCAUAAAAUGGCACUUCUCCCAAUUUAAGACUAAGUUCUUCUCGAUACAUCUCCGCAGAACUAAUGUUAGAUGAUGUAAACAUUGAUCAAAUGAAUAACCAAAGACAGAAAAGUCAUCCAUAAAGACUUCAAGGAAUCAUUCAACCAUAUCAGAAAAAAUGCUCAACAUGCAUCGUUGAAAUGUAGCAGGUGCAUUGCAUAAUCCAAAUGGCAUUCUCCUAUAUGCAAAUGUGCCAAAAGGGCAAGUGAAAGUAGUUUUCUCUUGAUCUUUUGGUGCUAUGGGAAUUUGAUUAUAUCCUGAGUAGCCAUCUAGAAAGCAAUAAAAUUCAUGGCCUGCUAAUCUAUCAAGCAUUUGAUCGAUAAAUGGUAAAGAAAAAUGGUCUUUACGUGUGACAGAAUUCAACUUUCUAUAAUCAAUGCAAACACGCCAUCCUGUAGUUACUCUAGUGGGUAUCAAUUCAUUAUCAGCAUUGGUAACUACUGUGACUCCUGACUUUUUGGGGACAACUUGUACAAGACUGACCCAUGAACUAUCAGAAAUUGGGUAAAUGAUACCUGCAUCUAAUAGCUUAAGGACUUCUGUUCUGACAACUUCUUUCAUAUUAGGAUUUAACCGACGUUGCAUUUCCCUAGUAGAUUUAGCAUUUUCAUCAAGGUGAAUGUAAUGCAUGCAGUCUACUGGAUUUAUACCUUUUAUGUCUGCUAUAGUCCAUCCUAAUGCUCCUCUGUGCUCUUUUAAAACAUCCAACAACUUACCUUUUUGUUCAUCAUUUAGGGAUGAUGAGAUGAUUACCGGUAGAGUACUUUCUUCUCCCAAAAAUGCAUAUUCCAGAGUGUUGGGUAAUGGUUUGAGCUUGAGUUUUGGUGGUGAUUCUGAUGAUGGGAUGAGUUUCUUCUCUGAUGGUGCUAGUUGCUCAACUCUUGACUUCCAUUUAUUAGUGUCCAUAAAUGGUGCUGAGUCAAGUAGGGCGUUGACCUCAUCGACCGAUCUGUCAAUAUCAAAAUCCAAACCAAAGUGAGUUAAACAUGUUUGUAAAGGAUCAUCACUAAGGUUUGAAACAAAAGUAUCAUCAACUAAUGCUUCAAUUAAAUCCACAUCAACAAUUCCAUCAUCUGCACUGUGAGGUUGUUUGGCAAUGUUGAAGAUGUUCAGCUCCAUAGUCAUGUUGCCGAAGGACAACUGUAUAUUUUCGGUCCUGCAUUGAAUGUGAGCAUCCGCAAUUGCCAAGAAAGGUCGGCCUAGAAUAAUGGGGAUGUGCUUCCUCGAGUCCUGUAUUGGUUGAGUGUCAAUUACAAUGAAAUCAACAAGAAAAUAAAACUUGUCUACCUGGAUAAGCACGUCCUCGACAAUACCACGAGGUAUUUUUGUGGACCGAUCUGCAAGUUGUAACACCACUGGAGUUGGGUGUAAUUCUCCAAGUCCAAGUUUCACAAACACUGAAUAAGGUACCAGAUUUACACUAGCUCAUAAAUCCAACAAAGCAUUCUCAAUUGUGUGGUUCCCUAUGCUACAUGAGAUAGUGGAGGAGCCUGGGUCUUUGCAUUUUAAAGGAAUUUUGUGUUGGAGUAUAGAACUAAUGUUUUUUGUUAAAAAUGCCUUCUUUUGAACAUGCAUAUUUCUCUUUUUAGUACAAAGGUCUUUAAGAAACUUGGCAUAAGAUGGAACUUGCUUAAUAGCAUCAAGCAAAGGGAUAUUAACACUUACCUGUUUGAAGAUUUCAAGAAUCUCACCUAUGGAUUUUUCCUUUUUUCCUUUAGCUAACCUCUGAGGAAAUGGAGCUUUCGGAACAUAUUCUUGUGGGUUGGUUUCUUCUUUCUCCUCCGGUGAUGAGUCCUCAACACUCACAGCUACAAUUUGAUUUUCUUUUGUCACCGGCAUCUCCACUUUGUUGUCGACUUCUUUUCCUUUUCGCAAGGUCAUGACUGCUUUGACCUCUCCAUGCUGCUGUGGUGAACUGGUACUUGCUUCACGUACUCCUUUAGGGUUAGGCACUGAUUGACUUGGAAAUUUGCCUUUCUCAACAGUAAUUGCCAAGGUCUGAACUGAAGAAGCAAGUUGUCCCACCAUCUUCUCGGGGCUUGAAACUGAUUGAGCUUGUGUGUUGAAGCCUGCUCUUAGCUUUUUUCGUAGUCCAUCAAUGGUGCGGUUCUGUUGCUCAAUCGUAGAGUGAGUAAGAUUCUUGAGAUUUUGGAAUGAAUCCUCCCAUGGUCUAGGUUGAGAGUAGUUCUGGUUCUGAUUGAUGGUCUAAAUGGGGGCUGAGAGGCUUGAGGAUUUUGAGAAAUUUGUUGCAUUGGUGGAGUUAGAGCCGCUGGUCCAUUCUGUUGGAAUCCUUGAGACCAUGAAAAAUUGGGGUGGUCUCUCCAUCCAGGGUUAUAUGUGUUGGAGUAUGGGUUGUAAUUUGAUGGUUUUCUCAUUACACCUAUGGCAUUGGCUUGAUCUGAGUAUGAGUCAUGGUCAUGUGGCUCUGUUGAUUUAGCAGUCGAUAACGAUGCUAUUUGUCGAGCAAGACCUUCAACCAUCUCCUUGACUUCUUUGAUUCCCGAAGUUGACUCGCCAAUUUGAACCUCAUUUACUACCUUAAUUCUUCUAGUAUUCCUAAUUGAUCGACUCCGUUGUUGGGAAUUAUCUGCUUGUCGCUGAAAGAAUUCCCAAAUCUUUGAUGCACUUUUUGACAUUAGCUCUCCUCCACUUGUUGCCAUUAGCCAUUCUUGCACAUUCGGCAAUAAUCCCUCUAAAAAGUAUUGGCAUUGGUGCCAUUUCUUGUACCCAUGAUGUGGACACUUCAAGAGUAGCCCAUUGAAUCGCUCCCAUGUUUCGAAAAACUGCUCGUCCUCUCUCUGGGUAAACUUCGAGAUUUCCCUGUGAAUAGCAUUAGUUUUAUGCACUGGGAAAUAUUUAUUCAAAAAUUUUGUAACCAUUUGUUCCCAUGAUGUGAUGCUAUUAGCAGGUAAAGUAUUUAACCAUGAACGAGCUCUAUCCUUUAAAGAAAAUGGGAAUAAUCUGAGUUUAACAUCAUCGUCUGAAAAAUUUUCGUAUUUAAAAGUUUGACAAAUGGCAUGAAAAUCAUUCAGAUGAUUAUAUGGGUCCUCAUUUUCUAAGCCAUAGAAUGUGGGGAGACAAUUUAACACACUAGGUUUUAGUUCAAAACUCCUAGCAGCUACAUUUGGGUAUCUUAUGCAUGAUGUGCUCAAAUUAGCUAAGGGACUAAAAUAGUCAUUAAAUGGCCUCUCCUGUGGUGCUUGUAAAUCCAUUCCAAAUUUAUUUUUAAUGUGCUUUUGUGUGCGAAGUGUUUUUUCUAAUUCAAGGUCUAUAGGUUCAAGAUUAGGAAAUAAUGACUUACGACCAUGCAUGCAAAACAAAUAAAAUAAAAAUAAAGAUGGGAACAAAACAAAUAAAAAUAAAGAAGAGAGAGAAAUUAUGAUACCAACCUUAUUGCGCUAUUACAACCUUUCUAUAAAAAUACACAAAAAUAAAUACGUGAAAUAAAUUAACUAAAAAUUAAAUUAAUAAAAUAAAAAAAAAUUACAAAGAAAAAUAAAUUGAAAAUUAAAUUACAGAAUUUUAAAGAAGAGAAAAAGGAAAGAAAUACUAACCUUUAAAUGUAGAUUCACUUUUUUUUUUCUUUUUUUUUAAUAAUAAAAAAAAUACAAGAAAACAAAUAAAAGAAAUUAUUCACAAAAAUUAAUUCUAAAAAUUACUUACCUCCCCGGCAACAGCGCCAAAAACUUAUUGUGCAAAUUUUAAUGUACUCGCAAGCGCACGAAUCUAUUGUAGUAUAGAUCAAUGGUGACGAGUGUCGAUCCCACGAGGAGGUGGAUUUUAAUUGUGUAGAAUUAAUUUUGUGAAUGGGUGAUUGGAUUUGUGGUGGAAAUGAUUUGGAAUAUGCUAAAACUUAAAUUAAAAUGGCGAGAAUAAAUUCUAAAAUUGGUAUUGAAAUGGUGAGAAUAAAUUGAAGAGAAUUCUAUUGAAAUGACGUACUUAGGUAUCUGGAUCCGUAUCAACAUGCAUCAUGGGCUAAAUAAUCCUUAUUAAUGCCAAUUAAAUCAUGAGGGGGGAAUCCACACCUCAUGAACCACACUCUAAUCAAUAUGGUGCUAAGAGCUUAUCGUGCCAAAUAAUAAUAACUUUGUACUAGAGGACCGGUGAAACCAAGGCGGUACUAGACAAGAUUAGUAUUAUUUGUCGACAAGAAGUCAAAACAUCCACAAAAAUUAGAGGGGAAGAGAAAAUAAAUUUACCAAAUAAAGCCCAUAACACAUGUUGAGACUUCACUUUCAACCCAAGCUUAAAAGAAAAUUAGCCACUCAUAAUUAAACUAGGGGCAAAAUGGGAAUUUAUUAAAAUAUGAAUAAAAUACAAGAUGGAGAAGGAAUUACAGAAAAUGGAUUCAGAGCUAUCAAAUUAGGGGGGAGUCCCCCGUUUUGUAGAUACAUGGAGUAAAUCAUGGCCAUCGGAUUAAAAACAGUUUGGACGCUCAUGAUUACGCCACGUCGUCAGUCAACAGUACGCGGUUUGACCACGCGGAUGAACAGUAACACGGUUUGACUCGGAUGAACGCUAAUGCGGUUUGGUUGAAAAUAAUCCAGUGUGAUGCAUGUACCGUACGCGAGAUUUUUCGUCCACUGAUAUGCUGCCACGUCACCAUCAACAGUACAUAAGAAUUUUAGCCCAACAGGAUCGUGACACCUCAUUAGUCAAUGCCACAUCAUUGGUCAAUGCCACAUCAUCGAUCCGUCUAUGUGAACAGUGUCGUGAACAGUAAUUCAGACAGUACCGUACACGUGAAUAGUACCGUACAUAUGAAUAGUGUCAUUUUUCCUUUUAUACUCCUCCUAAGGUUUUCGACCGUCCUGAGUUCAAAAGUGAUGUCCGUUUUACCGUCUGAUCUCUCUUUUAUUGUGAAAUGACUAUAAUGCCCCUAAAAUACAUAAAAUACUUAAUUAAAAUAAAACACAUGUAAUUAAAUCACAAGAAGGUUAAAUACAUAAAAGUAAGGGUUGGUAGUAAAACUUGAAAUGUAAAAUGACGGUUUUCUCCUUUAUAAAUAUGCAUUUUCUAACACUCAACAGCUACUUAAACGAACUCCUUAUACUUUUCAUAGUGAAAUCCAGAAAGCACACAAACGUUUUUAAGUUGACUGCUUGAAGUUGCUGCCAUUACAAAAAUUCUAAAAAGAAACAAUUUGUGAGUGCUUGAAAAGGAGUUCCUAUUUAAGGAUCUUGGUGACGGACAUAAUGAUGUACAUCUGUAAAUGGGGUGGUGUGUUUGUCAAAUGACGUGUGAAGCUUUUAAUUAAUAAUUCAAAUGCAAACAAUGAAAAGAAAAAGCAAACGGUGAUUAGAUAAAAUAAAAAAAACAAUAAUAAUAAUAAUGCAAAAGAUAAAAGAACGGUAAAAUAAAAGGAUAUUUACUGGUAGUUGUGAUUGUUGCUCACAUCUUCCUCUGGUUUUACAUCCAGUAACGGCUUGAACGCCCUCUAUGGGUCGAGGAUAGGGUUCUCAUCUAGUUUUCUUAUAAACUAGUAAACAAGGUCUUUUAGAGUCAGAUUCUCAAGCCUAAACUGUGCACUUUCCUUUUGGAACAACUUCCACAAAUUUUGAAUUUCACGUUGAACAUAUCCGCUCGGAUGCGUCUCAAGAGAUCGUAAGAUAUCAUCCAAUGAUUCUUUACUCAUGCUAUCCUUAGCGAAUUUGAUUUUAUCUUCACGAUUUACAGAAACCAUUCCUAAAGCUUUACAACGUGGAUUUUUGCAAGCAAGUCUUACACAAUGAGAACAUUCAGAGCCAAGUCGCUUAGCUCUUCUUUUCUUAGCAAAUGUACUUUUACCAAAACCAGGCAUGUAGGAAAUGAAUGGAUCAGAAAACUCACCUGUCAAUCAGACCUUUGCUUCGAUUAACCAGCGAAUGUCAGUAGAAAUCCCAUUGAUCAUUAACAAACGCAGUCGUUCACAAUGAGCUUUGUAACUCUUCUUAAGAGCAUUUUGAGGGAGAGAAUGAAAAUGUUGAUGCAAAUUUUGUUGUAUUUCUUCCAUGCUUGACAUUGAGGUUUCAGUUAUUGUGGGAAACUGAGAAUACCGACUUAAAAAGUCACGGAGUACCGUUAUCCACCAUUUAUACGAGAGAGUGAAUCAAAACAAAACAAAUCAAAUCUGCAAAAUCAAAUCAAAAGUGAAAAAUAACAAUAAAAUAAAACAAAAACACACAAGGAAUAUAACACACCUUCGUCCUUUUAUUGAAUCUAGUUCCAAUUGCAGAUUAUAAAUACCAUCAUCUAUUUCCUUGAGUUGUCUUUCUAGAUCUUUCACGUGAGAUACUAACUUUGGUGGUUGCAGAUCCCAAAUGGGAUGUAAUUUACAAAAUCGGAGCAAUUUCCUCAAGUGAAAUUUUACAUGAAAAAGUUUUUUAAAAUGAUCAAAAAGGAAAUUUCUCAUGGAGGUACUCAUGACAAGUAUAAAAAUUUGGUGAGCUAAAUCACAAUUGAUAAAAAUUUGGUGAGCUAAAUCACAAUUGUCAAACAACACACAAUUAAAACAAUGUAAUGCACUCCAUUCAAGACAUAGGGAAAAGGAAAAAGAAAAAGAAAUCAAAUAAUUCAAACGAUAAAGUAACAGUAAAUCAAAUUCACAAAACGUUGAAAUGAAAAGGCUUAAUCAAAAUUUUGGUGGGUCACUCAAAUGGAAUUUGGUAUUUGCUUCAUGUGGUUGGUAUUCCAUAUAUGGUUUCAAUUUUUGGCCAUUAACUUUAAAUGUGACACCAUCCUUUGGAUUCUCAAUUUCUACGGCUCCAUAUGGAUACACAGUUUUUACAACAAAUGGACCAUUCAACUUUGACUUUAAAUUCCCUGGAAAUAAAUGAAAACGAGAAUUAUAAACCAACACUUUUUCACCAAUUUCAAAUGUUUUCCGAAAAAUUCUUUUGUCAUGAAAAAAUGUGGUUCUUGCCUUAAUAAUUUUGGAAUUACCAUAUGCAUCAUUUGUUAAUUCCUCAAGUUCAUUUAUUUGCAAUUUACGCACAUUGCCAGCAUCAUCAAGAUUUGAAUUAAAAGCUUUAAUGGCCCAAAAUGAUUUAUGUUCAAGUUCUACUGGUAAGUGGCAAGAUUUUCCAUAAACAAGUCGAUAGGGUGACAUUCCUAAAGAUGUUUUAAAAGCAGUACGAUAUGCCCAAAGUGCAUCAAUUAGUCGAAGAGACCAAUCUAUACGGUUUGGAUUAACUAUUUUUUCUAAAAUUUGUUUUAUCUCCCUAUUUGCUAAUUCAACUUGACCACUUGUUUGAGGGUGAUAAAGGGUAGCAACCUUAUGUGUAAUUCCAUAUUUCUUCAUUAAAGACUCAAAUGGCUUAUUACAAAAAUGCUUACCUCCAUCACUGAUAAUGACUCGAGGUUUUCCAAAUCUGCUCAAAAUAUUUUCUUUUAAAAAGCGGAUCACAAUCUUGUGAUCAUUGUGCUGACAAGGAAUUGUCUCGAUCUAUUUUGAAACAUAAUAAACAACAACCAAAAUGUAUACAAAUCCAAAUGAUGAUGGAAAAAGACCCAUAAAAUCAAUUCCCCAACAAUCAAAUAUUUCAAUGACAAGGAUGGGGUUUAAAGGCCUCAUGUUCCGCUUUGAAAUAGACCCUAUCAUUUGACAACUCUUACACAUUUUACAGAAUGCAUGUGAAUCUUUAAAUAAUGUAGGCCAAUAAAAUCCACACUGUAAUAUUUUGCAGCUGUCUUUUUUGAAGAAAAAUGGCCACCGCAUGCUUCAGAAUGACAAAAUUGAAUGACCCUACUUACCUCGUCGUUUGGUAUGCAUCUUCAAAAAAUUUGAUCGGAGCAGUACUUGAACAGGUAUGGCUCAUCCCAGUAAAAGCUUUUUACUUCUGUUAAGAAUUUUUUCUUGUCUUGGGAACUCCAGUCACAUGGCAUUUCACCUAUUGCAAGAUAAUUAACAAUAUUAGCAUACCAAGGCAUUUUGUUUAUAGAAAACAAAAAUUCAUCAGGGAAAGAAUCAUUGAUGAGUGUUGUUUCAAUUGAAGACUCAUUUGUAAGUCUUGAAAGAUGAUCUGCAACAACAUUUUCAGCGCCCUUUUUGUCCUUGAUUGUCAAAUUAAAUUCUUAAAGUAGCAAAAUCCAUCGUAUCAACCUUGGUUUGGCAUCCUGUUUUGACAUUAAAUAUCUCACAGUAGCAUGAUCAAAAUAAACAACAAUAGAUGAACUAAUUAAAUACGAAAUUUAUCCAAUGCAAAUAUUAUAGCAAGUAGUUCUUUCUCAGUUGUAGUGUAAUUCAUUUGAGCAGUAUUCAAAGUUCUACUUGCAUAAUAGAUGACAAAGGGCUUACCUUCCUUUUUUUGACCCAGAACAGCGCCAACGGUAUAAUCACUAGCAUCACACAUUAGCUCAAAAGGUAAAGACCAAUCAGGGGGUUGCAUUAUUGGGGCUGAUGUCAAAAGACUAAUUAUCUUUUCAAAAGCUUGUUGACAAUCUUUAGUCCAUUCAAAUUGUGUGUCUUUUAUUAGGAGGUUACAAAUUGGUCUAGAUAAGGCACUAAAAUCUUUUAUAAACCUCCUAUAAAAUCCUGCAUGUCCUAAAAAAGAACGGACUUCUCUAAUUGUCUUUAGUGAGGGUAAUUUUGAAAUGACUUCAACUUUGGCUUUAUCAACUUCGAUUCCUUUUGAAAACACAAUAUGGCCCAAGAUAAUUCCAGAAGUGGUCAUGAAAUGACAUUUUUCCCAAUUUAAAACGAGUCCUUUUUCUUUGCACUUUUCCAAAACGUUUUCUAGAUUAUCAAGACAUGUAUCAAAAGAAUUACCAAAUACAGUUAAAUCAUCCAUAAAAACCUCUAGACAAUUUUCAACCAUUUCACUAAAAAUGCUUAGCAUGCACCUUUGAAAUGUUGCAGGAGCAUUACAAAGUCCAAAGGGCAUUCUCCUAAAUGCAAAUGUUCCAAAUGGGCAUGUGAAUGUGGUCUUUUCCUGGUCUUCUAAGGCUAUAGGGAUUUGAUAAUAGCCAGAGUAGCCAUCAAGAAAGUAGUAGUAAGGAUGUCCAGUUACUCUUUCGAGAAUUUGGUCUAGAAAUAGAAGGGGAAAAUGAACUUUUCUAGUGGCAUAAUUUAAUUUUCUAUAAUCAAUGCACAUGCGCCAACUAGAUAGAAUUCGUGUUAGGAUUGAUUCACCUUUUCAUUUUUUACAAUAGUUAUUCCAGAUUUUUUGGUACUGCUUGUGUUGGACUUACCCAUUUACUAUUAGAGAUAUGGUAGAUAAUUCCUACAUCUAGUAGUUUAAGGAUCUCAUUUUUUACCACUUCUUUCAUAUGAGGGUUUAGUCUUUUAGCAUUUUCCUCUAAGUGUAUUCGGUGUGUGCAAAUUAAAGGAUUAAUGCCUUUCAUGUCUUUUAAGGUCCAAUCAAAUGCAAAUUUUAUGCCUUUUUAGUACAGAUAACAACUUACCCUCUUGAUCAUGUGUGAGUUGAGAAGAAAUUACCACCAGAUAGAAGAAAUUACCACCGGAUAUGUCUGCUGCUCUCCAAGAUAGGCAUACUUCAAUUCUUCUGGUAAGGGCUUUAAUUCGAGCUCUGGUGCUUCCUCUUCGUUUGCUUCUUCAAGUUGUACCGUAUCUUCAAAGUUUGAUUGGUCAUCGUCACUUAUAGGUACCUGCAUAGAAUCAAGUGUAGGACAUAUGUUAGCAGUAUCAAAUGAUUGGCUCAUCCUGAAUGUGUUCCUCAAUGAUUGGCUCGAUGAGAUCAAUAUCAUCAUUCUCAUUAUCAUCAUCUUCUUGGUGGUGAGGUUGUUUACACAUGUUGAACACAUUGAGUUCCAGUGUCAUGUUGCCAAAAGAUAAAUUCAUUAAUCCAUUCAUGCAAUUUAUCAAAGCAUUAGCAGUAGCUAAAAAUGGUCGACCCAAUAUAACAGGAAUUUAUUUGCAUUUAUUAGCAAUCGGUUCCGUUUCCAAAACAAUAAAAUCCACAGGAUACAUGAAUUUAUCGACCUGGACUAAUACAUCUUCAAUUAUUCCUUUUGAAACCUUAAUCGAUCUAUCAGCAAGUAAAAGAGUGGUAGAAGUUGGUUUUAACUCACCGAGAUUGAGUUGUUGGUACACUGAGUAAGGAAGUAAAUUAACACUAGCACCAAGAUAAAGUAAAUCAUGUCUAAUUUUAUGAUCCCCAAUAGUGCAAGAAAUAGUUGGACAACCAGGAUCCUUGUAUUUCAAAGCACUAUUGGUUGAGAGAAUAGAACUUACCUGUUAUGCUAGAAAAGCUCUCUUUUGCACCUUAUGUUUCCUUUUCACCGUACACAGAUUUUUCAAAAAUUUAGCAUAGGACGGCACCUGUUUAAUGACAUCCAGCAGAGGAAUGUUGACCUUUACUUGUUUAAAAACUUCAUAAAUUUCUGGACUGUGGUUUGAUUUCUUUGGCUUGAUUAGUGCUUGAGGAAAUUGGGGUACAAGAGGAGAGUUGGUUAUUUCUUCAUAGGUUAAAGGUUCGACAAACUCUUCUUUAUUUUUUGAAAUUGAAUCUUUACUAGUUUCACGAGGGUCCACAAUGUGUUUUUCAACUACUUUACCACCACAAAGGGUUAUAACCGAUUUGACUUGACUCAUAUUUUGGUUUCCUGAAUUUCCCAUUUUAGGAUGUUGUUGACUCUUGGGGUUUGGUUCAGGUUGAGCAAGAAACUUUCCUUUUUCAUGUAUGGUUAGAGCAGAUAUAAGUUUGGAGAUAGUUUCUAUAGGUUUGCAUCUUUUGGUUAUUGAUUGACUCUUGUUUUUCAAUAAACGAAUGCAAUAUUUCUUUUAGAGUUUUUCUUGGUGGUGGGACAUACGGUGGGUAACUCUGGGAGUUUUGGAAAUUUUGACGUGGAGGGACUAGUUGUGAAGGUUGUGCAGAAUUGUCAUUUCUCCAACUGAAAUUUGGGUGGUUUCUCCAACCAGAGUUGUAAGUUUGGGAGUAUGAAUUUGGAUUUGGCCUUUUGAAAUUGUCAACAACAUUUACUUGUUCAUGCAGACUUUCUCUCAGAGCUGGUAAAGUUGGACAGUCCUGUGUAGAAUGGUCAGUAGAAUCGCAAACAUAACAUGAAAUAUUUUGAACAGACUUUACAUGAUCAUUCUUUUUCGACUCUAAUGCUUCGACUUUUCUAGCUAAUGAUGCAAAUUUGGCUUGAAAAUCAUGGUCUUCCCUAAGGUUAUGCAUGCCUCCACCAGAUGGAGAUGACUUGGGUUUACUUGAUGACUUAUAAAAACCAACUGUAUCCCAGUGUUGUGCAUUUUCUGCUAUAUAGUCAAGAUAGUCUAAUGCAUCUUCAGGACUUUUAUCCCUAAACUCACCAUUACACAUCAUUUUAACGACUUGUCUACCUUGGGAUGUUAAUCCCUCAUAGAAAUAAGACACUAAUCUCCAUGUUUCAAACCGUGAUGUGGACAAAUGUUAAGCAGUUCUUUAAACCUAUCCCAACAUUGGUAGAGAGUUUCUCCUGGUUUUUGAGUGAAAAUGGUAAUUUUAAAAUAUAAGUGUGCAACCCAAGAGGGCAGGUGAAUUGGAAUUUUAAAAAUUAUCCUAGCAAAUCCACACAACAAGCAAUCUAAUGUCUUAAUAAAAAUUGAAAGCAAUAAGUUCAAUAAAAGCACAAGAACAAAUGAGUAAGAGAGAAGAGAAACAAACAUACGAAAUUUUACGUGGUUCGGCAAUCCCCGCCUACGUCCACGCCUCCAAGCGAUCCAGGCUUGAGAAUUUCACUAUCCGAGCCUUUCCAAGGCUUCAACCGUUUACAAUUGACUUCAAGGUGUCAAUGAGCCUUUACAACAAAGAGAUUAUCUCCCAAUCUCUUCACUCAAGUGUCUCACACACUCAAACUUUUACAAUUAAGAUGAAGAAAUGAAAGUUACAAUAAAACUCACUCAAAGAGUAGAUAUUCAAAAAUGAAGAAUAAGAAAUGAUUCAAUGUUUUGUGAUUUGCAAAUUGAAAGCUCAAGAUAUCUCGUGUGCUUUUUGUUUAUGCUUGGUGGAGAGCUUGAAAAUGAGUUGGAUUUGAGUUUAUAUAGUUUAAGCUAAAAAACUAGUCGUUAUGCACAUAUUUUGGUCGUAACUGGCUUGCCAUUUAGGAAUCCAGUAAGCCGCUUUUAUGUUACCGUUAAGGCAAAAAUUUGAAUUUCAGAAUAUCCGGCUUGCCGCUUUUCAUAUCCGGUAAGCCGCUUUUGAAAUCCGAAUUGCCGCUUGCGAAAUCUGGUAAGCCGUUUAUGCUCCAGAAGCUUACUGCCCAAAAUCUGGUUCGCUGUUUAACAUAUCCGGUAAGCCGCUUGCUACAGUGACUGCUACAGUGAAAUAUUUCCUAAAUUUACAGUUUAACCUAAAACUUUAUAAAACUAUAUUAUAGCCCAAAACGUUAUGAAAGUUUGCAAAUAGGUCCAAUUUUAGAAUUUUAAAUAAUGCUUUGUCAAUCCCAAAACUUUUUGAAAUUAUGAUUUCGCCCAAACUAUGUGAAAUUCUAGAAUGACCCAAAAAUAUUUAAAUAGUUUCAAAUAGGUCCAAAUCCGAAAUUUAAAACAUUAUCAAAGAUUUUAAAAUAUUUUCAUUUUAGUCCAAAAUACUUUAAUUCCAUAACAUCAUUUUCUUAUUAUAAAAGCAAAAUUCAUAAAUCUUUGCUUAAUCAAUACAUGUGAUUUGUUAUCAUCAAAAUCAAUAUUUAUAGCCAUAUAGGCUAACAAUCUUCCCUUUUUUUAUGAUGACAAAACACAUUAUAAAAAAUUUAAUCUAGUUAUGAAAAGCUCCCCCUUAAUCAAUAAAAUUGAUUUAAAAAUUAUUUAACAAGACUCCCCCCGCAUACAUGCAUAUUUUCAUAACACUUUUAUAACACAUAUUAAAUUAUUCUCCCCCUUCAUCAUCAAAAAGAAUAAAAGCUCCCCCUAUCAAUCAUCAAAGUCGCAAUACAAGCACAUUAGAAAAAAAAAAUACCCAUAGACAUAAGGAAAUCCAUAUAAUCCAUAAUAAACACUCAAAACAAAUCCAUAUCAUCCAAAACAAAUACAUAAUCCAAAAGCAUAAUAACCAUCCAUAAAGUCGAAAAUAAAAAGACAUAAUGCAGUAAAUGAAAUGUAGGUGUGUCCAAAUACAAGCAUAAGAGACUACGGAGGUGGUGAGGAUAGUGGUGAUGGAGGUGGAUACGGAUAUGGAAUGCCGAAGUGCUCAAAGUGGAGGCGAUGUCCAUGAAUGAGCUGCUACUGCAGCUGCUACUGCUGCUGCGGAAACUCAUUCUGCCGUAAAGCGAGUGUCCGCACCUCAUCCAUAAGCUGCUGAAGAGUAACCUCUUCAGCGGUAGGAGGCUGUGUAAGUGAUGAAGCGGAUGUAGAGGCACCAGGAGCUGAAGCAAUAAUGGGAGGAUCUCGGCGUCGACGCUACCCUCGAAAUGAGAGUGAGAAAACGGGUAGCUGAUCGGCUGGAACCACAGUAUUAAGUGGGCGAUCAUCACUUGGAGCAAGAAAGGUAAACUUGUUCUCUGUGUAUUUGACCCAAGUGCCAUUUUUCUACUCAAAGCCUAAGCUGAAGAUAACAUCAUCCCCAAUACCCUUAGACGGUCUACAUGAUGGUUCUAGAUUCGGCACAUCAAAGAAUUUAAGGAUUCAGGUAAUGAAGUGACCAUAUGGAAGGGAGCGAGUAAUCAAGGAAGGUAUGGUGAACAUGGUUCGGAUAAUGGUAUAGCCCAAGUUAACCGGAUGACGUCUAAGAAUACAGUCAAUCAAAGCAACGUCCCUAUGAGAGACCUCAUCUAAAUGCCCUGAUCUAGGAAGCACAAUGGACUGAAUAAUACGAAGCAAAAUGCGAGUUUGAAGACAAAGACACUGAGUGCGGAAGUGAAUGGUACAAUCCUCAACAGAAAGAUCAUUACACCGACAAAUAUUACGAACGGCGUCAACAUGAACAUAACUAUCAAGUUUAGGAGAUUUCCUAGGCGAACAAAUUUCUAGGCCAAAAUCGGAUGAUCCUAAGAUAGAGUUUAAUAUGAAAACAUCAAAAUCAAUCAUAACUCCUCCAACAUUAGUGAUUACUCGAGUCUUGUUCUCCUCGGAAAAUUCCAUAUUCGAGUAAAACACUUUCACCAAGUCGGGAUACAAGCUCUCCUCAAUCAAAAGUGCAUCAAUCCAACCAACAUCUCUCAACAAUUGAAAUAAAUUUCUAUGACUAAUAUUGAGAGUAUGCAUCACAUCCGGUAAAACAUAAAACGUAUUGAGUACCUCACGAGUGCUGAACCUUUGUUGAAACUGUUUGAUCAAAUGUUUCGUGCUCUAAAAGUGAGUGGACUCAAAAUUGGAUUGAUUGGAGGUGCCCCCUGCUUGCCGUGACUGGUUGGUUGAUUGAAUCGGUUCUUUGCCUUUUCUUCGAACUGGCCAUGAACUUGACAUUGGGAUUUGAUUGAUUUGAAGUUGAAAAAGACAGAAAAUGAAGAUGAUGAAGAUUGAAAGUAUGUUGAGAAGCAAUUUGGAUAAAAACGGCUUGAGAGUGAGAAACUUAGAGAGAGAAAAUUCGACUGAAAAACCUAGAUUGACUUUGGGAUCUAGAGAUUUAGAUGUUGAAAAUGGAGUUUAAAGAUCAUUUUGAAAAAAUGAAGUGAUGGGGAAUGAUUUUCGUGACUCAAUUUGAUGCGAAAAAGGAAGAGAAUGAUGGAUUUUGGAGUGAGAUAGAGUGACGAACAAACGGUUUUUAGAGAGAGAGAGAGAUCUGGUUGGCCGAAUGAGAGGGAGAAGAUGAACAGUUUAUAUAGCUCCCGAAUCCGGCUUGCCGGAUUUCACUAACCGGCUAGCCGGUUAGUGACCACAAACAUAAAAGCCGUAAACAACUUGCCGGAUACGUUAUCCGAUUUUCUAGAUAGCUUCCAGAAUGGGUCAAACAUGCAUUUGGCUUGUCGGUUUCAAGUCAGAAUUAAGCUUCACGAAUUCGGCUUACCGGAUUUAAGAACCAGUUAGCCGAUUGUGAGGCAGAAACAUGCAAAUCGUAACCGAUUUUUUGGAUUUGAAGAACCGGCUGUCUGGUUUUGAGGCAGAGAGGAAGCUUAACAAAUCCGGUUUUCCUGAUUUAAUAACCGGUUGACCGGUUUGCGUUCAGUGAUCUCUAGAAUACAUCCGGCUUUCCGAUUUGAUAAAUUCGGUUUUCGAAUGUUGACCCGAGAGCAACCAAAGCUAAUCCGGCUUACCGGUUUGAUAAAUCCAGUUAUCCGAAAUUUGUUCCGAGAGGAAUCAACAAGAAAGCGUUUUUCCGGAUGAGAGGAAGUGGUAUAUCGGUUUAGACUUGGAAAUCUAUUUGGCUCUAAUUAAAUUUUGGCAAGCUCUUAUACUUGUAUUACACACACCAUUUUAUUAUUGGCUUUUAAAAUUGAUUAAUUUUAAAUUAUUUUGAGAUUUAAAACUUUUCAAUAAGCCAUUUAAUGCAUGAAACAUAAAAUCAUAAAAUUACAAGCAUAUCAAGUUAUCUAAUUCAUGAAGCAUAAAUCCAUAUAAUAACAAACAUAUCAAGCCAUGUAUUAAAACAUAAGUCAAGCUGCAACAUUCAUCAUUCCAAGCUCAUGUCUUAUCUUUAUAAAAUGCUCUUCGCUAAGAGGUUUUGUAAAGAUAUAUGCAAGCUGAUUUUCAGUAGAAACAAAUUUAAUUACAACAUCUCCUUUUUUAGCAUGAUCUCUAAGGAAAUGAUGUCUAAUUUCUAUAUGCUUAGUCCUAGAAUGUUGAAUGGGAUUCUUGGAAAGGUUUAUAGCACUAGUAUUGUCACACAAGAUAGGUAUUUGAUCAAGUUUAAUACCAUAGUCUCUAAAGGUUUGUUUCAUCCAAAGAAUUUGUGCACAACAACUACCUGCAGCAAUAUAUUCUGCCUCGGUGGUUGAUAGCGCAAUCGAGUUUUGUUUCUUACUAAACCAAGAGACAAGUGAAUGGCCUAGGAAGUGACAUGUUCCACUAGUACUUUUUCUAUCAACCUUAUAUCCAGCAAAAUCGGUAUCCGAAUAACAAGUCAAUAUGAGUUCCCCUAAGAUACCAAAGGCCAAGAUUAAUGGUGCCAAUCAAAUAUCGAAAAAUGCGUUUGACAGCAAGUAUGUGUGACUCUUUAGGACAAGAUUGAAAUCUAGCACACAAGUAUACACUAAACAUAAUAUCAGGCCUACUAGCAGUCAAGUAGAGUAAGGAUCCGAUCAUACCUCGAUAUGUCUUGAUAUCAACUUCCUUACCUUUCUCAUCUUUGUCUAGCUUGAUGGUGGUACUCAUUGGAGUGCUUUUUGCAGUUCCAUUAUCAUAACCAAAUCUUUUGAGUAGAUCUUUCAUGUACUUGGCUUGAUUUAUGAAAAUUCCUUCCUCAUUUUGUUUGAUUUGGAGUCCAAGGAAGUACUUCAACUCUCCCAUCAUACUCAUCUCAAAUGUUUUGCUCAUAUAAGAUGAAAAAUCUUUACACAACAACUCAUUAGUAGAACAAAAAAUAAUAUCAUCAACAUAAAUUUGAACAAUAAGUAUAUCUUGGUUCUUAUGCUUAACAAAUAAAGUUGUGUCCGCUUUUCCCAUUGAAAAAUCAUUAUCCAACAAGAAGUUUUUAAGCCUAUCAUACCAAGCUCUAGGUACUUGUUUUAGUCCAUACAAAGCCUUAGAUAACUUGUACACAUGAUCUGGAAAUUUUUCAUUUUCAAAACCAGGAGGUUGUUUCACAUAAACUUCCUCCAUAAUAUAACCAUUUAAGAAAGCACUCUUGACAUCCAUUUGAUAUAAAAUAAAAUCUUUAUGACAUGCAUAUGCUAACAACAUCCUAAUGGAUUCUAACCUUGCUACAGGUGCAAAUGUUUCAUCAAAAUCAAUUCCUUCUUCUUGGUUGUAACAUUGAGCCACUAAUCUAGAUUUAUUUCUUACAACCACACCGGAUUCAUCCAUUUUAUUUCUAAAUACCCAUUCAGUGCCUAUAAUGGAUUGAUGUUCUAGAUUAGGAACUAAUUCCCACACAUUGUUUCUCUCAAAUUGAUUCAACUCCUCUUGCAUUUCCAUAAUUCAAGAUUCAUCAUUUUCCGCAUCCAUAAAGAAUUUGGUUCAAUUUGAGAGAUAAAUGCAACAUGCUCACAUGUGUUCUUAAUGGAUGAUCUAGUGGUAAAACCUCGUGAGGGAUCUCCUAAAAUUACAUCCUUAGGGUGAGAGGAAACAUACCUCCACUCCUUAGGGAGUGUUUAAGAAGUACCUUCAUUUUGCUCUACAUUUGUUUCUUCAUGAUGUUCCUCUUGAAUUCCAUGUGGUGCGUCUUUUUGGUUGUCAUUUGAUGCUUCUUCUUGUUGUUCUUCUUCUGCAUUAUCAUCAACAACGACUUUCUCCGUAGAGGAGGGAUUAGACUCAUCAAAUGUAACAUGCAUAGAUUCUUCCACAACUAAAGUUCUUUUAUUAUAAACUCUAUAAGCUUUGCUUGAGUUUGAAUAACCAAGAAAAAUGCCAAUAUCAGAUUUUGAAUCAAAUUUACCAAGAUUAUCUUUUGUGUUCAAAACAAAACAUUUGCAUCCAAAGACUUUAAAAUAACCAAUGUUGGGUUUUCUAUCUUUCCAAAGCUCAUAUGGAGUUUUAUUAAGAUUAGGUCUAAUCAACACACGAUUCAAAACAUAACAAGCGGUGUUGACGGCUUCGACCCAAAAAUACUCAGGCAGAGAAUUUUCAUUCAAUAUGGUCCUAGUCAUUUCUUGGAUAGACCUAUUCUUUCUCUCUACUACUCCAUUUUGUUGUGGAGCCCUAGGUGAUGAAAAUUGAUGUUCAAUGCCAAAGUAAUUACAAAAAUUUUCAAAUGCAUGAUUUUUAAAUUCUCUACCAUGAUCACUUCUAAUACAAGUAAUAGAAUAACAUUUUUCAUUUUGAACCUUUUUAUAGAAAAUUCAAAAUGCAUCAAUGGCAUCAUCCUUAUUAGCUAAGAACAAUACCCAUGUGUAUAUAGAAUAAUCAUCCACAAUUACAAAUGCAUAAAAUUUACCACUUAAACUAGCAUAUCUAGAAGGUCCAAACAAAUCUAUGUGAAGUAAUUGAAGUAGUUUUGAAAUAGAGACAUGAUUCUUUCUUUUGAAGGAAGUUUUGAUUUGUUUUCCAAAUUGGCAAGCUUCACAAAUUCUAUCUUUUUGAAAACUGAUUUUUGGAAGACCUUUAACCAAAUCAUUUUUCACAAUUUUUGAAAUCAAAUCCAUGCUUGCAUGACCUAAUCUUCUAUGCGACAACCAACCAUCAUCAUGCAAUGCGGAGAAACAUUUAUCAUUUGUCGAUGCACAAUCUAUAUUAAUGAUAUAGACAUUAACACAUCUAUUUCCUACAAACAAAACUUUCUCAUUACAUGCAUUCUUAAUAACACAUUUUGAUUCAUCAAAGAUAACUCUAUAUCCUUUAUCACAUAAUUGACUAAUACUAAGCAAGUUGUGUUUCAAGUUUUCAACCAAACACGCAUUUUCAAUGAGAGUAGAGGAUAUAUUACCAAAAUUUCCAAUGCCAAUGAUUUUUCCUUUUGAAUUAUCUCCAAAUGAUACAUCUCCACCAUUUUCGAUCUUAGUAAAACUUGAAAACCAAGAAUAAUUCCCUAUCAUGUGUCUUGAACAACCACUAUCCAAGUACCACUUAUUCUUCUUCUUCUUUAAGCCCUUGUAGAGAAAAUCUCAAGUUUUAGGUACCUAAACCUUCUUGGGUCCUUGAGAGUUAGCAAUGGUUCCUUUCGGAACCCAAACACAUUUCACACCAUAAUAUGCAUUUCUUUUCACUGCACAUCUAUUUUUUAUAUGACCAUCUUGAUUACAAUAAUGACAUACAAUUUGAUUGUUAGUAGAUGUAUUCUUCAUAAAAUAACUUUUGUAAAGUUUUUGUUUCAAAUUUGGUUUAUAACCAAUGCCACUUUUGUCAAAUACACAUUUAUGUGAGUUUAGCAAAUUGUCCAGCAUCUUUUGCCCAUUUGUGAAUUUUAGCACAAUUUCAUUUAGUUCAUUGCUCUUCUUUCUAAGCAUUUUAUUUUCAUUUUUCAAGUCAUUCAUGUGUGACUCUAAGUGCUCAUAUGGAGUACUAGAAUUCUCAAAUAAUGCAAUGCUAUCAUGCAAUGUUUUAUUUUCUAAUUCUAGGCAUGUAAUCUUUGCACUAAAUGAUUCAAUUUCAUUUUUAAGUUCUAUCAUCUUUAUUUUAAGACAUAUAUUCUUUUUACCAAUCUUCAUCAGCUCAUCAUGUAAAUCCUUAAAGGCAUCAUGUAAGUCAUCAUAUGUAGGAAGAACACUUACCUCAUCAAGUUUAUCACAUGAUUCUUCCCCAAAGGCCAUGUCAUCAUCACUUAUUUCCUCAUCGCUAUCAUCCCAUGUGGCCACCAUAACUUUCUUCUUGAGUUUCUUGAGAAGAGGACAUUUCGGUCGUAUGUGUCUGGGCUUCUUGCAUUCAUAACAAGUGAUUGGCUCCUUCUUCUCCUUCUUAUUCUUGUAGCCUCUGAACUUUCUCUGCUCAUUAUUCUUUUUGUAAAAUUUUCUGAAUCUUCUAGCCAACAUUGCCAAUUCCUCAUCAUCCAUUUCGCUUUCCUCAUCACUCUCACGUUUUGAGGCCUUAAGAGUAAUAUUUUUCUUCUUUUCCUCAUGCCCUUUUUCAGCUGCCAAAUCUUCUUCAUAUGAAAUGAGAGAACCAAUUAAAUCAUCAAUAGGUGAUACAUUUAAAUCUUUGGCUUCCUCAAUGGCAGUCCUUUUUGGUCUCCAUUCCUUAGGUAGCGACCUAAUGAUUUUCUUAACUUUCUCGCUAUUUGAAAAGGUCUUUCCUAGGGCUCCUAGAGUGUUCACUAUGUCUGUAAAUCUAGUACACAUAAAGUACACAUUCUCAUUUUGUUCCAUUUGGAACAAUUCAUAUUGUCGAGUGUACCUACUUAUUUUAGAUUCUUUUACUUAGUUCAUGCCUUCAUAAACAACUUCAAGUUUAUGCCAAAUCUCAUUAGCACUUUCGCAACUAGACACUCUAUGAAACUCUUUCGUAUCUAGUGCACAAAACAAGGCAUUCAUGGCCUUGGAAUUUAGAGAAGUUUUUCUCUUUUCAAAUUCAUUCCAUUCCCGUGAAGGUUUUGGAAUAUCUUCCCCGACUUCAUUUUUAGUCAAAGGCAUGAAAGGACCAUCAUUAACGAUUUCCCAAAUUUCCUAAUCUAAGGCUUGCAAGUAAAUUCUCAUCCUAGUUUUCCAAUAUGGGUAAUCGUUUCCAUCAAAGUAAGGUGGUCAAGUGGUGGAUUGUCCUUCCCUAAAUGUGGAAUCAUUUUGAGUUACCAUUGAUCUUUAGCUCUAGACGGUUAAGUCUAAAUAAGAGCACAUUGCUCUGAUACCAAAUGAAAUAUAAGUGUGCAACCCAAGAGGGGGGGUGAAUUCGAAUUUUAAUAAUUAUCCUAACAAAUCCACACAACAAGCAAUCUAAUGUCUUAAUAAAAAUUGAAAGCAAUAAGUUUAAUAAAAGCACAACAACAAAUGAGUAAGAGAGAAGAGAAACAAACACACGAAAUUUUACGUGGUUCGGCAAUCCCCACCUACGUCCACGCCUCCAAGCGAUCCAAGCUUGAGAAUUUCACUAUCCGAGCAUUUCCAAGGCUUCAACCGUUUAUAAUUGACUUCAAGGUGUUAAUGAACCUUUACAACAAAGAGAUUACCUCCCAAUCUCUUCACUCAAGUGUCUCACACACUCAAACUUUUACAAUUAAGAUGAAGAAAUGAAAGUUACAAUAAAACUCACUCAAAGAGUAGAUAUUCAAAAAUGAAGAAUAAGAAAUGAUUCAAUGUUUUGUGAUUUGCAAAUUGAAAGCUCAAGAUAUCUCGUGUGCUUUUUGUUUAUGCUUGGUGGAGAGCUUGAAAAUGAGUUGGAUUUGAGUUUAUAUAGUUUAAGCUAAAAAACUAGCCGUUAUGCACAUUUUGGUCGUAACCAGCUUGCCGUUUAGGAAUCCGGUAAGCCGCUUUUAUGUUACCGUUAGGGCAAAAAUUUGAAUUUCAGAAUAUUCGGCUUGCCGCUUUUCAUAUCCGGUAAGCCGCUUUUGAAAUCCAGAUUGCCGCUUGCGAAAUCCGUUAAGCUGUUUAUGCUCCAGAAGCUUACUGCCCAAAAUUCGGUUUGCCGUUUACCAUAUCUGGUAAGCCGCUUGCUACAGUGGCUGCUACAGUGAAAUAUUUCUCAAAUUUACAGUUUAACCUAAAACUUUAUAAAACUAUAUUAUGACCCAAAAUGUUAUGAAAGUUUACAAAUAGGUCUAAUUUCAGAAUUUUAAAUAAUGCUUUGUCAAUCCCAAAACUUUUUGAAAUUAUGAUUUCACCCAAACUAUUUGAAAUUAUAGAAUGAUCCAAAAAUAUUUAAAUAGUUUCAAAUAGGUCCAAAUUUGAAAUUUAAAACAUUAUCAAAGAUUUUAAAAUACUUUCAUUUUAGUCCACAAUACUUUAAUUCCAUAACAUCAUUUUCUUAUUAUAAAAGCACAAUUCAUAAAUCUUUGCUUAAUCAAUACAUGUGGUUUGUUAUCAUCAAAAUCAAUAUUUAUAGCCAUAUAGGCUAAGAGAUUUGUCUUUUGAAAGAAUUUGUUCUGUGGGGUGGGAAGAAUUUUUUCAAAAAUUGUGCUUGCAUUUCAUCCCAAGUUCUGAUGGAUUCUGACCUAAGAUUUUGUAGCCAAGUUUUAGCUUUAUCUUUUAGCGAGAGGAAAAAACUUAAGCUUGAUUAUAUUCAUGCUACAAUUUUGAUCAGUACAGAUGUUACAGACUUCCUGAAAUUCCCUUAAAUGCAAAUAUGAAUUUUCAUACUCAAAAUCAUGAAAAGUAGGAAGAAAUUGAAUGAUACCAUGUUUGAAAUUAAAACGUGAUGCAUCAGGAGGGAAAACUAUGCAUGAUGGUGACCCUGUUCUAGUAGGAUGCAUGAAAUCUCUAAGGGUCCUAGGUUGUUCAUGAAGAUUUUGCAAGGCUUGGUCAUUUUCGUGCUCCGAAAAAUUUUCAGCUCCUUUGUCAGCCAUAUUUAAGGGUGGUAAAUGUGAUUUUCUAAUUAAUCUACCAUUAUUUGUACGAGGCUAACGACGCAUGCAAUGCUAAUGAUGUGUGCUAAACUAAUGAUGCAAAAAUGCUAAAUGAAAAUUGCAGAAAUAAAAAUAAAUUGGAAAUUAAAUAAGCAAAAAAAAUACGAAAUAAAAAUAAACAAACUGAAAAAUAAAUAAAUAAAUUAGGUGGUGAAACCAGCCAUUAAAAAAAACAGUUUAGGCGGUAUUUUAAAACCAGCCAUAUAAUAAAACAUAAAAUUAAAUAAAUUAAUGCACAAAAAUAAAUAAACUGAAAUUAAAAUGCUAGGCGGUAGAACCGACCAUAUAAAUAAAAAUACAUAAAUUAAUAAAAUUUAAAUAACAGUCAUGCGGUAGAAUCGACCAUUUAAAAUAAAUGCGGAAAGUAAAUUACAGAAAUUUAAAGAAAUAAAUUUGAUUUGGGGACUGAUUUGCAAAGGUUUUUUUGGCUAAGAUGAAGUUUCUCAUAAAUUUUAUAGAUAAUGUUAAGGUUUGAAAAGAAGAGGGGUGCUAACUGAAGUUUUACAAAAAGAGAAUAAAAUAGAAUCAUGGAAAGAUGGUAACGACAAAACAAACAAAAAUAAAUAAAAAUAAAAUAAAAAUAAAGUAAAGUAAAGACAAACGAAUAUCAAAUUUAGAAAACUCCCCGGCAACGGCGCCAAAAAUUUGACACGACUCAAAAGUGUGUUACUCUUAAGUAUAAGAGUAUCUAGUUAUAAUAUAACCCGGUGAGACCGGGAUCGAACCACAGGGAGUUUUAAAUCUAGUAAAACUAAGAAAAUUAAUUGUGGUGAAAAGAAAUUAUUUGAAAUCAAUUUAAAAAUAAGCUAAGGUUUAGGAUCCACUCUCUGUAUUCAAACUAUAAUUUUAAUACUCUCUCAUUUAUAUUUUACCUCACUUUUACCAAUUAAUUAUUAUAUCAUUUAAUUCUAUAUGUGUGGAUAAAUAUAGAAUAAAGUACCUAAUGUGACACACUAUAUUAAUGUGUCGACAUUAUGUCAAAAUACCAUAAAAUCCAGUGAGAUUUAUAAAUUAACAUGAUAUAAAAAUAAUUAGAAAAGAAUUAAAAAAACUCAUUUGAGAAAAUAAUAAUAAUUAAUAGUUUGAAACAUUGAGCUUCACUCUUCACAUCAGCUUAAUAAAAUUAGCUACUCAUAUUGAAAGAAAACACAACACUCUUUUUAUUUGAUAAACGUUUUGAAAUAUAUUACAAAGAAAAUUGAUACAAACGGAAAUAAGAAAAGAAAAGAAACAAAGAAACAAAGAAAAUCUUCAAUCUCGGCUUCAGCUCUCAAAUUUUGCUCUCCAACUUCCCCCUGCUCUUCAAUUUCUCCUCCCUUUUUAUAGGCAACAAUUGCCUUUAACUUUCUUUAUUUUAUUAUUUAUUUAUUAUUUUAUUAUUAUUUUAAAAUAUAUAAGUGUGUUGAAAUGUGUGAUGGUCAGGAGGUGUAAUGGCCUCCUGACCAUCACCAACAUGUUUUUGUUCUUUUGUUAUUUUUUUUUCUUUUUUUUUAUUGAUUAUUUAUUAUUACAUCUCUUCAAUUUUGUUCCAAUAGUUCUUUUUUGUUCUCGCUUUCAAUUCUAAGUCCAUCUUUAUUCCUGAAAAAUAUUUACAAGAUAAAAAUUAACAAAUUACGAAUUAAUUUAACAUAAAAUAAAUUUGGGGAGUAUUAAAAUAAUUUAGAAAUAAUGAACCCAUUAAUCAACACAAUAAGUGAAAAACUAAUAAUUUUAUCCUUAUUAAAUGUAAAAUUUUUAGUGUCAAUCACACCCCCAACCAGUUUAUUGUUAGGCCCUAAAAAUUUAAGCGAUAAAAGUUUAGUAAAAUUUUGAACUCAAAUUGAAAAUCAUUUUUUUAAAAAAAUUGUGUUUACUUCUUCUAUCAGAUUAAUGACAACAAUCAAAUAAAAGUAUAAGCAUUAUCUUCAGCCUAAAGAAAAUCACACUCAGCUCAACUGCUUGAUUUGUGGGGAUAAACGAACUCAUUGUGCCAAUACCACAUGCGCCAGACAUGACGCCAAAUAACAUUGACCUAUCCUUCUCAUUAGUGAUCCUCAAGUGGUUUUUCAUAUUAUAAACAAUCCAUGCAUGAACAUCCAAUGUAAAACAAGUAUGACUUGUGUGUUUCGAAAAAAGGGCUAACCAAAUGCGUUUAGAGUCAACAUAAUCACCAACUGCAUGGAGAGCAUCCUCUAUGAUAUGCCCACACCGCAUGCAAGUACUAUCAUUAAGCACAUGCCUUCGCGAUAAUUUAGCAUUAUUUUUCAAUCUAUUAUGCAUCAGCAGCCAAAGAAAGCACUGAAUGCUUUGGGGGCCUCUCAAUCUCCAAAUCAAAACCCAAAGGGAAUUAUUUUCAUUUAGCAUCGGUCUAAAGAGGGAUAAAUAAGCUGACCUCACGCUAAACGAACCAGACCGCGAUGGAUCGCAAUAACAACAGUUAACUUCAUCGCUAACAAAAAGGGGCAUAGUGCCUGCUAUUUUGAAAAUUAUAUGGUGGGGUAGAAAAGAAGCAAAACAGUCCCAGUUCCAAGCACCAUUAUUAUCGAUAAAAUUAGCUACACACUCAUUUAAUAUGUUUUCAGUGAUUGUACCGAAAGUAUAAGAUUGUAACCAAAGCCCAUCCUCCAGCCAAUAAUCUUUCCAAAAUCUAGCCAACUUCCCAUUCCGAAUAGCCCAUCGAGUCCCUUAGAGAACCUCAUUCCAUACGUUUCCCAUGAAUUUUCAUAAAGGAGAACUAUAUCAAGUAGGAUGUUUUAGAGGAAGGUUUUCUUUAUUAAUGCCAUAUUUAAACAUCAAUACUUGAAUUUAGAAGCUGUGGGGUGAUUUAAUAUGACCCCAACCAAUUUUCAUUAGCAAGGCUUUAUUCAUGAGAUUAAGAUCUUUAAGGCCAAGGCCCCCACAUAAAUUAAGGAGUUGUACUCUAUCCCACUUAAUAAGGUGUAUGCGAUAAGUCUCGUCAAUCUCGGUCUAGAUAAAAUGCUUGCAAAUCUGAUCAAUUUUAUUACGAAUACUUAGAGGUAGCAUGAAGGUCUGCAUGGAAUAGGUUGGGAGAGCCAAAAUGAUCGACUGCGUUAAUGUUAUCGGACCUACAAGAGAAAGAUGUUUGGUUGUCCAGCCUGGAAUUCUCUGUAGUGCUAAUGGUGGUCAAGGAUAAGGUACUAGUUUCCGUGGGAGACAUUGAGUUUGCAUAAGAAAUCUGGGAGAUUUCAUAGAGAAUGUAUGAGUUAGUGACAAUGGUAAACAUGAUUAAACGCGUGAACUAACAUAAAAUGAAAUACAAAAACUAAAUGAUAGAGCACGAGUUUUGAAAAAAGUUUAUUUUUCAAUCCACCAUCAAUUAAACAGAAGCAAGCCACUGUCAUUCUAAGUAAACAAACAUAACAAAACCACCUAAAUAGGAAUAAUUUUUCAAUAUAGGAAUCUUGAACUUUUCAUGAAAAAAAAUCAGUUUACAAUAUUAUAGGUACGUGAAAAAUAAAGUUUAUAACAUUGUAAAUCAAAUCACCAGCUAGAAUCUAACUCCACCUACAUGGUUUAGUAAACAACUAUAACAUUGCAUCCAAUAAUGGCGUCACCAGAUUUAAAAUUCGCUCGAUGCAUCUGACCAAUUGCAUAUCCACCAGUCAAUAGGAACUCGCCAGUGCCACCGACGAUGGGCAUCUUACGGACAGGAACAAUCGACCUGUUGUUGCCAAGAAGGCUGAUACAGCUGCUAUUAUUAGGACCAUCAACGAACACAAAGCUCAUGGACAUGAUGAUACCUAGUUGAUGCUGACAAGCCGACCCGUAAAGCCCUUGAGCACGACCAACCAGCUUUGAUUGAGGACUAGUAGUUUCUAUCGACGAAUCAUCCGCCAAAUCACAACGCAGAAAUGAGUUGGUGACUUGUAAGUAUCAGUGGCUUGAGCAAUGCUUUUUGCCACUACGUUUUUUUUUUUUUUUGUUGUCUCUUUUGCGAAAUCAAGCCCCGUACCCAAAGUCUCUAUGAUCGUAUUGAUGUUGCUGCCACCGGGCAAAUGAUGAGCAACAAAAAAACUGCUUAAAACAUUGCAGUAACUUUAAAACAAGGCAUGAAAUUAAAAGGAAGAGAAUAGAUGAUGCACUUUUGAAGGUAGAAAAGAAGGAUGAUUCAAGAUUCAUUUCAAAUUUUUUUGAAGUGUUUUGAUCAGUGAAUAUCCAAAGGCUGCUUAACUACAAAGGUGAAGUGGGAAGAAAUUUUGACAUUUUGUUACAUUGAGCUAGCCAGCGAAUGUAUAUGAGGGGCUUCACUUGUACACAUAAAAAAGGAAGAUUAAUUACUCAUGGUUUUUUAUUAAGAAAAAAAUGGCUUGCUUAAAAUAUAGAGUGUGGUUAAUUUCAUUGAAGGACAUGACUCAAAGGAAAAGAAAAAGAAAUCUAAUAAUAAACUAAACAAAAAAUAAUGCCAAAAACAAUAAAUUUAAUUAAAUGUACAUUGAAAUUACCUUUAUAAUGCAACAAGAUAUUAAAAUCAAUAGUUAACGCUAAUAAAUGAAGCAUAAUUUAUUUAAUACUUAUUUAUGGACUCUUUCAAUUCCAUUAAAGCCACUGCAAGUCAUUUUUCAAUAUCCACCUAGAUAAAUAGAGGCUCAUGCCUUUCUGAUUCUUCCACUUCUCUUUCAAUUCUAAUUAAGCCGUUUGCAAUUCUCUUAAGAAAUUAAAAAAUGUCAAAGAGUCUUACUUUCAUCAUUUUGGCUUUGCUUGUAGUGGCAAACACUAAAAACAUGCUUAUUUCAGCUAGUAGAACUGGCCAAGGAUCUAAGCCAGAGGCUUUAUUUUCUAUUAACCCUAUAGCAUCACCUGACAUUGUUGAUUGCUCAGGGCUCACAAGUGAAGAGUGUUUGAUUGAGAUGAUUAAGAAAGCACUUGUAGACUAUCGAUACCCCUGCCCUGAGGGGGGUGCAAAUGAUAUUGUUAAUAAGUUAUUUAUUUUACCUUGUAGGAGUGCUUUUGCAAUAACGAUCAAUUACUGUGAAAUUGAAUUCGUGUUUUUAAUAAAAUAAAACAUUAAUCCAUUAUGCAUAGGUAAUAUUAUGUCAUAUGUUUUUGGUGUGUGUAUCUCCUACUGCUUUGUUAUAGAUGCAUCGUCGAAUCAAUCUUCGAUAAAUCAGUUUCUUUAAAUAAUAGCAAUUAUCAACCAAUCAACAUUACUCUAUUGGUACCAUUUGUAAUAUUUAAAUUUUAAAUCUAUCUACUUUUAGGGUGAGAUUAUUGAUUCCUAAGAAAAAUAAUAAAAUAAACCCUCAUUAUCGAAAUCCUAUAUUACUAAGCUGUCUGAUUUAAUUUAAUGUUAAACUUUAAUUUAACCCCUGAAAAUGUCCAGACUUACCUACAUUUAUUGCUAAGAAUAUGAUUUAAAAGUUCAUCAAUGUGCACCUCAUUUAUGCUCAUCUUUUGAAGAACAAAUAGGGUGGAUUGAGAUUUUCAUGCUUUUGGAGGGUAAAUUAAAGAUAAUUGUUAGGAGGGAACGAAUUGAAGUUUGUUUUUAAAUGCAAAGAUGUAUUCUUUUAGUUUUUUUGAGAUAGUUUGUUUGACUUUAAUUUAACAUAUGUUUUUGUAAUUGAAAUAUAGAUACUUCUUUAUUUUUGUUAUUCAGCUAAGUAAUAUAAUAUUUAUAUUUAAUUGAUCACUUAAAAAAUGUUUAUGCAUUAAUAUGUUAAUUUUUUGCGGCUUGUAAGGUAAGAAUUUUUUUUAUAAGAAAAUAAUGCAAGCAACAAUAAGAAUUAAGAUUAAUCAUAUAAUGAUGCAAACUAUGGACAUGCUAAUUAGUUGGUACACAGAAUCUUAAUCAAUGAUGUCUGGUUUCAGCUUUCCUUGUUUUUUCUUUCUUCGGUAAUGCUCUUGAGAUGUUAUGAAUUAAACAAACAUAUGUUCCCAAUUAUGCACUCUUAUCAUAUAGGGAGCAUCAUAAACAGAGGAAAAAAAAAAUUCAAGUUUGGUGACCAAAAAGACUUGAAACAAUGCCUAAUGUCUUUGAAAGUAGUAGAGGAUUCAACACAACUGUGUGGACUGAAUAGAGAAGUAGUAGCAAAUAGAACACUCAACAUAAAAGGCACCAAAAAAAAUAUCAUUAAAAGGUUGUUACAAGUGAAUAAAAGUUACAGAUUUUAUUUUGAAAUUAAAUUCUAAAAAUAAAUUUAAGAGUUAGUGUUUCAUUUUCUAGAUGUAAAUGCCCUUAACCAAUUUCAUUUUAAAAACACACCAAAAUCCAAGUAAUUUUUUUGCUCUCCUCUCUCAACUAAAAUCUUUCUAUCUUAGACUUCACGUGAUGGAGUUUCCAACACUAGUUUGAAGUUCACAAGACUAGUCAGGUUAUGUUGCAGAGACCAUUUGACUUUGUAAUAUCCUAUGGGAUAGUUGCUAAUAUAACCUAAGUACUACUGCGAAAAUGACAAAUCCUUUUUAAGGACAUUGUAACUGCACAUGCCUCAGUUUAAUUUAUGUUCUUCUCUUUCUUAUUGAUCUAUACUAGAGAAAUUAUCUUUUCACCAACUCUGUUUUAUCAUAUGUAUAUCCAGACACCACCAAAUUUUAACAUGUUCUUUGCACCACCAUCAUUUCUGAAUUUGUAUUAAUCGACUAAUUUGACAAUAAUAAAAAAAUAAAAUGACCAUUUUACCCCUAAGUGAUCUAAAAGACCAUUUUAUCCCACGAAAUUUUUAAU
rnacentral:lncRNA from 1 species